CUAUUUUUCAUGUAAAAAUAAAUCUAAACGAAAACGCCGGAGUUCGAAUCUUUUACAUGUGAACUUUCAGUAUAAUAUACUGGAGUUCCAGCAUCCUAUACUUUAUAGCUAAAUAGAAAAAUCUGUAGCAUAAUAUACUAAAAAAUUCAGGUUUUAGCAUAAUAUAGUGACGAAUUAGAAUUCUAUUGCAUAAUAUUGAUAAACAGAAAAAUUCGUCGCUAAUCUCAUUUAGCGAGGGAUUAGCAACGGUUCAUUAAGAAAUUCUGCUAGCUACGAGCAUUUUAGCGACAGAUUAGCGACGACGUUCUUAGUAAUUCCAGUUUUUUUUUGUAGUGAUAAGAUGUUGGAAGUUCAUACACGGGUACUUUAAUCUCCAGUAUAUUAUACUACAACUUUCCGUGUGCUGGAAUUCCAACAUAAUAUGCUAAAAGUUCAUACACAGGUGCACCAAUCUCCAGUAUAUUAUGCUGGAAAUGUUUGUACACAGGUGCACCUUUAUGGAGCAAAAUGACCUAGAGAAUAUAUAUAAUCUAGUCCAACUAAUUUGAAACUAAGGUGUAACUGAUUCACUUAAAGACACACUGAGUAUUUUAAGUACUUUCCAUUCUAAACUGGAACCAGUCAACCUUGUGCCCAUAAUUUGAUGAUAAUGCCUGUCAUAAAAUGGAAGUAGAGGACUUGCAUGAAAGGAAAAAUAUGUUAAUAUAGCCAAAGACGACUGCCUAUUAUUCCAAUUUCAAAAAAUUGGCUCUCAUGCCACACUCUUUUGGACAAAAUUAAAUGGUGUACAUAGGCAAGUCAUCCUUGGCUAAUAAACAAGAGUACUUUUCUCUUCAUGUAAGGUCUCUCUUCCUUGGCUAAUCCUGAAAGAAUAUCUUUGAUUUUUUAGAGUGUUUGCAUAUGUACUUUUGCUUCUUCGCUCUCUAUUUAUAGUCAAAUCUAUAAAAGCUUUCAAGAUUUCCAGUUAGAAGACUAUCAAUUCAACCCUUAGCCAAAUAUAUAGUUGCCUUAUCCAUAUAUAACGCCCUUCAACUAUUUUGAUGCUCUUUCGUUGAUACAAGAAUAUAUUCCGUUUUGGGUUCAAGAAUCUAAUCUUCUACUUCCAUUCUAGUCACAUAUUUGGAUCAAAUGUCAACCAAACAAAAAACUUACAGCCACCAAUUACCAGUUUGCGCGUAAACAAAAAAGUCUAGCAUAAAGUCAAAUUCUUAUAAGCAUUUGAAUCUUUCUGAAAAGUCAAAUCUUUGUUGAAAAAUCUUCAUUCAUGAGAUAAUGGCCAAUCUCUGUUAAGCGGUGACAGGUGUUUAGCUAAAAAAUUAUACUCAUACUUUAUAAGCUUAAAAACAAUCGAAAAUAUAUAAGAGUAAAUCGUAAUCAAAUAUAAUGAGCCCUAAAGAUGAAUAAUGUUUUAAAAUUGUUGUAGAUCUGAAAGUGCGAAGAAAAAUGAACGUAGCUUAAGAGAGAAGCAAUAGUUGGAAAACCAAGAAAGAGAUAGAGAUAGAGAGAGAAGUUGUAUUAUCCGAGAAUAAUCAUCCCCCCCAUUACAAUGUGAAGGUCUCCAUUAUAUAGUAGGAGACCCUCCUCGAAAUAAUCAAAAAGUACAAAAGUUGGUGACUUCCACUCAGUAAAAAGUUAGGCAUUAAACGACGCCGCUUCUUCUUUACCAACUUGGGUCGUGCCUUUACUUGGGUCGACUUUGUCAUAAGGGACGUGCUCGCUCAGCGUGGGGGCACUAAGAGUCAAGUUUCACCCUAUACAAUUAGUCCCUCUACAUACAACAUCCCCGGCCACGUUGAAAUGGCCCCGGCCAUGACGGACUAUGCCAAUGUGCAUAGGCCCGGAUUCUACACGUUCUAUGAAUACGCGCUUAAAAUUGGAUAUAGCUUUCCGCUUAACCCUCUAGCGGAAGAGCUUUGCCGCUUUUAUCAUGUGUGCAAGGCUCAGCUCACACCUUGUUCCUUGAAGGUGUGUCUAAUUCUUACCACGCUUGCGGGCGAGGCGGUACCGUCGUUUUUGUUCACCACCUGCUGCGGAUGUUCAACCCAAGCUAUAUGAGAGGUACCAUGCUCUAAUUGAGGAGCUGUGGUAAGAAAAGCUUUGUGGUGAGGACUGACAACAAAGCUAACCGCAACUUCUAGCAUAAAUACUUUUACAUUAGGACGAGCCAUCUGGUGUCCAAUCCCGAAGGGUUUCCGGAUACGUGGAACACAGGAUGUAAGUAUCUCUGCAUGUACUUUCGCGACGCCUUUUUUUGACCAAUCAAUUAUUCUUACUUACUUUCCUUCCUUUUGCAGUAGUGGCUCGCUCGCCUCAUCCCUUCAACGACAUUAGGUUGUGGGUGGUGGGGCUGAACCGCAUGCGGAAAAAUGCCGCAAUUGGGCUGUGUUUCGUAGAUUGCAGGGACCAACUGGUAACAACCUUUCCUGUUCUUCUCUUUCACACUGUAGAACCUUUUAUUCAAUGUACUCUCGUUUUUCAGGUCGGGGCGCUUCUACAAAGGCGAAGAAAAAGAAAACCAACGCGGGCCCGUCUAGGGUAGAGUUUGACUCCGAUGGGGGAUAUAUAUUAUGGGAGGCUCGCCUAGAGAGAGUGCAGUUUCGACCUCUCAACAAGGGGCUACGCCUGUGGCUGCAUCUGAUGCGGUGCCUGAGGCUGCUUCCGUAUAGAUACCUGAGGCCGUACCAAUAACGGCUCCUUAGACCGUUCCUGUGUCCGUACCUAAAGUCGCUCCAGUGGAGGAGGUUUAUGAAGAAGAACAGCCACCGGAGAGAAAGAGGCGGCGAAUGAUUACUGGCAAGGGAAUUGCAACUGAGGGCGCGAGGCCUAGUGAGCCCCACCAAUAGAUGAGGCUAGUUUUUAUGGCUGAGGCCAUUCGUUCAAGAAGAUUGGCUCCUCGGGGAACAGUCGCCGCCGUCCGCUCGGACCGUGCCUCAGGAGGAGAGUCGUCUUUCACAGUUAGGGGAGCGGCCGAUGAAAUUGAGAGUACGGGCUCUGAAGCCGCUCUUGGAGAAGCAUCGGGGGGCUCGGCCCUCGUGGAGAGGAGGAAUGGUAGGUCUAAUCUCCAUAUCGUGAUCCAUGGAGGGUAUAAUUUGUUAGAAGACAGCGAGCAAGUCAUAGCAGACAUGACCAUGUUAUGGGUGGCUGCGGAGCAUGAGAUGCUGAGAAGUGUUAGAAACAGGAAUUUGUCGAGGCAGAUCGCUGGCGCAGCUUUGUAGGUAGCAUUCAGUUUUUCUUUUAUGAGUCAUAAAAGUGACUUUAGUACGUACUGACAUGUUUCUUUUCUUCUUUUUAGACCCUCAUCUUGGAGGUGGAGAGGAGGUGGCGUGAACAAAACAAGUGGGCCACCUUCAAUAAAAUGGCAAAGAAAUAUCAGGAGUUCCGUGUCAAGCAUAAGGCGUUGGCAGACGUACUCAAGCUACUUUUUUGUCGUAGUCGAACAAGGCCGACUAUCAGCGUUGACGGCCUUAGAUGGAUCUAGGUUAACGACCUUAGUCUUGAUUGAGCCGAUGGCCUUCGCCGGACUUAGAUUGACGACUUUAGUUUUGAUAGAGACGAUGAUUUUUUGCAAUUUGCCAUGUAGGUGACUUGACUAUUGUCGUCAUUUUCUUGCUGCUGUCGAACUAGGUCGGUUUUUGGUAGUGAGGUCCUUAGCCAUAUGAAGUCGAUGACCUUUGGUCAUAGCUUGUAGGCUUUAGCCAUAUGGUCGACUUCGACUGUCGUCGAAUCAUUUGAUGGCCUUAUCCAUAUGAAGUCGAUGACCUUUGCUCAUAGCUUUUAGAUGGCCUUAGCCAUAUGGUCGACUUCGACUGUUGUCGAAUCAUUUGCUUGCCGUAGUUGAAUUAGGUCGACUGUGUGCGGUGAUGGCCCAGCCAUAUGAAGUCGAUGACCUUUGGUCAUAGCUUAUAGAUUGCCUUGGCCAUAUGAUCAACUUCUGUCGUUGAGUCUUUUAUUUUCCAUAGUCAAACUAGGUCGACUGUUGGCGGUGAUGGCCUUAUCCAUAUGAAGUCGAUGACCUUUGGUCAUAGCUUAUUGAUGGCUUUGGCCAUAUGGUCAACUUCGACUGUCGUCUAAUCAUUUUUUUGCCGUAGUUGAACUAGGUCAACUGUUGGCGGUGUUGGCCUUAGCCAUAUGAGGUCGAUGGACUUUAGACAUAGCUUAUAGAUGGCCUUGGACAUAUGGUCGACUUCAACUGUUGUUGUAUCAUUUGUUUGCCAUAGUCGAACUAGGUCGACUAUUUGCGGUGAUGGCCUUAGACAUAAGAGCACUGGAGGUGGGAUUAGUCAUUUAUAUAAUGUAGAUGGUCGUAGCCUUUCAUAUAUUGGAGAUGGCGGUAGACUUUCAUACAUCGGAGAUGGUCGUAGCCUUUCAUACAUUGGAGAUAGCCGUAGAAUUUCAUACAUUGGAGAUGACCAUAGUCUUUCAUACAUUGGAGAUGGACGUAGACUUUCAUACAUUGGAGAUGGCCAUAGCCUUUCAUACAUUGGAGAUGGCUGUAGCCUUUCAUUCAUUGGAGAUGGAUGUAGCCGUUCAUACAUUGGAGAUAGCCGUAGCCAUUCAUACGUUGGAGACGGCUGUAGCCUUUCAUACAUAGGAAAUCAAGCUAGUCCAGUCCCUUUAUCAUUUCAGUCUGGAGGUCGUAAGGAGAGACUGAUAUUGUAUACUUGUGCCGCAAAUAUCUCUAUGCGUUUCCUUUGCCGCCUCAUUAAAAACCUCCCCGAUAAAACCCAAUUAGGACAAAACUCGUGUAAGGGAAAAAAUAGUACGACUCGGGAGACGUCUUUCAGAAGUGGAAAUACUUGAGGUGGGCAACUUUCCAGUUGUUUUGGAGCAUUUUUCCUUCCAUUGUUUUCAACUGGGAUGCCCAUUUGCUGGCUACUGCUGUGAUUUUGUAGGGUCCUUCUCAGUUGGUGCCCAAUUUUCCUUCACUUGGGUCUUUGGAUGCCAAUGUCUUGGCUUUGAGGACAUAGUCUCCCUCUUUGAAUGGUCUUAUUUUUCCCCUCUUGUUGUAGUAUCUUUCGACUUGUUGUGUUUGGGCCACCAUUCUGAUAUGGGCUAUUUCUCUCCAUUCCUCAGCUUCGUCAAUGUCUUGGAGCCUGUUUGUGUUGUUUUCUGUUCCAUUGGUGUGUGAAUAUCAUAGACUUGGUUCACCGACCGCGAUGAGUAUGACCGUGUCAGUUCCGUAGACCAGCGAGUGCGUUGUUUCCCAUGUGAUGGAGUUGGGUGUGGUCCUGUGCGGCCACAGUUCUUCGGGUAGCAGCUCGGGCCAUAGCCCUUAGGCGUCCUCGAGCUUCAUCUUCAGUAUGUUUAAUAUUAUUUUGUUGGAGGAUUCUGCUUGGCCGUUAGCGGCGGGGUGAUAUGGCGUGGAAAGUAUCCUUUUGAUGCACCAUUUCUCGAAGAGUUCGGUGGUUUUUUGACCAAUGAACAGUUGUCCAUUGUCGCAACUGAUUUCUUUAGGGAUGCCGAAGCGGCAUACAAUAUUUUUCCAUAUGAAGGCUAUCAGCUCCUGUUUGUGUAAUCGUGCGUACGCACCUGCUUCUACCCACUUAUAGAAAUAGUCAGUUAAAACUAAUAAAAAUUGUACCUUUCUCCAUCCUGCGAGUAGGGGGCCAACUAUGUCCAUUCCCCAUUUGAUGAAAGGCUAUAGGGAGGUGACUAAAUGGAGGGGCUCUCCUGGUUGGUGUAUCAUGGGGCAUAUUUUUGGCAUUGUUCGCAUUAGCAAACGUAUUCUGCUGCCUCCUUCUUUAUGGUGGGCCAGUAGUAGCCGGCCCAUAUGAUGCAUCACACAAGGGCGCGGUUACCUGUAUGGGCACCGCAGUGGCCCUUGUUUUCUUCUUCGAUUACCGGCCUCGUUUGGUGCGGCCUUAGGCACUUGGCCAAGGGUCCACCAAAAGUUCUUUAGUAGAGGUCAUUAUUUAUUAAGCAAUACCAAGAAGCUUGCAUGCAGAGUUUCUUUGCCCCUUUUUUGUCAGGUGGCAGCGUUCCGUCCUGCAGAUAGGAUACAAACUGGUUGCGCCCAUCCCAAGUCAAAUUUAAAGAGAAUACCUCAGUGUGAUCAUUGGCGGAGUGGAGGAGGGUGACCACGCUUUCUUUGUUGAAGUUUUUAGUGUCUGUAGCCGUUUCGCUAGACCGUCUGCCUCGAUAUUUUGUGCCCUUGGGAUCUGUUCAAAGCGGCAUUCAUCGAACUCAGCCAUUAACGUGCGGAUCUUGGACUAGUAUUUUUGCAAUCUUUGUUCUUUAAUCUGGUAAGUGCCGGUGACUUGGUUUACUACGAGUUGGGAAUCGUAGUGAAGGAUGAGCCGGCGAGCCCCAUAUUUGAUGGCUAGUUGCAUGCCCGCAAUAAUGGCCUCAUACUCAGCCUCGUUGUUAGUCAUUUCAGGGCAUCGUAUGGACAGGCGAAUUGUUUCGCCCAUGGGGACCUCGAGGACGAGUCCCAGUCCUGACCCAGAUGCAUUGGCGAAGCCAUCAGUGUAGAAGACCCACAGGUCGUUACUGGUAGAGGCAUAUUUUGCCUCAAGUUCUGCUUUUGGUAGGAUUUCUACACUAAUGUCGGCUAUAAAAUCGGCCAGAACUUGAGACUUGAUGGCAAUUCUAGGAAGAUACGAGAUAUCGUGCUAGCUGAGCUCAAUGGCCCAUCUUGCGAGCUGGCCCUAUAAUUCAUGCUAGUGUAAGACGCUUCUUAAAGGGAAGGUGGUUACAACUUUUAUGGGGUGGGACUAAAAAUUGGGCCGAAGCUUUUAUGAAGCUACUACCAGUGCCAGUGCCAAUUUCUCGAGGUGUGGGUACCGAGUUUCGGCAUCCACUAAUGUUUUACUAAUAUCAUAGAUAGGGGAUUGCGUACCUUUGCUUCCGGAAACUAGGACGGAACUGACAAUGACCUCAGACAUGGACAGAUACACCAGCAGGGAUUCGCCUGGGCCGCUUUGACCAGGAAGGGUGGCAAAGACAAGUACGCUUUCAGUUUUCUCAAGGCUUCGACGCAUUCCUCGUUCAACUGUUGCCCUUGAUCUUUUUUCAGCACGUUGAAAAAUUUAUGGCACCUAUCGGAUGACCGCGAUAUGAAUCUGGAUAGGGCGGCUAUACGCCCUGUCAGCUUCUGUACCUAUUUCUUGUUACUCAACACCUUAGGUAUUGUGUCUAUCGCCUUGAUCUGGUCAGGGUUUACUUCGAUGCCUUGUUGUGAUACAAGGAACCCUAAGAAUUUUCCUGAGACUACACCGAAAGCUCAUUUAUCGGGGUUCAACUUCAUCCUGUACCUCCUCAAUAUCUUGAAGGCCUCUUUUAAGUGGUCGAUAUGGUCUUCUUUCUUUUCUGAUUUUACUAACAUAUUGUCGAUAUAGACUUACAUGGUCUUAUCGAUUUGCCCUUCGAACAUUCUGGUGACUACCCUUCGGUAUGUGGCUCCUGCAUUUUUGAGCCUGAAGGGCAUUACCUUGUAGCAAUAUGUCUCAUGGUGGGUGAUGAAAGUUGUUUUUUCCUUGCCUUCUCGGCCAUCAUGAUUUGGUUGUAGCCAGAGUAUGUGUCUAGGAAUCUUAGCAGCUCAUGCCCUACAGUCGUGUCUAUCAGCUGGUCGAUGUGGGGCAGUAGGAAGGAGUCUUUUGGGCACGCCAUUUUCAAGUCAGUGAAGUCUACACACAUUCUCCACUUCCCAUUUUUCUUUUUAACCAUGACGACAUUAGCGACCCAUUUAGGGUACUUUGAUUCCCUGAUGGAGCCGAUAGCUAGAAGUUUGUCCACUUCCUCCCUGACCUCAUUGUUGAUAGCGGCGUUAAAUUUUCUUCUCAUUUGUCGUACGGUGGGAUGUUGUGUGGAGGUUCAUCUUGUGAGUAGUGAUUUCUUGCAGGAUCCCUGGAAUAUCUGAAUGGGAAAAAGCAAAUAGGUAUGCAUGGUUAGAUAAAAAAUUAUGAUACUUACUUAGAUUUGAGAGGUCGUGCCCGAUGUAACUUUUUCUUGAAGGGUCGUCAUUCUUUCGUUGGACUGGGCCGAGGUCUUCGACCGUAGACUUGCAGCCUUCUAUGGAACUAGGGUCUCUAAUGGCGUGCUCUGUCGGGUAGACCUUAGUCCCUGACAUAGCUGAUUGCUAUGAAUCUACGCUCGCCCCUUUAAGAUGUGUGGUGUGGGCGCAGUCUUGAGCUAUUUUAUAGCAUUCCAGAGCGGUGCGAGGCUCGCCUCGAAUGCUGAAUAUUCCCCACGGGAUGGGAAAUUUGAUCAUUUGAUAGAAGCUCGACGGGACCGCUCUCAUGGCCUGUAUCUACGAGAGUCCAAUGAUGGCGUUGUGUGUCGUUUCCUGGUUCAUCACGUGGAAAGUUGUUUCCAGAGUGACCCCUCCUGCUAGGACGGGUAGCGAUAUCAUCUCGGAGGUUCGUUCUACUGCAUUAUUGAAACUAGUUAGUGUCAUGCAACGUGGUAUUAUCUUACCCUCGAGUCUCAUUAGUACGAGGACCCUUGGGUGGAUAGGCACCGCUACCGUCAUCGACCAUAAUUCUUUUAACAUCCGUAUCUGCGAUACAUAAAGUGAUAACUAAAGCAUCAUAAUGAGGGAAAGACAAAGCGUCGAAAUCGUACUUAUCGAAGGUGAUACUAUCUUCGAAGUCACCACACCGUUCGUGGGCGAUAAUUCACUUCAGCUUGUGCAUAGUGGUGAACUUGACAUGAUUGAUCGCCGAGUUAUCGCUAUUUCUGAUGAUCAUAUUGAUCGUCCGUGUUUGUGAAGGCGGCUUUGGUGGCUCUUAGGGUUGCUCCAGUCCAUGUGCAAAGUUGAUUUUUCCUUUUUCCCUGAGCACCUCUCUUAGGAACCCUUGGUUCAACAUCCUGACCACCUCUAGCCGUAGGCCUAUACAAUCUUCGGUUUUGUGCCCUAGCUCCUAGUGGAACUCGCACAGGGCAUUUUAUUUUCUGGUGACGGGGUACGGCUUCAUCUUUGCCAUCCAUUGCACCUUGUUGCCCAGCUUCUCAAGUGCGUACACUAUCUCUGAAGGGGACACGCAAAAGUUAUGGGCAGAUAAUAAAGGGGGCAUACCUCUGUCAUUUUGUAGUGGGGUGACAUGUCAUUGUAGUGCGUCCGCGUGCCUGGGUGGCGGUGGGUGAGAGGAUCUGAUGUAGGGUUGGUGUCUCUCCCUAUUGCGUCGUGGGACUUGUUCCUGUCGUCCUUUGUUGUGUCGGUCUCUCCUAAUUUAUGGGUGUAUUGUUGUUAAACGUUGGGUCGGCCGGUUGAGGUCGUCCUCAUCUGCACGUACCUCAGCGCAAUAGGUAUUAUGAAUCUCUUCCCAUGUGGUGGGUGGGUACUUCAUGAGAUGACUUAUUAGUUUUUUGGUUGCCCUUGGGCUAUCCUUGCUUAACCCGUUUAGAAAAGCAGCGACCACCAUGCCUUCCGACACAUUUGGUAUGUUCAUCCUUACUCUUUUAAACCUGGCUAGGAAGUCCCGGAAUCCUUCUCCUGUGGUUUGUCGAACGACGAAGAUGUAGUUGAAUCUUGCUUCUGGUUUCUUUUCUCCUGCAUGGGCGGUGAAAAACUUGUCCGCCAUCUCCUUGGAUAUAUAAAUGAUCUUGGCUGGUAGCUGGGAAUACCAGGUUAGUGCUCCUCCUGUUAGUGUUUCGUGUCUUUAGCAGCACAGAUAGUACCUGGUCUUUUGAUAGGUUGUUACCUUUUACAGUUGUGACGUAGUGGAUCAUAUGAUCCUCCGAAUCUGUAGUUUUGUCGUACACUCUUAAAUAGGGAGCCAUUUUGAAGGUUUUUGUGAUGGGAUAUGGUGCAGCCUCUUCCGUGUAGGGUUGUUGAACAAACCUCCCCACGUCACGCUUUCGCAACAGUUUGGGAGCGCCAGGGAUCUUGUCCACCCUCUCAUGGUGUUCCUUCAUCUUGUCACAGAGUGACAUGUUUUUGUUUUCCAUUUCCUCCAUCUUCUUGAGGAUGGCUGUGAGCGUGCCACCGUUGGCCCGAGUAUCGAUGAGCUCAUUGUUUGCUCGUGCAAUCUCGGGUUCACCUUCGACUGCAACAAGGUCUGAUGUUGGCAUGCACCUAACGUUGUUUUAGGGUGACUUUUUAACCAAGCCAUGUAGAGUACUCGCUAACCAUUCUUCUAGUAGUUUUCUGACCUUUGGGAUGCUUCUUUAGUUGCGGAUGUAGAAGCCCUUUUUCCUGCAAGAUCGUUAGAUCUUCGAGUGGUGGAGUUUGGAUUUCUCUCCUUGUGGUGGUGCUGGGGGUUGCAUUCAAACCCCCCCCCCCCCCNNNNNNNNNNNNNNNNNNNNNNNNNNNNNNNNNNNNNNNNNNNNNNNNNNNNNNNNNNNNNNNNNNNNNNNNNNNNNNNNNNNNNNNNNNNNNNNNNNNNNNNNNNNNNNNNNNNNNNNNNNNNNNNNNNNNNNNNNNNNNNNNNNNGGGGGUUGCAUUCAAACCCCCCCCCCCCUUCACCAUCUUCGUUGAGAGGACCGAUGAGAUUGGUUGCAACAUCUGAUAUCGCUUUCAUUCUUGCGUUGUUGUCAACCAUUUUUGUUUGUGUUUUCUAGAAAAGGGUUUUUGAUGGUUCUCUAGGUGCAAAUUAUGGUUUUUAUUCUUGAAAUCCUCAUAGACGGCGCCAAAUUGUUUAGCAAAAAAGUUAUACUCGUACUUUAUAAGCUUAAAAACAAUUGAAAAUAUAUAAGGGUAAAUCAUAAUCAAAUAUAAUGAGCCCUAGUGAUGAUUAUUAUAUUAAGAUUGUUAUAGAUCUGAAAAUGCGAAGAACAAUGAAUUUAGCUUAAGAGAGAAGCAAUAGUUGGAAAACCAAGAAAGAGAUAGAGGUAGAGAGAGAAGUUGUAUUAUCCGAGAAUAAUCAUUCCCCUAUUGCAAUGUGAAGGUCUCCUUUAUAUAGUAGGAGACCAUCCUCGAAGUAAUCAAAAAGUACAAAAGCUGGUGGCUUCCACUCAGUAAAAAGUUAGGCACUAAGCGAUGCCGCUUUUUUUUUACCAACUUGGGAUGUGCCUUUACUUGGGUCGACCUUGUCAUAAGGGACGUGCUCGCUCUAUGUGGGGGCGCUAAGAGCCAAAUUUCACACUAUCAACAAGUUUAAUUAGUUAUCUUCACUGUGGUAAUCUAUUUAUCAACUCUUUGUUGUUUGGAAAAUCUUCAGUUUUAACUUUAUCACUGACACUAAUUGUCUUCCACCCUCAGGAUUUAUUUAAAAAUGUCAAACACCUGUGCAUUAUUGACAUUUUCCUCAAUAUUUUUUUUUAUCUCUAACACCGGCAAAUAAAUUAAAUGAAGAUAACUCAACCUCUUAAUUACUAACAUUUUUUAUUUUUUUGAAUUAAAAGAGCAUAUAUUAAAUACUAAGAUGGUACUUUUAUAGUAGAGUUGUUGGGUACUGCAGGGUACCAAGUGAUGCAAUAUUUUCAAUUAUAGUAUCUAUAUUACAUCCCAAAAAAGACAUAGGCAAUUCAGUUCCUACGAUGUCUGCCCAAAAAAUAUUAUUGACAAACACCGGUGGACUUACAAAAUAACAGGACUAUUCCAAAAACUAUGUUCCACUGCUUCCUUUGCUAAUGCGUCAGCCAAUCUAUUUUGCUCCCUGAAUGUGUGUUUCAUCACCACUCUGCCCAGCCUUUGAAUCAACAACCCGCAUUCACAAAUUAGAGGGUCAAAUAUAACAUUACCUUCUAUUAGCAUGGAAAUUAUUUCUGAAGAGUCUGUAUCUAUAUGCAAAGGAAGAAGGCUUUUUUGUUCUGCCUACAGGAUUCCUUGUCGAAGGGCUCGUAUUUCAGCUUUAAUGGCUGAUGUAUGUGGAAUUUUUUCCAUGUAGCCUAGCAUCCAUUCACCAUUGUGAUUCCUGAAGAUGCAUCAUGUUCCACAAACUCCAUCCCUGCCUUUAGCUGCACCAUCAGUGUUAGAGUUUUAUGAUGCCUCUGGGGGGAGGUUCCCAUUUGAGCAUGAGUUGAUGUGAGCAUAAUUGGUUACUGCUGGUGUGGAGCAUUUGAAAUUCAGUGUCCUUGGCAAUUGUGUUUUGUGCCUUGAUAAGAUCUUUUUUGUUAUUGAACACAUUGAUGUUUCUUGUUAACCAAAUGUGCCAUAGGCAAAAAGAAAUUAGAACUUCCCAUUUAAGGUGUUCAUUGAAUUUCCCUCCUUUAAUGAGAUGCCAGAUCGUGUUCCAUUGGUGAGAGCUAUUUUAUGGAGUUGGAGGAGGAGAGGUAGUAGAUUUGGCCCUGAUUGAAUCCCAGAAAAUGCCAGCAUUAGUGCAUGUGAAGAAUAUAUGGUCUAUAUCCUCAUAUCUAGCAUUGCAUAAUUGGCACACAGUGGGUCAGUUGAUACCCAUAGAGUUGAGCAUAGCUCUUGUAGGAAGUCCUCUAUGGGAUAGGAGCCAGAGGAAGAUGUUGUCCCCUGACAUUAACCCCUUUGUCCCAAACAAUAUCACCAGAAAUCAACCUAUUAUACAACAAAAUACUGAUUGAGAUGAGAGCGAGUGGUACGCCUACCACGAGAUAUUGAUUGAAAUGGGAGCGGGUGGUAAGCCUACCAAAUGGCUAUUUUACAAAGUUCCAAAUGGCUAUUUUUGAAAAGAGCUACUACUGAAUUUUAUUUUAAAAAAAGUUAAAAAAAUAAUCGUUGGGCCUGCCAAGACCUGGCAUCUCUAUUAUUAUUUUUUACAUCAGCUAUGUGUGAUUCUGCUUUCUUCCUUACAUACCAGUACAUUUUUAUUCGUACUGAUGUCUCGUUGCCUGGGGACACUGCGGUUUUCGUCUAUUAUUUAGGCAAGCCUUAGGGUAACUUAUAAAUUGAAUCACUUCUUUUUACAAAUUAUUAACUACAACCAACAGGCAGUCCUGACCCAGGCUUCGGGACGUGCAAGAGUUGGUAGCAGUUGACCUUGGACGCAUCAAAGCCUACUUUCAGGUUUUUUCACCAGGAGGUUUAUCUUGUUAAGGACUUGUAGCUUCCAUAGCCACUUAUAGAUUUGUAAGUUCUCAGUUGGGCUUUGGUCAGCAUUGUGAUGAAGGAAUGAAUAGGCUGAGUUCUGAGAGAAUUUCCCAUUAGGGGUGAGUUCCCAAAUUAAUGUGUCUUCCUUAGUUGUAACACUAGAAAUGAACACAGUAUUUAUGAUGCUAAGAAUGUGUGGUGGGAGAUCAAAGGAGAGGGAGGAUGUUUCCCACGCUCCUCCAUUGUGCAUAGAGUUCACCUUAGUCAGCAUGUCUCUACUUGUCAUAGGACCCUCAAUUAGUUGCCUAAGGGCAGGUUGGUGUGGGAUCCAAGGGUCAUUGAAGAAUAUCACUCUAUUGCCUUUGUUCACAACCCAUCUACUGUCCUGGCUACAUGUUUCCCAACCACUCAGCAUGGAUCUCCAAGUUGGAGAUUUUCUGCUGCUAUGGUGCUUCCCAGCAUUAGCAGCCCUGGACAUGUUACAGUUUUUAUGAAUGAGAACUUUUGUCCAGAGUCUGUUUGUAUUGGUGUAAGCUCUCCAUGCAAGACUUGCAUGAGCAGCUUUAUUCUUGAGUUUAGCUCUUUGGAUCCCUAAGCCACCUUGGUCUUUAGGUCUGGUAAAUACCUCCCACUUAAUCAAGUGCAUUUUGUUCUUUUCCUGUGUAGUGCCCCAUAGGAAGUUCCUAUGGAUCUUAUCAAUCUGAUUGGUUAUCUUAGUGGGUAGUAUUAUAAAUUACAUGGCAUGACUGAGAAUGCUUCCUAGGGUUUCUUUUAUCAGCAUAGUUCUACUUGCCAUGUUAAGGAAUUUGGUUUUCCAGUCUGCUAACAUGUUCUGCAUAUUAUCUUUGAUGUACGGGAAAUCUGAGGCUGUCUGCUUUUUAUUAAGUAUGGGGAAUCCUAGGUAUUUCCCAAAUGAUGAAGACUGGCUGAUAGACGGAGUAUUGGACAUGUGUUAGGCAUUUCUUUGAGGGGUGUUGGAUGACAAAAUGACCUUUGACUUGCCCAGAUUAAUCUUUUGGCCCGAUUGGUUGUUGAAUUCACUUAAAAUGGUGAGUAUAGUGUUGCAGUUUCUGUUGUUCCCUCUAGCAAACAGAGUUAGGUCAUCAGCAAAGAAGAGGUGGGAGAUAUUGGGACCAGCUCUGCUUAUGGUGAUUGGCUGCUACAGAUUUUGGUUGACUGCCUUGUCAAUGGCUCUAGAAAGCAUUGCCAUACAUAUGAUGAACAAGUAUGGAGACAUUGGGUCUCCCUGUCUGAUGCCUCUAGAUGGGGUGAACGCUUCAGUGUUCCCUCAAUUAACAAGGAUUUAUAUGGAGGAAGUACUGAUGCAGGACAUAAUUAGCUUGGAACAUCUUAUCGGGAAAUUGAAGGUAUGGAGAGUAUCUCUAAUGAAGGACCAUUCUAGCCUAUCGAAAGCUUCUUCAAGAUCUAUUUUUAGGAUCAUGCUGGAACUGUGCCCUUUCUUUUUCCUAAAAUAGUUCAUGUACUCUUCCAUUAUGAUUGCAAUAUCACAAUCUCUUCUAUUGCUUAUGAAACUGGCCUGGCUUGGGCCUAUACUGAGGUUCCGGAUAGCUUGAUCCUAUUCACAAUGAUUUUGGUCACUGUUUUGUAUACUGUGUUGCACAGGCCAAUAGGUCUAAAGUUUUUAUCAUGGUUGCCAGGGGGCACUUUGGAAUAAGGCACAAUAGAGUUUUAUUCAUCUCCUUAUCCAUAGCGCAUGUGUUGAAGCACUUCUUGCAGAAUUCUGUGAUACAUAGACCUACAAUGUCCCAAUAUUUUUGGAAAAAGAAUGGGUGAAGCCCAUCAGGUCCAGGGGCUUUGAAGGGUUUAUUGGAGAAGACGGUUCUUUUGAUUUCACUCAUGUGCAGCAGCCUAUCCAUGAAACCCUUGUGGCUUUGGUGCAGGGAAGGUUCCAAGGUGGAAUGUGGAGUGAGCUCCUAGGUAGCAACAGUUUGGGAGGUAGUGUACGGGUCCUUGAAGAAGGUGACAAUGGCAGUCUGGAUUUCAGAUUAUGUGUGCAUCCAGUUGCCAUUGUCAUCCCUUAAGGAAAGAAUUAUAUUCCUUCUUCUUCUAUUGAGAGUAGAGGUAUGGAAGAACCUAGUGUUGGCAUCCCCAUCACUGAGCCAGUUAAUUCUGGAUUUCAACUUCUAUAAGUCUUCCUCAUUUUUGAGUAUGUUUUUAAACUCCUCAUUGAGGUCAUUCUCCAGCUGAUGCAGGAAGCUGCUGAAUUGAUAGUUAGGGGUGUUCAGGAUACCAUGAGCCUGGCUACAAGUCUUCUUUUCCUUUGAAAGCUUUUAGCAAAGACCUGAUGGUUCAAAUUGGAGGCCAGCUCUUGGAACCUGGCAGUAAACGGGAUAAGGGUGGAUUGACUAGAGAAAGCUUGUUGAAUAACAUUUGGGAAGGAGGAAUGACUAGCCCACAUUGUCUCAAAUCUAAACGGUUUUUUGGCUAGUGAACUUUGUGGGCCGUCCAUUUGGAUUUUUAGAGGAAAAUGGUCAGAGUGGGUCCUAGCUAAGUGCUGCACAUAAGCCUUAGGGUAUUGUGCAAUCCAACCUUAAUUGGCAAAGAUCUAUCAAUUAUUUCUAAGAUUAGGGCAUUCCUAUUCUUGUAUCUUUUGUUGGUCCAAGUGUAUUUAGUACCUUUAUACCCUAGGUCAAUUAGUUGGCACAUGUUAAUACAUUUCUAGAAGUUAUUGCUUCUCUUUCGGUUUAUGGGGUUCCCCCCAAACGUAUUCCUAGCUUUUAGAACUUCAUUAAAGUCUCCUCCUACAGACCAACUAUUAUUUAUGGUUGGGUUCCCUCUUGGGCACUCUGCACAGCUUGUGCCUUCUUCUUCAGACUCAAGAUUGGAGUUAGGUUGAUCGGUGGCUUAAUUUGCCCCAUUUUUUAGGCUAAAACUAAGCUCAGACCGCACUUCGCCAUAGUUUUGGGGCACAGUACUACCACAAUCUUGCUCACCUGUACACUGAACUCGAUUGAUCUUACCGAAUCUAGUACAAUUGACUUUAUCCUCGAAGUUUGGUACAAUAUUUCUAUCUCCUAUGUUGUGUAUUUUCUCUUCAGCAUGUCUAGUGCUUUAGAAACCCCUUGGUGGAUGUCUUGAAGCGGGGGUAGUCCGCAUGUUUUCUUUGGUGUGGUCAUUAAUGGGGUCGGUGGUGGCUCUAUCUGGGUAAAGCUUGGUUCCGCCGCCAGGUCUUCCUUCAUUAGGUCUGGGAAGAAGGGGAUGACUUGAAAGCUGUAGAGAAUGUAUUGGUUUAGUGUCUGUGGGUCUGUGAUCAGUGAUGGGCAGUCCGAUGUGGCCAUAGAUUGCCAUAGAAGAGGGCCAAACGCCGUUAGAGCUUUUUUUAGUGCUUCGACUGUCACUCUGGCCAGGUGGGAUGUAUUUUGGACAAUAAGUGACACCUUCUUAUUGUCCAUGGUGAACUCGUAAGAGAGUCCUUGGCAUUCCAAUUCCACCUCCAACCAAGAGCUCGGUUGGUGGUCCUUUGGUAGGGGCUUGGUGGAGACGGUGGUUGGGUGGGUGUUCAUAGGGGUGUUUUUUGCCAUUUUUGGUUUUUUUGUUUUCUAAUUUGGGAAUUGUUGAAAAUGGGGUUAAGGGUGUGAUCCCCCAUUGUAAACCCCUCCGUUGUCACGUCUUCAAACAGUGGAAGGGUUUUGGGGCUUUAGGAUUAGGGGGUUUUGAGCAUUAAUUGAGGAUAUGGCGGAGUUGACAUGUUGCAGUCUUUUAGACUGCGUUAAAGGGUGUUUGAAGGUGAGGCUAUCGAGUGCCAUGUCUGUCGUUUGGUAUUUCUCCAUUAGAGUUAGAGAGAAUUGUAUUGAGGGGUAAGAUUUGGGGGUGGAGUGUGAGAGUGGUUGUGAAAUUCCCUCGUGGGUCAAUGUAGGGAGGUCGGCUGUGUCAUAUGCUAAGGUGAUGAUUUUGCCUGAUUGGAUUGGCCCAGUAUCCAGGAGUGUACGGGUCCUUGAAGAAGGUGACAAUGGCAGUCUGGAUUUCAGAUUAUGUGUGCAUCCAGUUGCCAUUGUCAUCCCUUAAGGAAAGAAUUAUAUUCCUUCUUCUUCUAUUGAGAGUAGAGGUAUGGAAGAACCUAGUGUUGGCAUCCCCAUCACUGAGCCAGUUAAUUCUGGAUUUCAACUUCUAUAAGUCUUCCUCAUUUUUGAGUAUGUUUUUAAACUCCUCAUUGAGGUCAUUCUCCAGCUGAUGCAGGAAGCUGCUGAAUUGAUAGUUAGGGGUGUUCGCUGGUUUUCUUUUGGGUAGUCAACCAUAUAAGGGCCCGCCUUUCUUUUUGAGUUCACCGUUGAUUGUGUUGGUAGGGUAAUAUUUAUUCCAUGAUUGGGUGUGUGCUCGCCCCCUAUUUCUGUUCUAAAUGGGACCGGUAUUGUCCCUUUUUUUGAUUUAUUGGAUUUUUUUUAUUAUUUUAGCCUAAAUUGUUCAAGACAUUGAAAUGUUUAGUGUGAGAAUUUUACCUGGACAUGCUGCACCUAUGUUUACAUGUGCUUCUUUUGUAUGGGGGUUUGAAUGUUUGUCCUCCUUGUGGGGGGGAUUAUUUGUCCCUAUGAACGCCUUCGGUGGAAAGUUACUGUUUUCCAUUCACUUUCAUCUGUCAUUUUUUCGACACGUCCUGGGUUGCCUUGUCUGUCUUCCACUGGUGCUUGUGUCUUUUUAUAGUUGCAUCUAGAGGUUGUGUUUCCAAGUCUGCCACAACUGGUGCAUAACGUACCCUCUCUUUCAUAGAACGCCGCUUACUUGUGGUCACCUAUGAUAACUGAGAUUUCUACUGGGAAUCAAGAGAUACCUGUAUACAAAUCCGUGCAUACCUUCCUCUUAGGUGGAGGAGGUGCAUUGGUCUAUCUUUAGUAGCUUCCCUAACUUUCUUCCUACUUUUUUCAGAAUAACUUGGUCGUAGAAUUUAGUUGGGAGUUGGGUAGGCGUAUCCAAAUGGCUGUGGAUGUGAGUGUCGCCUCAUGAGGUACAAAUUUAGGUUUCCAUUUCCUGAUAGAGAGGAAGUGGCCUGAGACAGACCAUGGUCCCAAGUGAAGAGCCUUAACCAUACUCUCUUCUAAACUAAAUUUUUCUAUGAAGAAAUCCAAUCCUAGGUCAAUCAAGAUUAACGUUUCAAAUAGGUUCCAUAGGUCAAUUAGCUUAGAGCGUAGUACUUGGCAAGGAAUUUUCUUCUUAAAGACUAUUAGGAUACUGAAUACCUCCAAGGUGCGUAAAUACGCUCCUUCUCCUCAGCUGAUAGUGGAAUUGAUCCUUAAGUGUGUUUUUCUCUAGCAUGCUCUAUAUACAUGUCAUUGUCAUAGUAGGUUGCCUGGGUACCUUAUUGUUUGUCUAGGAGCAUUUCCUUGUAGGAGCUUUGGGGAGCUUCCAUCUCCGUUGAUUCAUCCUUAUGUGGUGGUUUUGGGGUCAAAGGAGUUCUGCUCGUGGAAGCGUCCAUCGGUAGUGCACAAAGGGAGAUAGGGAGAGUUUGUAAAGUUAGAGAGAGAAAACCAUACUAUCAUUUGCAACACCUGAACAUCAAUUCAAGUAUCAAAAAAAUACAUGUAAACACCACAAAAGUUCUAUUAUUAAGGGUGUGUUUGGUACGAAGGAAAAUAUUUUUCAAUUUUCUCAUAUUUGGUUGGCUUAAAUAUUUUGCUUAUGAACUCAUUUUCCCCCAAUUGGAGGAAAAUAUUUUCCUUAUAAAGAGAAGGAAAAUAUUUUUCAAAACUCCUUCUGAACCUUCUCUACCAUCACCAACCCACCCCACCCCCUCUCUCCAAAAAAGGCUUCUUUUUUUUCAAAUUUCAGUUUUUCCGUUAACAUCACCUAAUCUACCCCUCCACCCCACACCCACCCCCAACCCCCUCCCACAAUUUUUUUAUUUUUUAACCCUUUUUUUAACAAUUUCAAAUUUUUACUUUUUAUGUUUUUCGGCACCACGUAACCCCCNNNNNNNNNNNNNNNNNNNNNNNNNNNNNNNNNNNNNNNNNNNNNNNNNNNNNNNNNNNNNNNNNNNNNNNNNNNNNNNNNNNNNNNNNNNNNNNNNNNNNNNNNNNNNNNNNNNNNNNNNNNNNNNNNNNNNNNNNNNNNNNNNNNNNNNNNNNNNNNNNNNNNNNNNNNNNNNNNNNNNNNNNNNNNNNNNNNNNNNNNNNNNNNNNNNNNNNNNNNNNNNNNNNNNNNNNNNNNNNNNNNNNNNNNNNNNNNNNNNNNNNNNNNNNNNNNNNNNNNNNNNNNNNNNNNNNNNNNNNNNNNNNNNNNNNNNNNNNNNNNNNNNNNNNNNNNNNNNNNNNNNNNNNNNNNNNNNNNNNNNNNNNNNNNNNNNNNNNNNNNNNNNNNNNNNNNNNNNNNNNNNNNNNNNNNNNNNNNNNNNNNNNNNNNNNNNNNNNNNNNNNNNNNNNNNNNNNNNNNNNNNNNNNNNNNNNNNNNNNNNNNNNNNNNNNNNNNNNNNNNNNNNNNNNNNNNNNNNNNNNNNNNNNNNNNNNNNNNNNNNNNNNNNNNNNNNNNNNNNNNNNNNNNNNNNNNNNNNNNNNNNNNNCUCUCACCUCCCCCCACCCCGCACAAAAAAUUUACUAUUUUUUUUUGUUAUUUUAAAUUUUUAUUUUUUCAUUUUUCUGCAACCCCCCCUAGCCAAAAAAAAUUUGAAUAUAUUUUUCAUUUUAAAUUUUUUUAUUUAUCGGUUUAAUGGUGGAAAAUUUUACAGGUUCCAAAAUUUAUGUGAUGGAGAGUUUAUGGGUUCGAAAUUUCACGGUUUCAAAAAUUUAGCGAUUCGAAAAUUUAUGAAAUUUGUGGGUUCGGAAGAUUGUUGGUCUGAAAGUUUAUGGUUUCAUGUUUAUUAUGUCUAAAUUAUUUUUGAAUACUCUUGAGAAGUCAUUCUUCUUAAUUUGCGUACCAAACACAAAAAUAUAAAUAAGAUUGGAAAAUAUUUUCUACAAAAAAUAUUUUUCGUUAUACCAAACACACCCUAAGUGUUAUUGUAUUAAUUUCCCUAUCAGUUUAAGUAGAUAUAUAAAUGUAUAAAGUUAAUGAAGCGUGAUAUUCACUCCCAUGUUGUUAAUUACACUCCUUUAUCACUCUUUCGGAUAAUGCUUGUUGGCUUGAGUGUAUCAUAAUCUUAUCUAAAUCUUAAAUGGUUAGAGGUAGAGCAUACUUUCAAUUAGUUUCUUAAUUGUAUUAUAUUUCUACACACUUCUCACGUGUGGACCUGCUUUUUUUCAUAGAUCUUAGGCAUAAUACAUACGGAGACACCUAAAGUUGGCUUGAUCUUUCACUUAGACACUUAAACUAGGUCUCUUUCCUAUUAGACAUGUUUCUUAGGCAAUUCUCAUAUCAAUUAGACACAUUUUUUGUUGGCAUAUAAAUUAUUAUGUAGGGAUUUGCUGCAGCUUUGGAAGAAGUUUUACCAAUGCUGAAUUUAGGAUGUGUGUCAGGCAUAUCUGGUCUAAUUGACAUAAGAAAUGGAAAGGGGGGGAAAGGAAAAAAUAGUUUUGGAGGUGCUCUAAAUCUAGUUAUGAAGUUAAGUUUAUUUGUAUGGAUAUUUGUAGAAAUUUAUUAUAUUAUUCAAAAAAUCAUGGGUUAGAGCCUAGUUUGAGUGUCUAAUUGGAAUGAGAAUUGCCUAAGAAACGUGUGUAAUUGGAAAGAGGCCUAGUUUAAGCGUCUAAGUGAAAUAUCGUGUCAACUUUAGGUGUCUACAUACGUAUUACGCCUACAUCCAACGCAUAAAUAUUCUUCUCUUAAUUCUUGGACGGUAGUGAUAUUUGAAUUAACUUAUUGCAUGUUGUAACAUCAUGUUAAGAUGUAGGUUAUCAUCUCAUUAAAAUAGUAUUUGUUAAAAAUAACACGAUUUUUGCAUUUUGCACCUUUAUAUAGUAUACAUUAUUUAUUUAUUUUUAAGAUUAAAGAAUAUUAUUAUUAUAUUAUAGAAAUACUAGUUCCAUAUCGUGCCUUGGGGGACAUGUCCCUUAGUGCCAACGUAGUUACAUAAUUGUUUGAUGCCUUCCAUGCAAUUAUUAUUUCCAAAUGAAGCCAAAUAUUACAUGGCAUUAAAGCACUAUUUCUGGUAUUAUAACUACCCUCCUUGACUUUUAGAUAAGCUAUUUCCACAAAAUUAUGAGGUGUUCCGAUAAGACUAAUACUAUUAGAGAUGCUUUGUUGUAGAGCUUCCUUUGCGAAGAGGUGUGCCACUUUGUUUCCUUCGCAGAAAUUAUGCUUUGUUUUGAUCUCACCUUCUCCGCUAGCAUGUCCAUUAAGAACCUGCAUUCAUCAAUCAAAUUUUUGUAAGAUGGUAAGUCUUCUUCAAGAAAACGGAUUACAUCCAUUGCAUCAGUCUCUAUUUCACAUGGAAUAAGGUUCCUUUGCAUUAUUUUUUGUAAAGCUUGUCGAAAGGUAAGUAAUUAUGAAUGUAUUUGAGAGGUGCUUCCCAGACUAGCAUGAAAACCCACUAUCCAAUCUCCAUUGUUAUUCUGAAUUAAUCCACCAAUGCUACCCUGCGUAUUAUCUUCAUAGAAGGCACCAUCAAAGUUAAAUUGUACCAACAUUUACGGGCGGUGCCAUUUUACUUGGAUUUUAAUUGGGGUGGUAGUGGUCUUGUUAGUAAGUGUAAUUCCAGUGAUUGUUUGAAAGCUUUUCUAGUAUUUAUUUUAAAGUUUUUAUUAUUGACAUUGUUAUCGUUUGUAUUAUUCCAAAUAGACCAUAAGGCAAAAGGGAAGGCAUUUUGCAUUCUCAUAUCACUAUGUAUGGCUUGUGUGAGUUUUUCCUUUAGGAAAUCUACCCAGUUUUGUUGAGGAUUAGGGUUGGUGAGUGGUACUCCUAUGGUUGUCUAAAACGCUUUAGCUAUUUUACAAUCCCAAAAUAUGUGAAGAACUGCUUCCGUUGUUUACAGAUUGGGCAAUUUGUAUUAAUGUUUAUACAUAUCUUCCCUAGAUAUUCUCUAGUAGGUUACCUAGAAUGACAACAUUUCCAUAUAAAGAAUUAGAUUUUUGGGGGCAUUCUAAUUGCCAUAUCCAAUUGAAGUUAUAAUUCUGGUAACUUCGGUUAUCACAAGUUCUUUUAUCAAUAAGCAUAUAGCAUGAGGAGGUUGUGAAUAUAACACUAGUAUUAAUAGCCCAAAUAAUGUUAUUCGCCUUAUUCGAGUUUAUUACUGAGUAGAUGUUAUUGAGUAUGUUACUGGGAAUAUUAAACAAUAUACUAGGCAUCUUAUGGUUAUGAGCAUCAUUUAGAGUAAGAUCACAAUAUUCUUUAAUAAUGAGGCCUAUGACAUUCUUCCUUAGAGAACCAAACAUUGAUAUCCAAUUUGUGUCCCAAAUGUAUAAAUUGGGGUUGUUUGCUACUGACUAUCUAAUACCUUUUUUGCAAAAGACCCAACCCUUUAGGAUACUUUUCCAAGUGUGAGAGUUACUUUUGGAACUUUUAUUAAGACCAUAACAACUAUAAAAAAUACAAACCCAAGGAGAAGAGGGAUUAUUUAAAAGUCUCCAAACUAGACUUUUAAGGAGGGAUAGGUUUUUGUGUUUUGCUUUUCUUAUUUCUAAUCCUCUCACUCUUUAGGCAUUGUAAUAAUUUCCGAGCUAACAAGGUGGAGUUUCUUUUUUUUUCCGGGGUGGAUCCCCAUAAAAGGUCUCGUUGAAUUUUGUCAAUUUCCUUGAGAGUUCUACUGUGGAGCAUUGACAGUUGCAUUUGAUAUUUAGGAAUUGUGUUAAGAGUAGAUUUAAUGAGGGUGCAUCGGCUAGCUAUAUUAAGCCAGUUAGCAUUAGCCUAGCCCUCAUUUUCUCAAUUAUUGAAAUAUAAUCUUUAUGUUUUGGGUAGGUGCAACUCAUAGGGAAUCCUAGAUAAGUACCAAAUCCCCUACUAACUUUUAUAUCUAGUAGGGAUGUGAUCCAACUAAUCGUAUCACUUGAGUAAUUACUAGAGAGGAGUAAUUUAGAUUUUUCAUUAUGAAUAUUUAGACUAGAUAAUUGGCCAAAGGUAUCCAUAAUAUGCUUCAUGUUGCUAAUGGUCUUUUUAUUAGUUUUUCCCAUGAAUGUGAGAUCAUCAGCAAAAAAUAGAUGAGAUAAGGGGGGCUAGGUUUAUUUAUAAAAAUAGGAUCCUAUCUUAGGGUAUCAAUUUGGUGUUCUAUAUUUUUUUAGAGAAGGUCCAUACAUAAUGAAAAUGUAUGGUGACGUAGCGUCCCCUUGUCUUAUUCCCCUAGUGGGGGGGGGGGACCUCANNNNNNNNNNNNNNNNNNNNNNNNNNNNNNNNNNNNNNNNNNNNNNNNNNNNNNNNNNNNNNNNNNNNNNNNNNNNNNNNNNNNNNNNNNNNNNNNNNNNNNNNNNNNNNNNNNNNNNNNNNNNNNNNNNNNNNNNNNNNNNNNNNNNNNNNNNNNNNNNNNNNNNNNNNNNNNNNNNNNNNNNNNNNNNNNNNNNNNNNNNNNNNNNNNNNNNNNNNNNNNNNNNNNNNNNNNNNNNNNNNNNNNNNNNNNNNNNNNNNNNNNNNNNNNNCCCCUAGGGGGGGGGGGGGGGACCUCAUCGUAGUGCCAUUAACAAGGAUUGAUAUGGAUGAUGUAUAAAUACAAUUCAUAAUAAAUGUGGAUAUAUUAGGAGGUAUUCCAUGGUAUCUAAGAGCUUGGUGGACAAAGGACCAUUCCAAUUUGUCAAAAGCCUUUUUCUAGGUCUAGUUUUAGGAUCCAAUUGCCAAUUUUUGUUUUCUUGUUAAGUCGUUUGAGGACCUCUUGAAUUAUGAUGGCAUUAUCAUAAGUGCGUCUAUGUUUUAUGAAGCUAGUUUGAUGAUCACUAGCCAUCUUGCUAAGGAAUGGUUUAAGUCUGUUAGCAGUGAAUUUGGUGACGACUUUGAAGAGGGUAUUACAAAGACGUAUGGGUCUAAAGUUCUGUAGCUUAUUAGCAUUGUUGAAUUUAGGAAUUAAACAAACAUAAGUCUUAUUGAGGUCAUUAGGAAUAUGCCUUGUGUUGAAAAUUUGUUGGCAUAGAUUAAUCACUUUAUACCCUGAAGUUGGCUAGAACUUCUGAAAGAUAAGUGGGUGUAGUCCGUCAGGAUUCGGGGAUUUUGUAGGAUUGAAGGAAAAUAUGGCUCUUCUGACCUCGUGGUUCCUAAGUGGUUUAUCUAGACACGACAAGUCAAGUUUACUACAAAAUUUUAGCUAAUACCAGUAGCCUUAUUUCAUGUAGUAAAUUAAUGAGAAGUAGUGAAGAUAUUAUGGAAAUAAUUUGUUACAUAGUCCAUAAUGUCUCUUUUAUUUUCAAUCCAGUUACCAUAAUUAUCUUUAAAGAAGACUAAAUUAUUUUUUCCUUCUACAGUUUGUAGCUUGUGUAUGGAAGUAUCUAGUAUUUGCAUCUCCAUCAUUUAGCCAAUUAUUUCAUGAUCUUAGCUUUCAAUAAUAUUCUUCAAUUCUAAGGAUUGAUUCAUAGUCACUUAUUAGAGUAAUUUCUAAAUUUUUGAGGAAGGUACUGUAUGGGUAGCUAGAGAAAUUUUGUAUCAUGUAAUGCGUUUGAGCAGGUUCCUUUUUUUUUUUUUUGCUAAUAUAUUGCCAAAAGUCUCCUUUUUCCAAGUUACCACAUCUUCUAUGAAUUUGAUUGUUCCUUCUAAGAUGUUCUUGUCUUUCCAACUAUGUUGAACUAUCCUAGGGAAGUCCAGAUGAGAACACCAAAAAGUUUCUAUCCUAAAAGGUCUAGAGGUAGAGUUAUUUAACUUGUUGUUAAUAUUAAUCAGUAUUGGGAUAUGGUCAGAGUGCACUUUAGGGAGGUGUGUGACUGUUACCUUAUUAAAACCAUUUAACCAGCUUUCUUUAGCAUAGACUCGAUCUAGUCUUUCCAUUGUCAAGCAUUUAUUUUUCCUACGGUGGUUUGACCAGGUAUACUUGUAGCCCUUACAUCCUAGGUCCAUUAGAUGACAAUAAUCAAACCAAUUUACUAGAUAAGUAGCUCUUUUUUAGUUUAUAGUUCUACCCCAAAAUUUAUCCGUGGAGUUGGUUCCACUAGAGUUUCCUUCAGCUGGGACUUCCACUAUUUCAUUGAAGUUAUACCCUUUCAGGAUGGAGAUAUGAGUAUCAAUUUUAGUUCUUAGUAAGGCAACUAGACUAGGUAUAUGUGUGUCAAGUAUCUCACGAAAAUGCCUAGUAAAAUUUUUGUUAUUAGCACCCUUACAUUCCAAACAAUAAUGUGACUAGGUUGUAGCAUUGGAUUCAUGAUUGGGUUGAUGUUUGGAUUCCUCCUUAAGGAGGGAACUAGUAUUACAACAUUCUUGCAUACUGUGGGAUUGUGGGGAGGACGGAUGUCCAAUGAGCAUUUGUAGAGUAUCGUUGGGCAGCUGAAGAUACACUUCUUAUCUAGCCUUUCCUUGAAGAUUAGUAUUUUUACCUCGUUUAGGUUUGAGAAAAUCACUGGUGGCUCCAAUAGUAGUUAUAGGUCCUUGUCCUCCUCCUCUUCCUCCUCUUGAGCUUCCUAUUGACCUUGCAUGCUUGGCAUUGGAAGAUUCACCUCCAUUGGCUCUGGUUGUGUACCUAGUAGUUGGCCUUGCAUGUGUUGUUGUUGUUGGUGUGGUAUCCAUGGCAUGUAGAUGGGGUUCAACAACAUUAUAUCUUCCGAGGAAAAGAAUUGAAGAUUGAUUGGAGGGUUUUGUGGGAGUUGUUGGUUGGCAUUGUGAGGAAUAUGCAACAUCUCUUGCAUAUUCUGGACUAGAUGUUGGUUCAUUGAUGGUGCAAGGGGUUGGAGGAUAUUGCUCAUUCAUAUUUGGUUGACAUAGUUAUUCAUUGAUAAUGUCAUUCCUUCCGAGAUUAGUUGUGCUAGAAAGUGAGUGCUUUGGAUUAUGAGUAGGGAGUCCUGGCCAUUGAUCUCCAUGUUGAAGGAUAUGGCUUGGCCUUGUAACCCCAGGGUCACCCAGGAUUGGGGUACAUAAUUGGGAGGGCUUGGAGGUAAGCAUAUAUUACUGGCUGAGGUUGGAUUUGGGGUGGUAGAGGUGGGAGAUUGUUCAUUGUGGAUUCCUUUAUAGAUGGAAGAUUUGAAGAAGUCUGUAUCUUCUCCUUACUGUGAGUGGUGUUCUUGCCAUCGUUGGCCUUUAGGAAAGAUAUAGAUGAGGAGGGGGUGUUUGAGUAGAUGGGUUUGUAUUUGUGUAGUGUAGAGUUGUGGGAGAGUGGAUGUCUUGAAUGUCUUGCGUGUAGUUUAUAUCAUUUGACGCAAGAUCCUGCAUAGAUUUUGUCACCUCCAUUUGGCAUAUUUCUUACGCCAAGUGUUGCAUGGGAGAUUGGUCAUUAAUGUAGGUGAAUUGCAUGUUGUUUUUAAUUGUUUGAUCUAGCGUAUUAAUUGAUUGGUUGUGAGAGUUGCCAUCUUGGUUAGGAGUACACGUAAUGAUAUUAUUUCCCUUUAGUAAUUGGAUUAGUCCACUAGUUAUGUUCUUUUUCUUAUUGUUAGAUAAACGAUUUUCAUCAUUGUUGGAAAGAUUUGGUAGAGACACAUUUUUGCUACUUGUGGAGUUUGUGGCAUUUGUGCCAUGCAAAAAUAUUUUUAUUUUUACUAAUUUUUAUCUUGGGAUUUUCCAAAACCAUGGACACAUGUGGUAUUAUCCCUAAAAUACUCACAUUUUUGUUGAGUGGUUUUCUGACUGGUUCUUGUGGUUCUAGGAAUAUUUUCCCUUCUAGGUCUAAUUGAGUAUCUAUAUUGGAUUUAGAAGUAGCUGACUUUGGAGUAGAAGUGGCAGUGUAGAAGAUCAUACCUGGGGACAUGGGCAACUUACCUGGCCCAUGCAUCGCCAUCCCUCUUUGUUGAUUGGUUUGUUUGCCUUUCCCUUUCCGUAGAAAGUGCAAUGUCUGCCAUUCAUUUGUGUCUAGCUUUUCAUCACCUUAUUCUUCCUCAUUGAUCUGGUCUAGAUGUUGUCUAUUUGGUCGAGUUUUAUAUUGACGCUCAACUGUAGUAUGUCCCAACCAUCCACAAUCUUUACAUAGAAAUCCUUCCCCUUCGUAUAGGAUAGGUUGGAUGUGGCGGCCAAUAAAGAUGGAUGUUUGGACAGGAUGGUUUACAGGCAAUUCCACACAAAGUCUAGCAUAUCUCCAUCUUAGGGUGGCCGAUGUAAAUGCAUCCACCUUUAGAAGUUUAACAAUGCAAUUUUUAAUUUUUGUGAGAAUUAUCCUAUUGUAAAAUUCCGUAGGAAGUUGAGGUAAUCUAAUCCACACUGUCAUGCUACUUUGGCAUGCCUUAUUCGCAACAAAAAUUGUGAUCCAUUUUCGUAUUGAUAAGAAAUGGUCAUUAAUAAACCAUGGGCCAUUAUGUAGGAUUUUCAUCAUGUUUUUCUCCUUUAUUAAUUUGACAAUAUAGUAGUCCUCCCCUAGGUCGAUUAGGGGGUAAUUUUCAUCAAUUCUCCAAAGAUCUUGUGUUUUCUUUUUGAGAUAUUGAUGCAUUAUUCUUUUGCGCAGUGGCUUAAUUAUUAGUGAGUACCUCAAUGGAUUGUAUAUUCGUCGUCUAUCUUUUUCACUUAGUGUGACCUGAAUUAACUUCUUGCAUAUUGGUCCCAAUAAGGUCUCUGCCUUCUUGUAAGUUUGAGUGUCCAUCGGAGAAUUUUGUGUUUCAACAUAUGAAUUAUUGCCCAUAGAGAACAGUUCUUCUUGUGUUAAUUUUUCCUUAUAGAAGCACAUUUGGUGGUGGUUAUUGAUUCACUAGGUAGGGGAUUUUAUGAAGGUUGUUGUAUAUCUGAUGGUUUAGGUGGUAUUAAUAAAGUCUUCAGUUGCACCUUAUGCUCUCAUAUUUUAAAUUAAUUACCCGUUAAUUUAUUCUUCUUUUUUUUUGCAUCACUUAAAAGAAUUUAAUUUGAGAGGCUAAAAAGGAAUUAAUUGGAAGGAAAAUAGAAGAUAUUGCAGUUGCCAUCCGAGAGUAUGCAGACUUAAUUCUAGUUUCCAUCCGAAUGUUAUAUACAUUGUAAAGCCAGCAAAGUAACUCGAUUCCAUUUGAAUGUCCUUUUGUUUGUGUCAUGUUCAUUUUGCUUUCAAUUAGUUAUUCUUUAACAGCAUUGUCAUUAAAUUCCUUUGUGCAUGUAAAGCCACGGUUAAUUAGUUCUUAUUCCAUCGGGUACAUAAGUGACCAAUUUGUUCUUUUAUUUUGAUUUAAAAUAAAUAUUUAUUUAUAUAAUCAAGAAAAAAAUUAAUUUAUUUUUUCAAAAUUACGUAUUCCUAAAAAAAAUUAUUGCUUACAUUAACUAUGCUGUAUAAUACUUCCUUCGGUCCAAAAUAAAUGAUUUUUUGGCAUUUUUAGUCCAGAAUAAGUGAUUUUUUCACAUUUCAAGAAUAAAUUAAUUAUUUUUUCCUACAUUGUCCUUGGAGUAAAUAGUGUUGGAAUAUGUGUUAGGAGUGUUUAUGUGAGAUAGUAAAGGUUAAUAUGGUCAAUUCCAUUUCUAAUUAAUGCUAAAAUGUGAAUUUCUUAAUCUGCAUGAAAACAUCCAAAAAAAUCACUUAUUUUGGACCGGAGGGAGUAUUAAUUAAGGGUAGUAUAGACAUACUAACUACUUUUGUCUAGACUUUAGUAUUUCUUUAAUGGGUGUAUUCAAGGCAAAUUGGUCACUUAUUGUGGAGCUGAGGGAAUACACGAUUUAAAUCGAUCAAAUGGACCAUAAAUAUUUUGAGUUCCGAACAUAGUUUAUAGCCUGUUUGGCCAAGCUUUUUUUUAGGCCAAAUGUGUUUCUUUUUUUUUUUUUUUUCCAAAGUGCUUUUGGCCAAUAAUUGAGGUGUUUGGCCAAGCUUUUAUAAAGAAAAAAGUACUUUUGAGGGGAAGCAAAAAUAGUUUUUGAGAAGCAGAAAAAAGCUUCUCUCCCAAAAUACUUUUGAGAAAAAUACAUUUAGAAAUAGUUUCCAAAAGCUUGGCUAAAUACUAAUUUCUGUUAAAAAGUGCUUUUCAAAUCAAUUAACCAAAUAUAAAUUGAUUUUUACCAAAAUAAUUUUUCUAAAAGACAUUUUUGAGAAAACUACUUCUCAACAAGCGGACCAUUAAUCUUUUGGCAACAUCUAAGCCCAAAGUCAUUUCUUGAGUGUCUUGCGCGUACUAGUCCCGAAUGAGUCCCGGUUUCACCUUUUAAAAUGUUGAUAAGAAUUUUGUGGUCAAAUGUCGACGGACAACCUAAUGAUGUGAUCUUACGUGCCAACAAUUCUCCUUCAUGUAACUGCAUCAACUUUUUGAGAACAGAUAUUUACUAAGAGAAUGAUUUGAACCAGCCAUAGAGCAUCCCUACAAAAAAGUACCACACAUAUCUAACAUCUGAGUAACCUCCAUGUUUAGUCCUCAAAUGUUUCAUCAAAAUUCAAUGUCGGGCCUUGUGGUUUCGAAUGUAUCGAUUGGGUCCUUAACAAGAUGCUAUUUCUCCUAUAAUGGUCCCUGAAAUGCUAAUAUUUUUAGUCUAAGUAUCUCCAUCACUCCAUGCAUGUUCAUGACACUAUAAGCUACCAUGCGUAAAAAGUUCAAAGUACAAAAAUAAAUUAAAAAAAAAAGAUGAUAGGAUAACUUUGCGCUUGAUGUUUUGGAACCAUAAUGGAGGGGCCAAGUCACAGUAUUAACUAAGGUUUCGGACGAAUCUCAUGGAUUUUGUUUAGACUAUGUAUUUGUAUGAAAAUACUAUAAAUAUGUAUUAAUAUUUAAUUAUAAACUCAAUAAUUAAAACGAGUUACGAGGUCGAUGACAGGUUCAAACCCAUGGAUGAACUUCACAUGCCGGCUCACACCUUGGCAAAUAAUGGGAAGAGAAGGACUAACAUGGGGGAGAAGAGUCUGUCAAGAUAGCCAUAGAUGACUGCCUAACAUGACAACCAAAACAAGUGUUUCAGCUUAGUUUGUUAGUAGUAUAUAUAUGUAGGCAAGUCAUCCUUGCCUACUAAACAAAUUAAAGGCUCUUCCCUUCAUGUAAGGCCUCUCUUCCAAGCAUAAGUUCACUAGAUUUUAGCUUGUGUGGAUUGUUUGCUUUCUUAUUUCAAUAUUUAUAGCCAAAUCGAACGAGUUUGACCCUUCCGCCUAGUUGCCUCAUCCAUUAGAUUCUCUGAUCCUUCACUCUCUCCAUCUACAUAAUGCUAUUCUUUCUGUACAAGAAUAUAUUCUAGUGAGAUGAAGAUUGAUGAUUUUAUGUUUGCUACUUCAUUUCUAAUUUCUUACCAGAGGUUUGGCAUGGAAUAAAAGUUUAUAUUUAUAGAAAGUAGGAUGAGUCAAAAAACAUUAUUUAUAUGUAUAACAGGAAAAUACUAUGAGAUGAGUGAUGAUAUGAGAAGCGAUUCCGAUUGGGACCUAUACUUUUAAGGGGAUUUUUCCUUCCUAUACCAUAUAUGAAACUUUAUUAUAAAAAAUAUGCAUAGUUUCUAAUUUAUCGCCCUGACCACAUUUAUCCUAUAAUUAUUAUGUCAUUCAUUAAAUAUUAAUUAUUAGUAGCUGAAUCUUUCUAAUUAGGCGUGCUAGAAUUCAGCAGCAGAAUCUUCUAAUCGAUUUAGCUACAAAUCAAAUCUGUUCAAAAGCUCAAUUCGUUGAAAUCAAAUCUGUUCAAAGCUCAGAUCUGUUCUUCGAUAUUUUUGCUUAAGACACAAAUCAAAAGCUCAGUUCGUCGAAAUCAGAAGCUCAAUUUCAAAUUGAAGAAAUCAAUCAUGCAAAAGCUCUAUUCGUCGACAUUCUCUCCACAUCUCUCUUUAUUUCUCAAUCGCAAAUUCUAGUAAUACAAAGCAAAAGACAAGAGAGCAACAAUUCCACCAUUGACAUCCAUUAAAAAGCUUGAAAGCUUUCGAUUCAAAUUUAGGUUUUAAAAAAUUGUUAUUUGUUUGGAUUGGGUAAUGUUGAGAAUAAUCAAGAAUAUGGUUUGGAGUUUAUAUCUCAAUUUUAAGGGGUUUUGGUGAAGAUUAGACUUGGUUUUGACUGAAUUUCUUAUUGAAACUCGAAAAAAUGCAGAAAUUGUAGAUAAAUUAUACAUUAUUUGCAUUCUGAUUGUCGAUACAUUAUUUUCUGUUUUCACAAAUAAAAAAAUGGCUAAAACUUCUACAGAUCUUCUGAAAAAACGCAAUUAUAUCAAAAAUUUCAAUUAUGCUACAAUUGAAUGGGAAUUGGGAUAUAAAAAUUCAAUGUACCUGUAACGACCCAAAUUUCCCACCAUCGGGAGCCGUGAUGACACCUACUAUCGGAGCUAGGGAAGCCAAACAUUCAAACAUUUUUCUGAUAACAGUUUACAAUAUAAACAAACGGAAGCAAUUAAAUAAAAUCAGAAGGCACUUAAACUUGUAUAACCGAAAUCAAAAUGCGGAAGUUAAAACACAUUUCUACCCAGAGUCUGGUGUCACUAGCCACGGACUGCUAAAGAGUACUACAUACAAGUCUGAAUAGACAAUACAUAAUGUUUGUCCCGGUACAAUAAAAACAAACUGAAAAUAUGGAAAGGGACUUCAGCCUGCAAACGCCUGCUAGACUACCUCGUAAGUCCCUGGACUGAAGUCAGCUCCCAAUCAAUACGCUACUAAUGUGGUCAAGAAGUUGCUCCCGUAUCGUGAUUUGUGAGUAAAGCACAGAAAUGUAGCAUUAGCACAACCGACCCCAUGUGCUGGUAAGUGGCUGGCCUAAACCUAGCGAAGUAGUGACGAGGCUAGAUAGGACCUACCAAAAAUAACCUGCGCAGAUAUAUAUAUGUACAAAGGCAACAGAAAUAACAACAUGAAACAUCAAAGAAAACUGGGAAGGGCAUGCUCGGGGGAGAUACAGUGAAAGCAGAUCAACAGAUAUAACAACAAAUCUACAUCAAUGUUAUAGCUCAUAUAAGUGGUCGGCACGCCACACGAUCCCAUUUCAUAAUUCAUAAGUAGAUGGCGCGCCACAUGAUCCCAUAUCAUAGUUCAUAAUUGGACGGCGCGCCACCAGAUCCCAUAUCAUAUUGACUAAUACAUAUACUCUUUCUAGAGGAGGCCCCAUUAGGGAAGUUCAACAACGUAACGAUUUAAUCUGACAAGGGUACAACUAAUAGGCCAAAUAUCCCGGCAAGAGAGCAACACCAAUAAUAGACUACGUGUCCCGGCAAGGGAAAUAGUCACAAAAACUUUCUCUUUUAAUCACUUCUUUCUCAAUUAUCAAAUUCUAGUUCGAGGCAAUGCUCCAAUGAUAUACCAAUCGCAACUAUUCACAUUAUAUGAAACUUAGACAACUAUUUACAUUAUAUGAAACUUAGCAAUUAGACAAGAAAGAUGUAUCACAAAGUCUGAAUCAGACACACAUUUAAGACAUACGGUCAUGCUAGACUCCAUUGUAUAGAUAACUGUCACCAUGCUUAUACACUGUACUCGUCAUUUAGCAAUUAGCAAAUAAUAACUUAAUCUUAUUCCCUCUAACCAAAGUUAGAACAAAGACUUACUUCGGCCCAAAAAUAGCAAUCAACUCUGUAAUACCGCCUUUCCUCUACAAUCCGACUCCGAAACAACGAUAUCUAGGCAUAAUCAAUUCAAUAAUAUCAAUAAAGGCUCUAAAACAAAAUCUCAUAGCCUAGAAAUGAAGUCCCUAGCAUUCUUCCAAAAAUACCAAAAUCCAACACCGAGCGCACAUGGGUCAAACUCGAGGCUCGGACCAAAACCCGUUCACCCAUAACCCCCACGAGCUUAAAUAUAUAAUUAUUUCAAGAUUAGACUCCAAAUUGAGGUUGAAUCACCCAAAAUUUCCAAAACCCUAACUUUACACAAAAACCCCAAUUUCUACUUUGAAUUCAUGAUUUAGGGCUAGGAAAUUAGUGAUUAGUUUGAGAAAUUAAGAGACGAUGAUGUUAGGAACACUUACCUAUGAAGCUAUGGACGAAAAUCUCUUCAAAAUUCAUCUAUGGAGGGUUUGAGAGAAGAGCUCAUGUGAUAAUAUGAGAAAAUCCUGUAAUGGCUAUUGUUUUGAACAUUUAAAAUAACUGGGCAAAAAUGCUCUAUGCGAUCAUGGGGAAAGGAGUGCGAUCACUUAGAGUAAAGGGAACUGUGCUCUGCGAUCGCAUGAGUAGAAGUGCGAACGCAUAGAGGAAAAAGGGAGUCAAAAGUUCUGGUGGGAUAUAAUGCUCUGCGAUCGCGGAUGGAGUGUGCGAUCGCGUCUAAGUGACUGGCAUAACUAUGCAAUCGCAGAUCAGAGGUUGCAAUUGCAUAGAGCAAAACGGGGCACAAAAAUUUAACACUAUGCAAUCGCGGAUAGGUCUAUGCAAUCGCAUAGAACAAAACACCUGUGUAAAAAUUGCAGAAAAUCUGCCAACUUCCUAAGGCCAAAAACACCCCGAACCACCUCCGAAACACUUCCGAGCCCCCGGGGCUCCCAACCAAAUACACGUACUAACUCAAUAAUAUCCUACGAACUUAUUCAAGCGAUCAAAUCGCUAAAAUAACACCAAAAUCAAAGAAUCACGCCCCCAAAAUCAUCAUUAAUCAUUCUAAUUUCAUAAACUCUCAUCUUUAGAUAUUUAGGUUCGAAACACAUCAAACGACGUCCAAUUUCGACCAAACGUCACAGAAAGCGCUUAACAUAUAUUUAAGACCUAUACCAGGGGUCGGAACAAAAAUACGGGCCUGAUACCUACAUUUUCUAACUCAUUUUUAUUUCAAAUUUUCACAUCAUUUUCAGAAGAAGAUUUUAUUUCAAAAAUUCAUUACUCGAGCUCGGUACCUCGAAUUUCAAUUCUGGGAAUGCACCUGAGUUUCUUAUUUUUCUACGGACCCUCCGGGACCGUCACAUUACAUGUCCGGGUCCGUUUACCCAAAAUAUUGAUUAAAGUCAACUUUAACAAUAUCAAUAUCAAAAUUCAUCAAUUUUGUUUUCACAUAAUUCACAUAUUUCUACAUAAAAGAUUUCUGGCUACACGCUCGGACUACGUACGCAAAACAAAGCCACUAAAAGCGAGUUUUCAAAGCUUUGGAUGCACGGAAAAGGGAGAAAUGCGAUGAUGACCCUUUGGUUCGUUACAUUCUCCACUUCUAAAAUAAUUGUUCGUCCUCGAACGGACAAAAGAAAGAAGUACCUGAGUCGCGGAAUAGAUGAGGAUAACGACUCCGCACAUCAGACUUGGACUCCCAGGUUGAUGCCUCUGGAGGCUAACCUCUCCACUGAAGGAAAACUCUUCGACCUCAACCGUCGAACCUGUCGGUCUAAAAAGCUACCGGCUCCUCCUAAUAAGAUAGAUCCUUGUCUAAUUGGACAGUGCUGAAAUCUAACACUUGGGAUGGAUCGCCGUGAUGCCUCCGACGCAUGGAUACAUGGAAAACUGAAUGUACGACUGACAAGCUAGGCGGCAGGGCUAGUUUAUAAGCCACAUCUCCCACAUGAUAAAGAAUCUCAAAUGGGCCAAUGAACCUAGGUCUAAGCUUGCCCUUCUUCACGAAUCACAUCACACCCUUCAUUGGCGACACUUGGAGCAACACUCGCUCCCCAACAAUGAAAGCAAUAUCUCGGACUUUGCGGUCUGUAAAACUCUUCUGCCUAGACUGAGCUGUCUAAAAUCUGUCCUGAACGAUCUUGACCUUAUCCAAGGCCUCCUGAAUUAGAUCUGUACCCAAUAACCGAGCCUCUCCCGGCUCUAACCAUCCCACUAGAGACUGAAUCGCCUACCAUACAACGCCUUAUAUGGAGCAAUCUGAAUGUUGGAAUGCUAGCUAUUGUUGUAGGCAAAAUCUACUAAAGGGAAGAACUGGUCCCACGAGCCUCCGAAAUCAAUGACACGGGCUCGGAGCCUAUCCUCCAAUAUCUGAAUUGUCUGCUCGAACUGUCCGUCCAUCUGGGGAUGAAAUGCUUUUCUCAAUAUAACCUGGGUGCCCAACUCCUACUGGAGUGCUCUCUAGAAAUGCGAGGUAAAUUGAGGACCCCGAUCCGAAAUGAUAGAUAUCAGCAUUCCAUGAAGGCGAACAAUCUCUCUAAUGUAGAGCUCCACUAACCUCUUUGAAGAACAAGUGGCUGCAACAGGAAUAAAGUGUGCUCACUUGGUCAGCCUAUCAGCAAUGACCCAUACAGCAUCAAACUUCUUCCGAGUCAUCGAAAGUCCAGUAACAAAAUCCAUAGUAAUCCUCUCCCAGUUCCACUCGGGAACCUCAAUCCUCUGAAAUAAACCACCAGGCCUUUGAUGCUCGUACUUAACCUGCUGACUGUUCAAACAACGAGCCAUAUAUGAAACAAUAUCUUUCUUCAUUUUGCGCCACCAAUAGUGCUGCCUCAAAUCCUGAUACAUCGUCGCGGUGCCCGGAUGAGUAGAAUACUGAGAACUAUGGGCCUCCGCUAAGAUCAACUCCCGAAUACCAUCAACAUUGGGCACACAAACUCGCCCCUGCAAUCUCAAUACACCAUCAUCUGCCAAGGUCACUUUCUUGGCACCUCCACACUACACCGUGUCUCUCAGGACACAAAAAUGGAGAUCACAAAACUUUUUCUCACAGAUACGCUCUAAUAAUGACGAACGAGCAACCGUGCAAGCUAACACUAUGCUAGGUUCAUAAAUAUCUAACCUCAGAAAUCAAUUGGCCAAGGCUUGAACAUCCAAAGCAAGCGGCCUUUGGCUGACCGUAAUAUAAGCGAGACUAGCCAUGCUGGCGGAUGUCCUACUCAAAGCAUCAGUCACCACAUUGGCCUUCCUCGGGUGGUAUAAGAUAGUAACAUCGUAGUUUUUCAACAACUCCAACCACCUCCUCCACCUCAAAUUCAACUCAUUUUGCUUGAACAAGUAUUGAAGGCUCUUGUGAUCCGUGUACACCUCACACGUCACACCAUAUAGGUAAUGCCUCCAAAUAUUCAAAGCAUGAACAAUGGCUGCCAACUCUAGAUCAUGAACUAGAUAGUUCUUCUCGUGGAUCUUCAGUUGCCUCGAAGCAUAGGCUAUGACUCUUCCAUCAUGCAUCAAUUCUUCGCCAAACCCAAUAUGGGAAGCAUCAUAGUAAACGGUAUAAGGCCCUGAUCGGGUGGGCAAAACCAAUAUCGGUGCCGUAGUGAGAGCUGUCUUGAGCAUAUGGAAGCUCGCCUGGCACUGAUCUGACCACCUGAACUGGGCACCGUUCUGGGUCAAUCUGGUCAUCGGGGCUGCAAUAGAUGAAAACCCCUCCACAAACCGACGGUAGUAACCUGCUAACCCCAACAAACUCCGGAUCUUUGUAGCUGAUGCUGGUCGACGCCAGUUCUUGACUGCCUCAAUCUUCUUCGGGUCCACCUAAAUACCCUCUACUGAAACAACGUGACCCAGGAAUGCAAUAGAACUCAACCAGAAUUCGCACUUCAAAAACUUGGCGUAUAAAUGACUAUCCUUCAUAGUUUGAAGAACCACUCUGAGGUGUUGCUCAUGCUCCAUAAAUGUUGCUGGGGCAUUGGUCAACCCGAAUGGCAUGACCAAAAACUCUUAAAGCUCAUACCGAGUGCAAAAUGAUGUCUUAGGGACAUCAGACACCCUAAUUCUUAGCUGAUGAUAACCAAAUCUCAAAUUUAUCUUUGAAAACACCCUAGCACCCUGAAACUGGUCAAAUAAAUUGUCAAUCCUCGGUAGUGGAUACUUAUUCUUUAUCAGCACCUUGUUCAAUUUCCAGUAAUCAAUGCACAUCCUCAUAGACCCAUCCUUUUUCUUCACAAAUAACACUAGCGCACCCCAAGGUGAUACACUAGGUCUAAUGAAACCCUUAUCAAGCAAAUCCUGCAGCUACUCCUUUAACUCUUUUAACUAUGGCGGGGCCAUGCGAUACGGCAGAAUGGAAAUGGGUUGAGUGCCUAAAGCCAGAUCAAUACAGAAAUCAAUAUCCCUGUCAGGCGACAUAUCCGGUAGGUCUGAAGGGAAAACCUCGGAACUCCCGAACAAUAGGAACAUAAUCGAUAGAUGUGACUUCUGCGCUGGAGUCGCGAACAUAUGCCAGAUAUACUAGAUACCCUUCUCGACCAUGCAUCGAGCCUUAACAUAUGAAAUAACACUGCGGGUGGCAUGACCUGGGUUCCCUCACCACUCUAGUCAGGGAAAAUAUGGCAAAGCCAAGGUCACGUUCUUGGCGUGACAAUCCAAAAUAACAAGAUACGGGGUCAGUCAAUCCAUCCCCAAUAUAACAUCAAAGUCCACCAUAUCUAAGAGCAAUAAGUUAACACAGGUCUCAAGACCCUCAAAUAAUACCACAUAGGAACAAUGCACUCGGUCGACCAUUAUAAAAUCACCCACCGGUGUAGAAAAAUAAACAAGAACACUCAAGGCAUCGUUAGACAUCACCAAGUAGGGUACCAAAUAGGACGACACAUAUGAAUACGUAGAUCCAGGAUCAAAAAGCACUAAAGCACCUCUAUCACAUACCAGAAUAGUACCUGUAAUAAUAGCAUCAGAAGACUCAGCCUCUGGCCUGGUGGGCAAAGAAUAACACCGGAGCUGGGCCCCACCUCCCUUAACUAUGUCUUUAGGAUGAUCGGCUACUGGCUGCCCCUACCUCUGGCAGUCCGAGCUCCACCCCUCUAAUCCCUACCUCUACCUCUAUAGCCUCUACCCCCGCCUCUAGCUGGCAGGACGGCUUGUGGAUCACCUUCUGCCUGAAUCAUGGUACUACAAGUGGCUAUGGUUCCCAGCCGCAGUAUUCUGACCAGCAGCUUUCCAGCUCAUCAUGAGCACCUAGGCAAGCUAAACAUUCAAACAUUUUUCUGAAGACAUUUUGCAGUAUAAAUAAAUAAAAGAAAUUAAAUAAAAGCAGAAAGCACUUAAACUUGUAUAACUGAAAUUAAACUGCAGAAGUUAAAACACAUUUCUACCCAGAAUCUAGUGUCACAAGCUCACGUACUGCUAAAGAGUGCUACAUACAAGUAUGAAUAGAAAAUACAUACUGUCUGUCUCGGUACAAUGAAAAUAAACUGAAAAUAUGGAAAAGGACUUCGGCCUGCGAACGCCAGCUAGGUAAGUCCCUGGACUGAAGUCAGCUCCCAAUCAAUACACAACUGCUCUGCUCGAAAAGCUGCUCCAGUAUUAUGAUAUAUGCAAAAAGUACAGAAGUGUCGCAUCAGCACAACCGACUCCAUAUUCUGGUAAGUGUCUGGCCUAACCCAGGUGAAGUAUUGAUGAGGCUAGACAGGACCUACCUAAAACAACCUGUGCAAAUAAAACUGGGAAAGGCAUGCUCGGGGGAGAUACAGUGAAAACAUAUGAACGGAUACAACAAUGAAACUACAUCAACGCCUAUAACUCAUAUAAGCGUGGUAGACACGUGAGUUUUGACCCUCCCCGAAAUUUUACCCAAUUUUAGUUGAUUGCUAAUAUGAAUGGUCUGAAAUUCGACUUUUGGCCUUUGCGUAAGCUUGAAGCGUAGGCUUGGUGCUUUGUUCUUGUCGUUUGUAUCAUUUGGUGUUAUGUUCGCAUUAAUUUAAUAUAUCUAAGCAUGCUUAGCUAGUGAUAUUGGAGUGAUUAAGUUGCGACUCAAUUUUGGAUUGACUGGCGUGCAUUUCACAUGUUGAUGAUUCAGUCCAUUAGUCUGUAACUUGCUAGUCUUUUCUGAUCUGUGUAUAAAUCAUGCACGUACUUAUGUAGAUUCAUGGAUAAGUAAAUACCGAUCAAUUGUGUUGGUCUGCGCUUAUUCAAUUCUCUCAUUGAUUUCAAAUUGCGUUUUGUUGAAGCUAGGAGAUGACAUAAAGAAUUGUUCUCCGGGCGAAAUCAUGAUUUGUUUUUGGAUUUGGUUAGAGCACUAAGCAGCAGUCACUAGUUUUCAUAUGAACACUUAACUCUAGAAGGUUCUGCUAAUCAAUAACCCUUCUUAUUAUCCUGCUAGAGUGAGCUUCCACACGAAAAGGGAUUUGUUGAUGUUCCUAAUAUCAAGCUAAGUAAAAGGUUAAUAUGAUUUUUUAAAGGCAUGUGUCAAUUAACCCUAAACUUUGUUGCAUUGAUUGUUACGUGAUAGAUUCUCCUGUUGCUUACUUGAAUCCGUGAAUUGUUUCCCUGCAUGAUCAAUUGUGUCUCGAGUCUGGUAAAUGAUGAAAUAUGACCAUUUGAUUUGUUGUGUCGACACUAUUAAAAGUCAAGUUGGGACAAUUGUUAACUGGUAUGUGGCUGGAAAUAUGACCAUUUGAUUUGUUGUUUUGUCUUCGUGCCAUUUUAUUAGAAGUUGUGUUGGCUUUUCAAUGAGUAAGCAGAAGCUGUAAAGUGUAAAAAUGAGCUUAAUUGUCUGCUAAGAAUUCCAGCUUUUAGGUUGUCAAAAGUGAAACUGGCGGCUUAUUUUCCUCGAGUGUUUACAGGAUCAUGAAUAUGAAUUGGUUACCUGACUUUGUAAAUUUGUUAUGUGUGAAAAUGUGCCCGUGUGGAGUGUGACUCUUUUGCUUCUAAAAAUAGGUUAUGCAGUGUGCGUGAUUGAUAUUUCAGGCAGUAAGUAUAACUAAGAUUUUUUCUUGAAAUAUUUUGUCUUAUAUUGGGGGUAAUUAUUGAAUUGGGGGGGUGGGGGGGGGGGNNNNNNNNNNNNNNNNNNNNNNNNNNNNNNNNNNNNNNNNNNNNNNNNNNNNNNNNNNNNNNNNNNNNNNNNNNNNNNNNNNNNNNNNNNNNNNNNNNNNNNNNNNNNNNNNNNNNNNNNNNNNNNNNNNNNNNNNNNNNNNNNNNNNNNNNNNNNNNNNNNNNNNNNNNNNNNNNNNNNNNNNNNNNNNNNNNNNNNNNNNNNNNNNNNNNNNNNNNNNNNNNNNNNNNNNNNNNNNNNNNNNNNNNNNNNNNNNNNNNNNNNNNNNNNNNNNNNNNNNNNNNNNNNNNNNNNNNNNNNNNNNNNNNNNNNNNNNNNNNNNNNNNNNNNNNNNNNNNNNNNNNNNNNNNNNNNNNNNNNNNNNNNNNNNNNGGGUUCAGGAGGCGCGUGGAUGUGAAUUUCAUUGGUACAAAAGCCAUGGCUCUUAUCAUAUUUUAUCUACAGCUCCUUAACUUUGUUUCAUUUUUCUCUGUUCCGUUGAGUUUAUUGCAUAUCUCGUUUCUUUCUUGUGCUUUCUGGAUGUGAUACUUUGUGAUGUUUGGUUUCAAGGUGAGAGAUCGUUCUCUAGUUUAAUUUAUACAGUGAAUGCUCCGUGAAGUUUGUAUAUAUUAUUAUCCGGGAUAUGUCCCGAAGUAUUUGUAAUUGGAGACGGAAAGUAGAACUCCUAGUAUUUUUAUUUUUAUCAUUUUUUAUUUUUCUUUCACUAGGUGAGGACAACCUCGAGCCUCUUCUGUGUUUAUUUUCCGUUUCUAUGUUUUCUACCUUAAUCGAAUAUUUUAAUACCCAACUUGAUCAUGUACGCAACCGUGAGCUUCACAGGACUUGGGGAAUGCCUAACACCUUCUCCCCGAGUCAAAUGAACCCCCUUACCCGAACCUCUGGUGCCGACUUAGUCUUGAGUCCAAAUGUUUUAAAAGGAAAUGGUAUUUUAAAAAUGGUGAGCUGGCACACCGAAACCAAUGUCAGGUGGCGAUGUUGAGUUUAUUUCCUUUUGAAACACAAUUUUUGUCACUUUCAAGAUUGAAAACCCUUUUCAAGAUUUAAUUAAAUCUUUUUAUUCAUUUAAGAGGAUUUAACUGAAGUUUGUAUUUAAAAAGGGGUGUGACAUCUCUGGCGACUCUGGUGGGGACACUCUCCUGGGUUCGAGCUAGUACUCGAUUUUGUUGGCUUUUAGAAUAUUUGGUUGAGUUUUUUUAUGUUUUUUUUUAAUUAUUUUGUUUUAUUUAUUUAGCUUUGCUCAAUUUUUAUUAUGUUUAUGUUUUGUCAUUUGCUAGUUGUUUAUGUGUUUACAUUUUUGCUUUAUGUGUUUAGUGCUUUAUAACUAUCAUCAUAUGCACUACCCGGUCAAUUCUUUCUGCAACAACUAUUGGAGCACGCGCCGUGUGCACGAACUCUUUGUUGAGUCACCCAUAAUUUAGGAGGGGGGGCCGUCGGACGUAUGGAGUGGGUGGAAAGCUUAAGCAGCCACUAUCGACCAUACGCUCCCCCAAAUUGCCUUGUUAUUGAACCCCAAACUUAGGUCAACCUUAUGUCAUUUUUAUUUGCAUCAUGUCAUUUACACCUAAUAGGGCUCGGUCCCAGGUACCGUGUCCCUUUGUAGGGAGCUCGUCCAAAUUUUGUCAAAAUGGGUCUGUGGCUCAUAAUGACAUUUAAUCAUCCUAUAUGCUAAAUGUUGCAUCUUUGAGGGUAAAAAGGUCGUUUGGCGGACCAAUGUUUGGAAAAAAGGGUGAAAAUGAAGAUAGUAGGACCCACCAGCAUUUUUCUUUCAUGAUUUUUCAAAAAUUCAAAAAAAAAGUAGAAAAUGAAAAAUCAAAAAAAGAUUUUAUACUUUUCCAUUAUUUUCCAAAAACUAAAAAAAGGUAAAUAAUGAAAACAAUCCAAAAAUACUUUGCUCUUUCCAUCAUUUCUUCAAAAAAAGGACCAAAAAUAGCUUUUAUUUUAAAUCAGAUGCAUUUUUUCCUUUAUCCUAUAUUUAAUCUUUUCGAACUACGGGAACCUGAUUCUCGUCUUUCGGUGCGAGAUACGUAGGCAACCCACCUAGGAUCUGGUCUUCUUAGUAUCUUAGGUUCUUGGCAUUACGGGGUCUUAGCCAAAUUUUGCAUGUCUAGCCAUUUGUGGCCACAUCAACCAUUCUUGUAAAAUAGGGUUAUUUUCGCAAAAGUGGUUCAAUAACUCAUGAAUUAGAAUUUUGAGUCCACAACUAGGUUUCAUAGCUAUUUAAGGUCUUUCCAUUUUGAGUUUGCGUCUUUAGCCAUUUCAUGUCAUAUCGGUCAUUUUUACAAAAAUGGGUCAUUUCUGCAAGGUAUUUUUUUAGGGCCGCAAUUGCUGGGAUGUUAGAAUCAUGUAAUCUAUAAAUGAAGUAUUUUCCACUCAUUAGGAGGUCAUCGUUGUCAAGUUUGAACUAAUAGCCAUUUUCAGCCAUUUAAACCAUUUUUGCAAAAUAUAGCCAAAUCGUAUUUUGCAUUUGUCCGCUAGGAAAUAGUGUGGUGUCAUGUAGUGUCCUGAGUUGCUAACCAUGCUCUUUUCAUUCAGGUAUGGACCCUCUAAGUUGAUCCAAAGUUUUGAUGGUAGUAAAUAUUCCUAAGAAAUUGGUCAAGUGGUGGAAAAUGUUUUCAUCGCUAGAGCAACAUGAGUUAAUGCAUGAAUUAGGCAUCCUCACUUCCCUUCUCAAUAUCACACCCCGCCCAGACUUAGUGGAGGUGAUGUUGACUUAUUGAGAUCCUCAAAAUUUGACUUUUCAAUUGGGAGAGUGUGAGAUGACUCCUACCUUGGCGGAAAUGUCUGGACUCACACGUUUAAGCUAUAUAGGUAGGGACAUGACACUUCCCCGAGACCACUCUUGGAGAAGAUUCCUCAGUGAUCUGGGCCUGAAAGAUAACAAGCGUUUAAGAUGCCUCGAGCAGUCCUGGAUAUCCUUGGAUUAUUUUUUUGCUAGAUUUGGACCACGGGAUAGUUUUGACGUCUUUUGGGAUGAGUUCUGCACAACCAAGGAAAAAUGGAAAAGACGCCGCCUUGAGGCUUUCAACCUUACUUUGUUUUGAUUAUUGGUCAUUAGAUGAGAGGCACAUUAGCACCCGUCUGCAGUCAGUGGUAAUGGCACUAUUUCAUGAGAAGCAACAUUAAACCGCUACCGUUGUACUGAUGAUCUUAGGAGAGUUGUACCGAGCCCUGAGUGAGGUUAGGGGUGGUGUCAGGUAUUUUGAGGGAAGUAACCUUUUGCUACAAUUGUGGAUAUGGAGCAUUUGCACACCGCUUCCUUACUUUGUCCCAUCGACCGGGCCUUGAGGGAUCGGGUGGUAUGCAUCAAGCGUAGGAUGAAAUCUCCUAAGUUUACGUACCUGGUAGACGUCAUAGCUUGGAUUGAGUUCCUUGGUUUGAGGACAAAUGAGAAUGUUUUGUGGACCUACCUUUGGCUACCCUUUGACGAGAUCUUGGUAGGAUGUCUUAUGCAGCCGUACUUGAUACUGAUAGGACUCAAGUGUGUCAGGCCAUACACUUCCAUUAGGGUAAUGCGACAGUUGGGCAGAAGACAGGAGGAACCUCCAACUUUGAAUCUUCGGAGGCACGUCAUGAACUUUAGCAAGAAAGCAACUGACGAAAUCAAAUAUUUGCAAUACUGGAAAAAUGCAAAGAGGUUGAGAAACAAUACAUUGAUAAAGGACAUUAGUAGGCCCGAGUGUACUCAGGAGUACUUGAUCUGGUUACAGUCCAUCCCACUAGGGGUCAGCACUUCAUUGCCGGCACAACUUAGGGGGCGGGCAACUCAUACGGAUGAUGUUGAGGAGGCAUCAGACCAAGAUCUUUGGGGUAAGCUUAAGUUGAUACAAUCUCAGUUAUCGGGAUCGGCAGCUAACGUGGAGCAGCAUAGCCAAUAUUUGUUUGGGGUCAUCCUUCAAGAUGCAGGGGCGCACGCCAGGGUCCUUGUUCCUAACAUCGGUAUCUUUUUGCAAGGCAUGUUGCAGAGUUUGAGCAUGACGGACAACCCAGGACCAUCCCAGUCAGGACCGUCGCAUUCAGGGGCAGCUUGAGGAGUCAUGCUGCUUAGGUGUUUUGAGUUUGUAUUAUAUUGUCUUUUACUUUCGUGUUUUGUACAGGAGUACUAAGUCCUUUAGGUAGUAUCAGAGUCCGUCAUAGUGUAGUCGAGUAUGUCAUGUCUUUCAUUAUCGUACUUCCUUUUGUAUUUUAAUAUUGAAAAAAGUUUAAAUGAAAAUCCCAAAAGGAUUUUAUUUUAGUUUAUUUUUUGUCACUUUUCCAUAACUACGCUUGGUCUGAUUCAUCAGGGACAUGAUACGUAGGCAACCUACAUCGGGUUCGAUCAGAUUAUUUUUGCAUAAUCAAAUUAGUUUGGCAUAAAAUAAAAUAAAAUAAAAAGAAGAAGAAAGGGAGAGUGAUAAGAGGUGUUGGAGAAGAAAGAAAGAUUGAAAUGGGGAAAUUGGGAUGAUGCCAUAUGACCCAGCGACCCUCAAAGCCAUUUUAGAAACGUUAAUUGUUGCUAGGUGCAUUACACGUAAUGUGAUAUUAUCAUAUGAUAAUUGCCCUAAAGCUGACAUGGUGGUUUUUUGUUGUUGCUCCUUUUUACCUUUGUUUAAUUUUCAAGAAGGUGGUUAGUUUGUUGGCAACCUGGCAAGUCAUCCCUACAGCACUCGAUCAAAACAUCAAACAGUCAUGGCUAGCUAGGAAACAGACACUGGAGUCGUAGACCCACCAAGGGAGAUUGUUGAAUCGGAAUCAGAAAUGCAAGAUGAGGUCCGGAGGUUGAACCGUCAGAUGGAAGAAAUGUACCUAGCCAUGAUUAAGGGACACCUCCCACACUCCUUCCCUACCAACUACACAGAAAACCCUGCUUCCAUUCCACCACUCUCUCAAUCUCAGAUGACCAAUACAAUUGAUAUUUCCCCACAACACGCUCCUGGCUUUACCCCUUACCAAAACUACCCAUGCACUUCCUCCCAAACCUUCCAUGCUCCACUAGCCAAAACCGCCCCGUACCCUGCCCCGACAUCUGCUCCUAUUUUGGUACCCCCUCCAUUUACCAUAAUUACCCCGGAACUUCCUCCUAAACAUUCCAUGCUCUACCAACAAAAACAACCUUGUACCUUGCUCCGACAUCUGCUCUUAUUUUGGUGUCCCCUCCAUAUGCCACCCUCCACUGAUCCUCUACUGAGCCCGCAUUCCCCGCUCGAGAUACCCACUACUAUGCACCAGAGCCUACUUUCAAAGUCCCAUAUCCUUACCCUUACACUCCCCAAUUUGAGACUCAUGUUGAAACUGACAAACCACCCAAGAACACAGAGCAAGAAGAGAUGUUGAGGAAGGUACAGAGUCUGGAGCAAUCAUUGAGAAAUAUGCAAGGGUUGGGUAACCAGGUGAGUGUAGCCUAUAAGGAUUUAUGUUUGUUCCCCGAUGUCCAACUGCCUGCCGAUUUUAAGAUGCCCAAGUUUGACUUGUAUGAUUGACAUGGGGAUCCUGUAGCUCACAUGCGGGGUUAUUGCAGCAAAAUGAGAGGUGCCGGCGGAAAAGACGAAUUCCUCAUGGCUUACUUCAGCCAAAGUCUGAGUAGGGCAGCAUUAGAAUGGUACACACGCCAGGAUGCUAGUAGAUGGUAUACUUGGGACGAUAUGACUCAGGCCUUUUCUCGGGAGUUUCAGUACAAUAUAGACAUUGUUCCAGAUCGCGUAUCUCUAACCAACUUGGAAAGAAACCUGGUGAAAGCUUUAGAGAAUAUGGGUUUCGAUGGAGAGAGCAAUCUUCAUGAGUCAAUCCUCCUAUGGAUGAAGACAAGAUGGUUAAAUUACUUUUUUCGAGCCCUCGAGCCCACUUACUAUGGCCACUUGAUCUCAGCCAUUGGUAAGUCUUUCAAUGAUGUGUUAAAGAUGGGAGAGAUGGUGGAAGAAUGGCUCAAGUCGAGUAAGAUCAUGAGCUAUUCUUCUAUAAAAGAAACCAUCCAGGCAAUCCAGAGUGGUUCCGGAAGUUUUCUUGGUAAAAAGAAGAAGGAAGAUGUCGCUAUGGUUGUCUCCAAAUCAUGGCGUGGCCCGAGGGGUUCACCCCAUCAAUACGCCCAUCCUCAACCCCGACCUCAAACCUAUACCCCAGCUCCAUAUAAUCCACUUCAACAUUAUUUUUCCCCGCAAAACCCCCAAUACUCAGCCAGGCCAUCCCAAUACCUUGUUCACCAUGCACAGUCGUAUGCUCAACCCCCUCCUUAACCACAAUGUCGCGCUCCAGAUCAGUACAACACCUACCCAGCUCCAAAAAAUACCUAUCCGUCUCCACAACCCUACCAAAACUCCAAUGAGUCACGUUUUCGACCAAGUCCAGAUUAUAGGAGAGAUAGGCAGCAGCGAAAACAAACUUUUUCCCCGCUUGGAGAGUCCUAUGCUAGUCUCUUUCAAAGGUUAAGGCAGUUGGACGUCUUGAGGCCAAUUGAGUCAAAGAUACCUAAUCCCCAUCCAAAUAAUCUCGAUCAUUCCUUAAGAUGCGCCUAUUGUUCUGAUGCUCCAAGGCAUGACAUAAAGAAGCGCUGGCAUUUGAAAAUGGCAAUCCAGGAGCUCAUUGAUUCAAACCAAAUUGUAGUCCAAAGCCCAGAUGCGCCAAACAUCAACCAAAACCCUUUGCCAGCCCAUGAAGAGACGCAUAUGAUUGAAAUAGUUCACAAGGAUGGGGAGUCCAAGAAGUCUUCUAAAUCCGUCAUGAUGAUCCGGGUUAGUGAAAACAAUUCGGUUUAAGCUCAAGACUCUACCAAAGCAGCGCUCUCGACAGUUGAAGAGCUGACAGAAAAGCCGAGCUCGAAGCCCUCUGUCAUGAUGAUCCGGGCUAGUGAAAAAAAAUUGGUGAAAGCUCAAGACUCUACCAAAGCAGCGCCCUCGACAGUUGAAGAGGUGACAGAAAACCCGAGCUCGAAGCCACCAGUGUUGGUCGUGAAAGGUCUGUCAAAAGAUAUUGGGGCAAGUCUAGAAAGUUCCAAAGUGGUGGUGCCAGGGAUUCCAAGUAAGCCUGUUAUAGUUGUGAAAGGGGCUCAUAUCACCCCUAUCAUCAUUAAACCAAUGACCCAGCUGCCAGUGGUUGAUGCCAAGGUUGUUCCGUGGAAUUACAAACGAAUGGUAGUAACAUAGAAAGGAAAAGAAAUAGAGGAAGAAGUUAAUGAAACUGGAGUAUUGACUCGAUCUGGGAGAUGUUCACCCAGAAGAACUAAGGAAAGCAAAUCCGUCCAAAGAUAGCCGAAUGCUAGUAAAGAAAUCAGUCACAGAGGAAGAGGCCGAAGAAUUCUUGAAAAAGAUGAAAGUGCAGGAAUAUUCCACCGUAUACAACCUAAGGAAGACACCAGCUCAGAUCUCUCUCUUGUCUUUGCUGAUACAUUUAGAUGAACAUCGCAGGGUCUUGAUAAAGACAUUGAAGGAGGCAACACGUUCCUGAUAAGAUCACAGUGAACCACUUGUAAAAGAUAGCUGGCAAGAUCUUCGAAGCAAAUAGGAACACUUUCUCAUACGAUGAACUGCCUAUGGAGGAUACAGAACACAAUCGAGGUCUUUAUUUCACUGUGAAGUGCAAAGAUUCUGUUGUUUCAAGGGUUUUGGUUGAUAACAGCUCCAGUGUAAAUAUUUGUCCCUUAUCUACUCUGAAGAAACUGAAGAUUGGCAUCGAAAGAAUCCAUUUGAACAAUAUGUGUGUUCGAGGCUUUGAUGGGGGAGGCAAAGAUUCUGUUGGAGACAUAAUGCUCGAAUUGUCGAUAAGGCCAGUCAAUUUUACCAUGGAGUUUCAAGAUGUAGACGUGGCUGUCUUCUAUAAUAUGUUAUUGGGCAGACCCUGGAUACAUGCUGCUAAGGCAGUCCCAUCUUCUCUGCACCAAAUGGUAAAGUUUGAAUGGGACAGGCAGGAAGUAGUUGUGCAUGGUGAUGAGGACUUGUCAGCCGAUAAUGACACGAUUGUUCCAUUUAUUGAAGCUGAAGAUGAUAAGGGACCUUGGGUCUAUCAAAUUUUUGAAACAGUGUCUGUUGAGAUGAUUCCUGAAGGAGAGUGCAUUCCGAGACCUAAGUUAUCCUCUGCAUCUGUCAUGGUUGCGAAUGAAAUGUUGAAGAAUGGUUUUGUGCCGGGCAAGGGUAUGGGCUCAUCUCUAUAAAGUAUUGCACAUCCAGUGUGCCCCAGUAGGAGUCCUGGUAGGUUUGGUUUAGGAUUCACGCCCACAGAAACGGGCGUGAAAAGGGUUAAAAAUAUGAAACAGGAGGCAUGGUCGCUCCCCAAGCCCGUCCCACACAUCUCUAAGCCUUUUGUCAAGUCAGGGGCUGAAAAAACUCCAACCUCCUCAAUUCCGAAACCUAUGGUCGAUGUUGAUAAAGAGAUUAUCAAGAGGUUCCAAAGUCUAUUCGAAGAGGUCAACAUGGUAUAAGUUGGUGAAGGCUCUAGCAAAGCAGAUGUGUAGCUCGUUGGCCCAAAUGUGAAGCUUAUUAAUUGGGAAGCUACUCCUCUCCCCACCAGAAAGGAGUUUUGGUAGUUUGCUUUGUUUUUCUUUCUUUUAUCUAGGUUAUUCUAGGGUUGUAAUCCAGAUUUUUAGUUUUUGCUUGUUUCGAUUUUCAAACCCUUCUAUCCUUUUGUUUUCAAUGAAAUGCAACUUCUCGUUUUCCGUUAUUCUUAAUAGUGUUUAUUUUGUUCUUUUUCUUCUUUUGUACAGUUCUUUUUAUACUGGUUGCAAUGACAUGACAUGCAUGAAGAAUUUUAGCCGAGUCUUAAAAGCCAAUCUAAUUCUGAAAUAACAAUCCAAGAAGUUCCCUCCUGUCAAGCAAAAGUUGCGAAAGUUCAAGACCGAUAUGAGUGUGAAGAUCAAGGAAGAAAUCAUAAAGUAGCUUACUGUGAAGGUCAUCCGGGUCACUCGAUACCCCACUUGGUAAAAUGUACUGCCAGUAGCGAAAAAGGAUAGUAAGACCAGGAUUAGUGUUGAUUAUUGUGAUCUUAACAAAGCAAGCCCGAAGGAUGAUUUUCCACUGCCGAACAUUCACAUUCUGAUCGAUAAUUGUGACAAGCAUGAGAUUAGGUCUUUUGUGGAUUGCUACGCAGGAUAUCAUCAGAUCUUGAUGGGUGAGAAAGAUGUAGAAAAGACGGCGUUCAUGACGCCCUGGAGGACAUAUUGCUACCGGGUAAUGCCUUUCAAUUUGAAAAAUGCUGGGGCGACCUACAUGAGGGCGAUGACCACCAUAUUUCAUGACAUGAUACACAGGGAUAUUGAGGUUUAUAUAGAUGAUGUGAUCAUAAAGUCAAAGAAGCAGUCUGACCAACUUGAAGAAGUUUUUCCAAAGACUCUUCAGGUACAACCUCAAGCUCAAUCCAGCGAAAUGUACAUUUGGUGUCCCCUCUGGAAACUGUUGGGAUUCGUGGUAAGUAGACGCGGUAUUGACUUGGAUCCGUCAAAGAUCAAAGCCAUUCAAGAGUUGUCGCCGCAAAAGAAUAAAGCAGAGGUGAUGAGCUUGCUUGGAAUGUUAAAUUACAUCAGCAGGUUCAUUGCUCAGCUUACGACAACUUGUGAGCCCAUAUUUAAGUUGGUGAAGAAGAAUGUUGCGGUCAAGUGGACUGACAAGUGUCAAGAAGCCUUUGAUAAAAUUAAGAGGUACCUGUCAAAUCCACCAGUGCAGGUCCCACCAGAUCCUGGAAGACCUUUAAUUUUCUAUUUGACAGUCAUGGAUAAUUCUUUCAGUUGUGUGCUGGGUCAACAUGACAUCAGGGGAAAAAAGGAGCAAGAAAUUUAUUAUCUCAGUAAGAAUUUCACUCCCUAUGAGUACACUCUGCUCGAGAGGACAUGUUGCGCAUUGACUUGGGUGGCACAAAAGUUUAAACAUUAUCUGUCGUCCUACACUACUUACUUCAUUUCUUGCAAGGAUCCCUUGAAGUAUAUCUUUCAGAAGCCUAUGCCCACGGGAAGACUAGAAAAGUGGCAGAUAUUACUUACAGAGUUUGACAUCAUCUAUGUGACUCGGACUGCGAUGAAAGCCCAAGCCUUGGCCGACCACUUGGCCGAGAAUCCGGUGGAUGAUGAAUAUCAGUCAUUAAAGACUUAUUUUCCUGAUGAAGAGGUCAUGUGUGUUGACGAGGUUGAGCACAAUGAAAGGCUAGGUUGGAAACUCUUCUUUGAUGGAGCGGCUAACAUGAAAGGGAUGGGGAAUACGGGUUGUACUUAUCUCCGAAACAGGGCAACACUACCCUGUAACAGCCCAGCUUUGAUUUUAUACUGAUGAAGAGGUCAUGUGUGUUGACGAGAUUUAGCAUGAUGAAAGGCCAGGUUGUAAACUCUUCUUUGAUGGAGCUGCUAACAUGAAAAGGGUUGGAAUAGGGGUCGUACUUAUCUCCGAAACAUGGCAACACUACCCUGUAACAGCCCAGCUUCGAUUUUAUUGCACGAAUAACAUGGCUGAGUACGAAGCAUGCGUUAUGGGUUUGAGGUUAGUUGUAUACAUGGGAGUCCAGGAAAUACUUGUUUUGGGAGAUUCGGAUUUGUUGGUUCACCAGAUUCAAAGAGAAUGGGAGACUCGAGAUUUGAAGCUCAUAUCGUACCGACACUGUCUGCACGAUCUCUGUCAAUGAUAUAGGUCAGUUGAAUUUAGACAUAUUCCUAGGAUUCAUAAUGCGAUUGCUGAUGCCCUAGCCACCCUGGCGUCAAUGUUACAUCAUCCAGACAAGGCUUAUGUAGACCCCGUGCAUAUCCAAGUUCAUGAUCAACACGCUUAUUGUAAUGUGGUGGAAGAGGAAAUCGAUGGCGAACCUUGGUUCCACGAUAUCAAGGAAUACAUCAGGUCGGGUAUAUAUCCAGUACAUGCUACAUGUGAUCAAAAAAGAACCAUUCGGCGUAUGGCUAGUGGAUUUUUCUUGAGUGGAGGAAUCUUGUACAAGAGGACUCCAUAUUUAGGACUGUUGAGGUGCAUAGAUUCUAAAGAAGCUUCAACUAUCACGGCCGAAGUGCAUUCUGGAGUUUGCGCGCCGCAUAUGAACGGGUAUGUCUUCUCGAAGAAGAUAGUUCGAGCAGGUUAUUAUUGGCUCACCAUGGAACAGGAUUGUAUCAGCUUUGUUCGCAAGUGACAUCAAUGCCAGGUGCACGGAAAUUUGAUUCAUUCUCCCCCGUCUGAGUUGCAUACAAUGUCUACACCUUGGCCCUUUGUUACUUGGGGCAUGGAUAUUAUUGGGCCAAUUGAGCUGGCAGCGUCGAACGGGCACAAUUCAUCCUGGUGGAAAUUAAUUACUUUACCAAGUGGUUCGAAGUGGUAACUUUCAAGUCCGUGACAAAGAAGGCAGUGGUGGAUUUUGUGCAUUCAAACAUCAUUUGUCGAUUUAGAAUUCCCAAGGUGAUCAUCACAUACAAUGCUGCUAAUCUCAACAGUCAUUUGAUGAAAGAGGUAUGCCAACAAUUCAAGAUCAUGCAUCGGAACUCCACCGCGUAUCGCCCCAAGGCAAAUAGAGCUGUUGAGGCUUCCAAUAAGAACAUAAAAAAGAUACUUCGUAAGAUGGUUCAAGGUUCUAGGCAGUGAGGAAAAUGGAGCUGUUGAGGAUGCCAAUAAGAACAUAAAGAAGAUACUUAAUAGAUAGUUCAAGGUUCUAAAUAGUGGCAUGAAAAGAUGCCUUUUGCAUUACUAGGUUAUCGCACUACUGUUCGCACUUCAAUAGGUGCAAUUCCUUAUCUGUUGGUAUAUGGAACUGAGGCAGGUAUACCUGCGGAGGUUGAGAUUCCCUCCCUUCGGAUCGUUGCAGAAGCUGAAAUUGAUGACGAUGAGUGGAUUAAAACCCGGCUCGAACAGUUGAGUUUGAUUGAUGAGAAAAGAUUGGCUGCACUGUGUCAUGGUCAAUUGUAUCGGAAGAGAAUGGCAAGAGCAUAUAACAAAAAUGUGCGUCCUUAGAAAUUCGAAGUGGUCCAGAUGGUAUUGAAACGUAUCCUUCCUCAUCAGCUGAAGCAAAGGGAAGUUUGCCCAGAACUGGCAGAGGUCAUUCGUUGUGACAAGAGUGUUGCCCAAUGGUGCUUUGUAUUUAACAGACGUAGAAAGCAAUUGUGCAGAUAUGGCCAUCAAUUUUGAUGCAGUUAAGAGGUAUUAUGUAUGAUUUUCUUGCUUACCUUCAGUUGUAUUUCAUACUUGGCAUAUUCAAAGUUGAAAUUAUGAAGGCAAUUUGUUCAGCUACCCAAAAACUUUCAUCCUUUGCUACCCCCUUUUUGAGCCUUAUUUAUUUUCUUUCAUACCCCUCUUUGGAAUCAACAGCAGAAGCAAAGAAUAAAGAUGAUGAUGAAUGAGUGAAAAUAAGAGAAAUGAAAAAAAAAAAGAGAAAAGAAAAAUAAAAAAGAAAGAGAGAAGAAUAAAAACAAAAAGAAAAGAAGAAAAAGAAUAAAAAAAGAAUAAAAAAGGAGAGAGAUAAAAGAAAAGAAAAAAAAGAAGAGCAACAAGAACGAACAAUUUUCUUUUGAACUACGUUCGAUCUGAUUCCUUUUAAGGAUACGUAGGCAGCCUUACGGUUCGUUCCAUCACAAUAAAAAUUAAAAUUCCCCAGACCCAAAGAGAUUGGGGUAGAAGUUUUGGUUUUGGAAAAGAUCUAAUUCCAAAAGUUGUAAUUUUGGCCCUUUUUCAACAGAUUAUUUUGAGCGUUCAUGCUACCCUUUCUUUCUAACCCCCUCCAAAAGACUACAUUACGGUCCAAAGAAAGACCUUCUCAUCAAUCUUUGAGGAUGCCAGGUCAAGCAAGAUAGAGGUAUGAUUUACAUCAUGGGUAACACUUUGUUCAUAGGUGCAAGAGAGAAAAUUUAAAAUGAGAGUCUUAUUGGUGAAAACCCUCGCGGGCACCGUAAGGCGAUGGUGAGCUUAGAGAAAAUUUAAAAUGAGAGAGUCUUAUUGGUGAAAACUCUCCCGAGCACCAUAAGGCAAUUGUGAGAUGAGAGAUGCACAAAUAAGAGGGACUUGUUGGUGAAAACCUUUUUAGGGCACUGCAAGUGGAAUGAGGCUCAUAACUUUAUAGAGAAAUUGGAUCAGUGAAAGCCCUGUUUUUGAAGUAUGAAGACAUGAAUGAACUGAAAAUAUGAUAAAUUGACGGAUUAGGCUGAUCAGUUAGAAAUGCAUGGCAUGAUCGUUGGAGCUGGCUACCUCCCUCAGAUAAGUCCUCUCUUUCUCAUUCUUCUUCACAUAAUCAUCUGUGUUCAAAUUUUCAUUUGUUCCUUUUGUUUAAAAUCAUUUUGUUUUACUCCUUGAGUCUAUCUUUACGACUUUCUUCCUAGUUAGCCUUUGUUAAACAAGCAUGAAAGGAUUUCAACGCCUACUAGCAGCUUCUAAAUUGCACAAAGCGGAUUGUGGCCAGGAACAUCCAAAUUGACAUGAUUCAAAAUAAGCGAUAUGGUGAUAACUGAGGUUCAGGCAAUCAGGUGAAUCUUGAAUUUUGAGGAAAUACAAGGAUUCAGCAACUAUCUAAAUAAAAACAAAAAUACAAUGCAACAUGUGAGUGUGAGGGACUCAGGUCAUGCAGAGGUUUCGUGGUCUAGUUUCAGUCAAAAAUCAAACAACUCCUUGCUAGCCGAAGCAGCUAAUCAAAAUUAAGCAUGGCAGUGGCGGAAGCAGACGCUCGGCAGUGAUGCCGCAAACUAACCACCACGUUUUCAAACUAACAAGAUUUAAUUUGUUUAAAGCAGGGGCAAGAAAUUUUAAGUCUACAGGUACCUCCCAUGGUAAAACAUGAUUCAGGGAGCAAGAAAUUCUGUUCAGAAUCCUUCAAGAUAACAACAUGGCUCAGGUAAGUUCAUUCUCAGUUCUUAGGACCCUCCUGGAUAAUGGGAUUUAGUUUUCAAAAUUCUUAGGACGCUCAUGAAUAAUGGGAUUUUGUAAUAAUUUUCCAAGGACCCUCCUGGAUAAUGGGAUUUAGUUUUAAAAUUCUCAGGACCCUCCUGGAUAAUGGGAUUUAGCUUUAAAAUUCUCAGGACCCUCCUAGAUAAUGAGAUUUAGCUUUAAAAUUCUCAGGACUCUCCUGGAUAAUGGGAUUUGGUUUUUAAAAUUCUCAGGACCCUCAUGGAUAAUGGGAUUUAGUAUUAAGGAUUUAGUUUUCAAAAUUCUCAGGACCCUCCUGGAUAAUGGGAUUUAGUUUUAAAAUUCUCAGGAUCCUACUGGAUAAUGAGAUUUAGUUUUCAAAAUUCUCAGGACCCUCCUGAAUAAUGGGAUUUAGUUUUAAAAUUCUCAGGACCCUCCUUGAUAAUGGGAUUUAAUUUUAACUUUCUCAGGACUCUCCUGGAUAAUGGGAUUUAGCUUUAAAAUUCUCAGGACCCUCCUAGAUAAUGGGAUUUAGCUUUAAAAUUCUCAAGACCCUCCUAGAUAAUGGGAUUUAGUUUUUAAAAUUCUCAGGACCCUCCUGGAUAAUGGGAUUUAGCUUUAAAUCUCUCAAGACCCGCCUGAAUAUUCAAAUUUAGUUUAAAAAAUACUAAGGCCCUCAUGGGGGAUUUUGCUUUAAUAUUCUCAGGAUCCUCCUGGAUAAUGGGAUUUAGUUUUCAAAAUUCUCAAGGCUUUCGUGGAUAAUGGGAUUUAGUUUUCAAAAUUCUCAAACCUUCCUGGAUAAUGGGAUUUAGUUUGCAAAAUUCUCAGGACCCUCCUUGAUAAUGGGAUUUAGUUUUUUAAAUUCUCAGGACCCUCCUGGAUAAUGGGACUUAAGCUUUAAAAUUCUCAGGACCCUCCUGGAUAAUGUGAUUUAGUUUUCAAAACUCUCAGGACCCUCAUAGAUAAUGAGAUUUAGUUUUCAAAAUUCUCAGGACCAUCCUGGAUAAUGGGAUUUGGUUUUUAAAAGUCUCAGGACCCUCCUAGAUAAUGGGAUUUAGUUUUAAAAAUUCUUAGGACGCUCAUGAAUAAUGGGAUUUUGUAAUAAUUUUCCAAGGACCCUCCUGGAUAAUGGGAUUUAGUUUUAAAAUUCUCAGGACCCUCCUGGAUAAUGGGAUUUAGCUUUAAAAUUCUCAGGACCCUCCUAGAUAAUGAGAUUUAGCUUUAAAAUUCUCAGGACUCUCCUGGAUAAUGGGAUUUGGUUUUUAAAAUUCUCAGGACCCUCAUGGAUAAUGGGAUUUAGUAUUAAAAUUUUCAGGACCCUCCUGGAUAAUGGGAUUUAGGUUUUUAAAAAUUCUCAGGACCCUCCUAGAUAAUGGGAUUUAGUUUUUAAAAUUCUUAGGACGGAUAAUGGGAUUUAGUUUUUCAAAUUCUCAGGACCCUCCUGUAUAAUGGGAUUUAGUUUAAAAGUUUCAGGACCAUCCUAGAUAAUGGGAUUUAGUUUUAAAAUUCUCUAGACCCUCAUAGAUAAUGGGAUUUAGCUUUAAAUUUCUCAGGACCCUCAUGGAUAAUGAGAUUUAGCUAUAAAUUUCUCAGGACCCUCCUGGAUAAUGGGAUUUAGGUAUAAAAGUCUCAGGACCCUCAUGGAUAAUGUGAUUUAGUUAUAAGAUUAUCAAGACCCUCAUGGAUAAUGGGAUUUAGUUUUUAAAAUUCUCAGGACCCUCCUGGAUAAUGGGAUUUAGCUUUACAAUUCUCAGGACCGUUUGGAUAAUCGGAUUUAGUUUUUAAAAUUCUCAGGACCCAUUUGGAUAAUGGUAUUUAGCAUUAAAAUUCUCAGGACCCUCCUGGAUAAUGGGAUUUAGGUUUUUUAAAUUAUCAGGACUUUCUUGGAUAAUGGGAUUUAGCUUUUAAAUUCUUUGAGUUCUGUAGGUGAUAUAAUCCGAUUAACACUCACAAAUAUGCCCAGAUCCCAAAUUGGGGUAGAAAAAGUUUCUUUUGUUUUGUCUGUUUUGUUGUAGUAUCAGGCGCCCACCUGGAUAACAAGGGAAUACAUUUCAAGUCUUUGUAAUCAGGCGCCCACCUGGAUGACGAGGGAACAUUUCAAGUUUUUGCAAUCAGGCGCCCACCUAGAUAACAAGGGAAUACGUUUCAAGUUUUUUCAAUCAGGUGCCCACCUGGAUAACAAGGGAAUACAUUUCAAGUUUUUGGCAAUCACGCGCCCACUUGGAUAACAAGGGAAUACAUUUCAAGUUUUUUCAAUCAGCCGCCCGCCUGGAUAAUGAGGCAAUACAAUUCAAGUUUUGAAAAUCCGGCGCCCACCUGGAUAACGAGGGAAUACAUUUUAAGUUUUUGCAAUCAGGCGCCCACCUGGAUAACAAGGGAAUACAUUCCAAGUUUUGCAAUCAGGCGCUCAACUGGAUAACGAGGGAAUUAAUUUCUGAGCUACUUAAACUCAUAAAUUCAAGAAGCAUCAUGAGCCCGCCUGAAGAGCAGGGCCCGUUCUCAUUUUCAUAUUGAAGACCAAGUAGAGAUUCAAUAAAGUUUCAGGACAAGAAGUAGAUAGAUUCUUGUAUUUUUCUUUUAAUUUUGCUGUAAUUUUUCCCUUUUAUUUUUGAUGUAAUGGUAGGAACCGCGGACCGGAACCUCGACGGCACCUUAAUCAGCUCUCUACCUUGGUAUACUUCAUCAUUGUUCCUACUUCUAAACUACACGUCACCUGAUUCCUUUAUAACCAAGAUAUGUAGGCAGCUCAUAUACCAGGGCUCGGUCACAUUCCCUUUUCUCUAAAGUUUAGUCUCUCCAAAUAAGGGUCAGGUCAAAAAACAUGUCUAGUCAUUCUUUGUCUGAAAAUAUUUCGUAUUUCUAGUCAAAGAGGGGCAGUUGUAGACACGUGAUUUUUUACCCUCCCCGAAAUUUUACCCAAUUUUAGCUUAAAAUAUUCAAUUUAGGUUUAAUAUAGUUAUUUCAACUAAUUUUGGCUCUUUUACAUUACUUUAAGAAUAAAAUUGAAAAUUACAAAAAUAAUUCCAUAUUUCUCUAUUUAAUUUGCGUAUUGGAUAUUUUUAGGAUGAUAUUACUUUAAGUUUAUUUUUAUUCUAAUAUAAUCCUUAAAAAUGCCAAAAAUAGUUUCAAUUUAAUCUUAUUUUCAUUUUUUAAUAUUAAUAGUCUGUCAAAAUUAGCUAAGAGUUUUUUAUAAUAUUUUUUAGGUAUUUAAAUCGAUUUUUCAGUUUUUUGGACCCAAUUUAACACAUUUGGAAGCCCAAUCCCAUAAUCCCUUCAACCUAGCUGACCCACUACCCAGCAGCCCAAAUCCGCCCCCAAAUGACCCGCGACCCGCCCCGAUUUCAGUUUAAAAUCCUAGCCAUUUACCUUGUUCAAUCCAUCGGCUCAUUUCCCCUUUCCCAACCAAAUAUAAACAAAUUAUAACACUUCAAACCCUAAUUCCCCAAACCAAAAUAGCCGCCCACACCCUCACACCCCAUGGCUGCCGCGAACCCACGCCCAUACCACCAGAAAAUCCCGUGUUCCUCGAUGGUCCCCUCAUUCCACGUCACACACCCCGUACAAGGUUUCAUCAUUUCUACGUGUUUUCUUGCUCUCCAAGUUCGAAUCGAAUCAAUGGGAGUCGUAGAUUGAUUGAAUAUCAAUCUAAACCCUCCAUUUGUUCAAUUUCGAACUAUAAAGAGAGAAAUCAGAAGAUUUUUUUUUUUUNNNNNNNNNNNNNNNNNNNNNNNNNNNNNNNNNNNNNNNNNNNNNNNNNNNNNNNNNNNNNNNNNNNNNNNNNNNNNNNNNNNNNNNNNNNNNNNNNNNNNNNNNNNNNNNNNNNNNNNNNNNNNNNNNNNNNNNNNNNNNNNNNNNNNNNNNNNNNNNNNNNNNNNGGGGGUGGGUUGGAGAUUUGUUUUUUCGGACAGAAAUCGGAAGGAAAAAAAUCGAGAAGCAAUUAGGGUUCUAGGGUUCUUGAGGCUCGAUUCUGAUUCUUUCACUUUAAAUUUUCACUUCCAAAAAUACAAGAAAAACGAACAAAAAAAGGGGGAAGAAAAGAAUUAAUUGUUAUAUUCAGUUUCUGUUUUCAUUUUUCUUCAUGGAAUUCGUUGGAAGCGUGGUCAAGUACUGAAGGUUUGUCCGCCACUCGAGGUGUUCGUGUUCGCGUUCCUUGAUCCGGUCUCCUGCUCUGUUGCUUUAUCAUUGAUUCUGGAUCUUCACCAUUUGUUUUUCGAUGUCCACUUCAUCACCAAAUUUUCUUCUGUUGUAAAUCGAUUCUCACAAAGGAUAAUCGAAAGCUUUAUUUCUAGGUUCGUUUGAUUUCUCCUAUUCUGUUUUGGUGUUAUUGAAAAUAUGAUAAGAUCCAUGGCUAAGUAGUUUAAAGAUUGUUUCAAAGCUGAUAUGCUGGAAGUUAUUUCAGUAUUUUGUGUUGUGUGCGAUCCUUGAGAUGGAAUCUGGUUGAUUGCUACUAUGAAUGGUCUGAAAUUCGACUUCUGGCCUUUGCGUAUGCUUGAAACAUAGGCUUGGUGCUUUGUUCUUGUUGUUUGUAUCAUCUGGUGUUCUUUUCGCAUUAUUUCAAUAUAUCUAAGCAUGCUUAGCUAGUGAUAUUGGAGUGAUUAAGUUGCGACUCAAUUUUGGAUUGACUGGCGUGCGUUUCACAUGUUGAUGCUUCAGUCCAUUGGUCUGUAACUUGCUAGUCUUUUCUGAUAUGUGUAUAAAUCAAGCAUGUACUUAUGUAGAUCCAUGGACAAGUAAAUACCGAUCAAUUGUGUCGGUCUGCACUCAUUCAAUUCUCUCCUUGAUUUCAAAUUGCGUUUUGUUGGUGCUGGCAGAUGACAUAAAGGAUUGUUUUCCGGGCGAAAUCAUGAUUUGUUUUUGGAUUUGGUUAGAGCACUAGGCAGUAGUCACUUGUUUUCAUUUGAACACUUAACUCUAGAAGGUUCUGCUAAUCAAUAACCCUCCUUAUUAUCCAGCUAGAAUGAGCUUCCACACAAAAAAGGAUCUGUUGAUGUUCCUAGUAUCAAGCUAAGUAAAAGGUUAAUCUGAUUUUUUUUUAAAGGCAUGUGUUAAUUAACCCUAAACUUUGUUGCAUUGAUUGUUACGUGAUAGAUUCUCUUGUGGCUUACUUGAAUCCGUGAAUUGUUUCCCUGCAUGAUCAAUUGUGUCUCGAGUCUGGUAAAUCCUGAAGCGAGCUAGGUACGUUGAGUCGACACGAUUAAAAGGCAAGUUGGGACACUUGUUAACUGGUAGGUGGCUGGAAAUAUGACCAUUUAAUUUGUUGUUUUGUCUUCGUACCAUUUUAUUAGAAGUUGUGUUGGCUUUUCACUGAGUAAGCGGAAGUUGUAAAGUGUAAAAAUGAGCUUAAUUGUCUGCUAAGAAUUCCAGCUUUUAGGUUGUCAAAAGUGAAACUGGCGGCUUAUUUUCCUAGAGUGUUUACAGGAUCAUGAAUAUGAAUUGGUUACCUGACUUUGUAAAUGGGUUAUGUAUGAAAAUAUGCCCGUGUGGAGUGAGAUUCUGUUGCUUCUAAAAAUAGGUUAUGCAGUGUGCGAGACUGAUUUUCCAGGCAGUAAGUACAACUAAGAUUGUUUCUUGAGGAAUUUGUCUUAUAUUGGGGGUAAUUGUCGAAUUGGGGUGGGGGUAGAGGUGUGGGGGUUUCAGGAAGUGCCUAGAUAUGAAUUUCAUUGGUACAAAAGUUAUGGCUCUUAUCAUAUUUUAUCUACAGCUCCUUAACUUUGUUUCAUUUUUCUCUGUUCUGUUGAGUUUGAUGCAUAUCUCGUUUCUUGUUAUUUCUGGAUGUGAUGCUAUCGUUGUGAUGUUUGGUUUCGAGGCGAGAGAUCGUCCCCUAGUUAAAUUUAUCCGGGGGAUGCCCCGUGAAGUUUGUAUAUGUUAGUUUAUUGCAUAUCUCAUUUCUUUCUUGUGCUUUCUGGAUGUGAUGUUGUCUUUGUGAUGUUUGGUUUGGAGGCGAGAGAUCGCCCCCUAGUUAAAUUUAUCCUGGGAAUGCUCCGUGAAGUUUGAAUAUAUUAUUAUCCGGGGUAUUGCCCCGAAGUAUUUGUAAUUGGAGACGGAAAGUAGAACCAUUAGUAUUUUUAUUUUUAUCACUUUUGAUUUUUCUUUCAAUAGGUGGGGACGACCUCGAGCCUCUUGUGUGUUUAUUUUCCGUUUCUAUGUUUUCUACCUCAAUUGAAUAUUUUAAUAGCCAACUUGAUCAUGUAUGCAACCGUGAACUUCACGGGACUUGGGGAAUGCCUAACACCUUCUCCCCGAGCCAAAUGAACCCCUUAGUCUUGAGUCCAAAUAUUUUAAAAGGAAACGGUAUUUUAAAAAUGGUGACCUGGCACACCAAAAAUCAAUGUCAGGUGGCGACUCUGAGUUUAUUUCCUUUUGAAACACAAUUUUUGUCACUUUCAAGAUUGAAAAUCCUUUUCAAGCUUUUAUUAAUUCUUUUUAUUCAUUUAAGAGGAUUUAAUUGAAGUUUGUGUUAAAAAAGGGGUGUGACAGGCGUGCCACACGAUCCCAUAGUAUAUAUUCAUAAGUGAUCGGCACGCCACACGAUCCCAUUUCAUAAAUCAUAAGUGGACGGUGCACUGCACGAUCCCAUAUCAUAGUUCAUUACUGGACGGCACGCCACACGAUCCCAUAUCAUAGUGGCUAAUACAUAUCGUCUUUCUAGAGGAGGCCCCAUUAUGGAAGUUCAACAACAUAACGAUUUAACCCGGCAAGGGUACAACUAAUAGCCCAAAUAUCCCGGCAAAGAAGCAACAACAAUAAUAGACUACGUGUCCCGGCAAGGGAAAUAAUCACAAAAACUUUCUCUUUUAAUUACUUCUUUCUCAAUUAUCAAACUCUAGUUCGAGGCAACACUCCAAUGAUAUAUCAAUCGCAAUUUUUCCUCAACAUAUAUGAAACUUACCAAUUAGACAAGAAAGAUGUAUCACAAAGUCUAAAUCAGACACAUUUAAGACCCACGGUCAUGCUAGACUCUGGUGUAUAGAUAACGGUCACCAUGCCUAUACAUCGUACUGCUCAUUUAGCAAUUAGCAAAUAAUAUUUUAAUCAUAUUCCCUCUAACCAAUGUUAGAACAAACACUUACCAUGGUCCAAGAAUAGCAAUCAACUCUCUAGUACCGCCUUUCCUCAACAAUCCGACUCCGAAACAACGAUAUCUAAGCAUAAUCAAUUCAAUAAUAUCAAUAAAUGCUCAAAAAUAGAAUUUCAUAGUCUAGAAAUGAAGUCCCUAGCAUUCUUCCAAAAAUAUCAAAAUUCAAUCCCGGGCCCACAUGGUCCAAACUCGAGGCUCGGACCAAGACCCGCUCACUCAUAACCCUACGAGCUCAAAUAUAUAAUUUAUUUUAAGAUUCGACCCCAAUUUGAGGUUGAAUCACCCAAAAUCCCCAAAACCCUAACUCUACCCAAAAACCCCCAAUUUCUACUUUGAAUUCAUGAUUUAGGGCUAAGAAAUUAGUGAUUAGUUGGAGAAAUUAAGAGAAGACGAGGUUAGGAACACUUACCUAUGAAGCUAUGGAGGCAGAACUAUUCAAAAUUCGUCUAUGGAGGGUUCUAGAGAAUAGCUCGUGUGAGAAUAUGAGAAGAUCCCAUAAUGGCUACAGUUUUGAACAUUUUAAAAAACUGGGCAAAAAUGCUCUAUGCGAUCGCGAGGAAAGGAGUGUGAUCGCAUAGAGUAAAGGGAACUAUGCUCUGCGAUCGCAUGAGUAGAAGUGCGAAUGCAUAGAGGAAAAAGGGAGUCAAAGGUUCUGGUGGGAUUUAAUGCUCUGCGAUCGCGGAUGAAGUGUGCGAUCGCGUUUAAAUGGCUGGCCAAACUAUGUGAUCGCGGAUCAGAGGUUGAGAUCACAUAGAGAAAAAUGGGGCAAAGAAAAAUUACCACUAUGCGACCGCGGAUAGGUCUAUGCGAUUGCAUAGACACCUGUGUAAAAAUUGCAGAAAAUCUGCUAACUUCCUAAGGUCAAAAACACCUCGAACCACCUCCGAAACACUCCCGAGCCCUCCGGGCUCCCAAUCAAACACAUACACUAACACAAUAAUAUCCUACGAACUUAGUCGGGCGAUCAAAUCGGUAAAACAACAUCAAAAUCAAAGAAUCACGCCCCAAAAUCAUCAUUUCUCAUUCUAGUUUCAAAAACUCUCAUCUUUAGAUAUUUAGGUCCGAAAUACGUCAAACGACGUCCGAUUUCGAUCAAACUUCACAAAAAACGCUUAACAUAUAUUUAAGACUAGUACCGGAUGCCAGAACUAAAAUAUGGGCAUGAUACCUACAUUUUCUAACUCAUUUUCAUUUCAAAAUUUCAUAUCAUUUUCAGAAGAACAAUUUCUUUCAAAAAUUCAUUACUCGGCUCGGGACCUCAGAUUUCGGUUCCGGGAAUAUGCGCGAGUCCCAUAUUUUUCUACGGACCCUCCGGGACAGUCACAUCACGGUUCCAUAUCCGUUUAUCUAAAAUGUUGACCAAAAUCAACUUUAACAAUACUAAUAUCAAAAUUCAUCAAUUGUUUUUCACAUAACUCACAUAUUUCUACAUAAAAGCUUUCCGACUACGCGUUCGGACUGCGCCCGCAAAUCGAGUCAACUAAAAGUGAGAUUUUCAAAGCUUCGGAUACACAGAAAAGAAAGAAAUCCGGUGAUGACCCUUUGGGUCGUCACAGUACCCAGUUUGUAGAUAUAUUGUAGAUUAUUUGUAUUCUAAUUGUAGAUGCUUUGUUUUCUGUUUUCACAAAUCAAAAACGACUAAAACUUCUACAAAUCUUCUGCAAACAACGCAAUUAUCUCGAAAAUUCCAAUUAAACUACAAUCGGAUGGAAUUUGGGAUAUUAAAAUUCAAUAUAUCAGUUUGUAAAUAUUUUGUAGAUGGAUUGUAAAUUAUUUGUAUUCUGAUCGUAAAUGUAUUGUUUGUAAAAUAACUUCAAUGACUAUAUGGGGUUAAAUUGGACGAGCCCCCACAUCGAUGGAGGGCUACAAUUCUUGGAGUUCAUAUCUGCAAUAAAUAACAGAAAAAGCCUAUUAAUUAAUUAACAGAUAACUUGUGUAUUUUAGGCUUGAAGAGUCAAUGGAACUAUGAUGACACAAGUGAUUACCAAAGUUUUAGAAAGUGAUUAGGAGACAAAAAGUGUAAUGGAAUUAGUCAUUGGCUUAUAAUUUCGAUCAUAUGAAAUGGUAAUAUUCAAAGUCAGAAAGAUAUUCUAAUAUUUGAUAAUGCAAUAUAUAGUGAAAAGUUCAUAAGUAGAGAAUCCAUUUGGAGAAUCGUUGAUUAUUCUCUGUUGCAAGAAGCAUAUGCACCACCUUUUGUCUCUCGUCUAUCAUUUCUACUAAAAUGGCGAUUCAUUAUCGGGUGCGAGUGAGAGUUUUGGAGAGAAAAAUAUGGGAUAGUUGGAAUAUAUGGUACCUUGAAUUAAGGAGGGAUAUACGCUAUAUUAAUUGUACUCUUAAAAUACAUUAUGUUAUAAAAUUAAUAAUUUGAUAUACUAAGUAUAAUUAAAUCAAACCUUAAACAUUGAGCGAAUAAGAUUUCCUUUUUAGCAUAGGAGUGUAAAAGUUCCCUAUUUUUAACUGUCGUACUUUUAAUUAGUGAUGGUAUUUACACCAGUCUAUAUGUUAACACAAAACUUUGAGUAACAAAUUGAGCCGUAUACCUAACACACCUACCAUAAUAUUUAAUCAGAUAUUUUGGCCAUGCUACGAGAACAAGAAACAAUACCCAACAACCUUGAAAAUUGGUAGUCUUGCACUUUUGACCCCUGCUUGCCCCACUGGCAAACCUUCAAUGCCAAAAGUUAAAAGUUAAACUUAAAAUUUUAUCCAUGACACAAGCGGGGUCACAAGUUCAAAAUCACUUAUUUCCAAGGCCAUUAUCCACUUUUUAGAGAGAAACUAUCUUCUAUAGCCCCUUAAAAUUUAAAUAGCUUAUAUUUUGUACCACUUUCAAAAAAUAGCUCUUCGGCCCAAAAGUAUUGGAUAUAGUAGCCGAAAAGAAUGAGUAUGGCAACAUAAAUGCCUGUAGCUCAGUGGAUAGAGCGCAUAUUUCUUAAGCUGAAGGUUGUAGGUUCGACCCUUACCUGACAUGAUAGAGCAACCUUUUUUUGCAAUGUAUAAAUAUUAUGUCCUAAGUUCGACAGUGUAUCCUUGCUGUAUAUUGAGCCUAUGUCGAUUGUGCAAGUGUAUAUAAUUGUGUAUCCCAAAUAUAUUUUGUAUUGUGAAUAUAUAAUCUUUCUGAACAAUGUAUCAAAAUUGUAUAUUAUGUGUCUUUUUUAAUAUGUAAUCAUAAUGUAUAAAUUAAAUACAAUUUUUUAUGUGUAAUGUGUGCACACCAUGUAUUUGGAGUGCAUCAUGUAUUUUUGUAUAGUAACAGUCUUUUUAUAUAUAUUUUAUAUAUUUACAUCUAUUUUGUAUAUAAAUUGUAUAGUUACAUAUAUUGUUGUAUGUAUUUUGUAUAGUGACAGUCUAUUUUGUAUAUAAAUUAUUUUGUGACAGUCUAUUUUGUAUAUAAAUUAUAUAGUGACAGUCUAUUUUGUAUAAUUUUUGUAUAAUACCAGUUUAUUUUGUAGAUAUUUCAACUUUUUUCAUAGUCAUCUCUUCUGUUCUUCCUCUUAUUGAGAUACCAACCACUGGCGUCCAUGGCUUCACAGUUGCCGAAAAUGGUAACAAGAUAGCCGAAGUUUUAAAUUUUUAGCCAACAAUUUUCAGAAUAUUAUCUACAACUCCCGAAGCUCAUAUCUGCAAUUAAUCAAAAUAUGAAGUCUAGUUCGAACAGAUGACUUGUGCCUUCAAGACUUCAAGGCUUAAGGAGUCGACAAAACUAUGUCAUAUCAGAUGAUGGCCAAAUUAUCAGAAAGCGACUAAGAUAUCAAGAACUUAGUAGAAUAAUGUACACUAAUUAUUUGACUCAUUGAAAACAGUGAUCCUCACAUUAGAAAGGAAAUUAUAACAAUAUGGAAUUGGACCUCCCUCAAAUAGAUGGAUCUGAGACUGAUAUUAGACCCGACCAUCCAGAACCAGGAGAGGAUGAUGAAUGCAUUUACAAAUUUCAAAUAUAGAUUCCUCUUCUAACCCUCAUCGACGGCGACUGUUCCACAAUAUUGAUAUGCUAUUCCUCUCCUCCAUCAUCUCUAUUUCUUUUGUUUUAAUGUUGAUUUAAAGUCCAGCUCUUCUUAGAUCUGGCCGGUUCUAGGAUUUUUCGGUAUUUUGUUGUUCGUCUGUUCUAGGAUUUUCCGAUGAGGAAAUUUGAUUAGUAAAGUUUUCGGCUAGUAAUUUUCAUUAUUUUUAGGCUAUGUAUGAGUUAUAUAGGUUAAUUUGUGGGCUACUGGCUGCUAUUUGCUUUGCCCGAUGGGCUAUAAAUGAAGCUCUCUUUUUAGUGUUCCGUCCCCAUUUGAAAUGCAAUUAAAAAUAACUAUUUUUCAGUUUUAAAAAAAUGUUUCUAUUCCUUUUCAUUUGAAAGGGACAGAGACCCACUUGUUCAAAGGUGAAAUUCCAACAUAUUGCAUAUGAAUUCGAAACUCCUUUAUUUGAAGCUCCAGUAUAAUGCAUUGCAGUUCUGGAGUUCGAAUUUCUAUAAGAGAAACUCUAGCAUACCGUGCUUGAGUGGAUCAUGAAUUGUUUGAGUUCGAACAUUAAUACAAUAUCCUGGUGCUUCACUUUACCUUUAAAGGUUCAAACUUAAGAUAUUAUUCUAUUCAUGAAAUUAGCCUAUUAUUUUCUCAAAUAUUGUUUAAGUUCGAACACUAGUACAAUAUCCUGGUGCUUCACUUUAUUUUUAUAGGUUCAAACUUAAGAUAUUAUUCUACUCAUAAAAUUAGCCUAUUAUUUUCUCAAGUACCACUACAAUCCAUGAAUUCACCCCAUUAUAAUUUUCUUUGUACAUUCAAUUAGUAUAUUAGACCUGCGACCAACAUCUCUUAUAUGAAUAACAUAUCACGUAUAGUCAUGGAUAUAUAUCAUUUAAUCAACACAUAACAAAUUAGUCCAAUUUCAAUUGAUAAUUCACUUUCUAGCAUUAUUAUUAGGAUAUUUAUUUUUCUUUACAGCUUUUCUAGCUAGUUAUUCAUGUUUUAGCUGAUUCAGAUAAUGUAGACCCAGUUUGGUAGAUAAAGCUUCCAUGCAUAACUUUGUUUAACAUUAUGCUUUCUUUAGUAAGUUCCCCUAAAGGAGAAGCAAAAUCUCCUUCUCCAGAUCCACUCAUACUACAUCAAAGGACAAUCAAUGGAGACUAUGAAUAUCCCUCAACUAGCUAGUUGGAUUGUAACAAAAAAAAAAUUUAAGCAAGGGAGUAUAUUAGACAGAUAUAGGGUACUACACAGGCAAGGUCAGCUUAGGGUUAGGCACCCAAAUAUUUAAGGCCCCAAAAAUAAAGAAUCACUAUAAUAUUAUUAUAUAUUAAUAUAUACUCCAUAAUUUAUAUUUAUAUAAUUAUUAAUAAAAGAUUUUAAAUUAUAAUAAUUUUUAACAAUUGGUUGACGUAAGAUUGAGUAAUUUAAUUGGAUAAGUGUUUUUCACUAAAUUAAAUAAUAUAUUUACCUUCUCAUUAAUUUUAUUUUUCUUCCUUUAUGUGUAUUUAUUUUUCAUGGUUUUCACGAUUUUAUUUUCUAUUUUAAACUCAAAUUCUCUAAAUUAACUAUUUCUUUUUAUCAUAUUUGAUAGAUCCACAUACUAGAAUGCAAGUUCUUUUGUGUCUUAUCUUUUUAACUAAGAAAUCCCCGAGACAAGUAUUGCAAGAUUCAAAACAUGAUGGAUAAUGGGUUUGCCCUUUACCCUUUUUACUUAAGGGAAGAAUUCAAUACCAUAUGAUGUGUGGCUAACUCAUACAUCAUGAAUUGCGCUCUGACCACUAGAUCAAAGUUAUGUUGGUUUUUUUAUGUCUCAAUGUUAUAUGAAUUUUAUAAAAGUAGUUUUAGGGUCUGAUUAGUUUUAGGCCACCAGUUCUGUUGAGCCGCCGAUCAUUGACGAUCGUCAAUUAUUUACGGACUAUUGCCACCACAAAUGUACUAUUCGACCAAUUUUAUUCACAUUUAGUAACUGAACGACGCACUCAUUGUCAUUAAUUUUCUUUUCAUUGUUGUCUUAUCUUAAGUGAGACUCUAUAAAUUUGAUUGAGAAUGUCAGGGGAGGACAAGUGGCUCUAGAAGAAUACUAGUAAAACCUUAAUUUAGGUCUCCUAAAAUUUUUAGUAAUGAAUUUUAUAAUUUUAUUUUAAAUUAGAUAAUAUAAAUAUUUGUAGAAAAAAGAUUACAAAAUUCUCUAAAGAAAAAGAAAGAAAAGUGUUUACUCUUUAACAUUAAAAAAAAAUUAAAAACUUUGAAUUAAACUACUUAGAUCUUUAUAUUAGUAAAUAUAUUUUUUUCAAUAAUAUCAAAGGUAACAUAUUGCAAAUAUAUGUCUAACAUCUCAUUUAUGUAAAUUAUUCUUUUCUAAUAUAAAUAAUAAUAUUAUUAUGUGAAGUUAAAGACUUUAUAUUAUUAAAAAUACAUAUUAUAAAUAACAUGUAUAAAAAAAUGGUAAGAUUAUUAUUAUUAUUUUUUUUGCAUAUAUGUGUAUACGUACUAAUCAAAAAAGUAUAAGGCCUCUUACUAAAUUUAAAUUUAGCCCACUAAUUUUAUGGAUUCACCUUUAUACAUAGGGCAACAAAAGACAUCGUGGAAAGUAUUGGCUGGUAAAACUGAAGGUAGACCAAACGGCUAUUUUUACUAUGUGGCUACAGCUUCAUGAUGAACUCAGUACAAUUGCUCGUUGUGUAUGAUGUUCCUACUGUCAACCGGAAAGAAUAACCCACCAAAUGUGCAUUUGCAAGAAGUCUAUGGGAGAAGAAUAAAGGCAUGCAUGGUUGUAAAUGCCUAAUUUUGGCUCUUUUCUUUUUUUCUUUCAUGUUUAUUAUGUGUGUAUGUGUAGGUUGUCGGAGUUUGAUUGUAAUUUAAUGAAGAAGGGAAUAAGAGUUUGGGCUGGCUUCAUUUUUCAAUUGAAUGAGACAAAAAAAAAACUGAACCAAAUCAGUGGCCUAAUGAAACUAAACCGGUCCAAAAAUUGUUGGCAAAGACUUAGUUCAAAAUGGCGUAGUUUCAUGAUAAAAUUAUGUCGUUUCAUUAAGUGAACCUGGUUCAAAUCUCAGCCCAUCAUCUCUUCCUCAUCCAACAACCAUCAUUUGAUCUCUCCCCUAGGUAUUUAAGACCUAGAGGGACCAAAAUUUUGGCCCAUUUUUCCUUUAUUUCUUUCCUUCUUCCUCUCUCUUCACUCUGCGUUCUCUCCCCGUUAGUUUCGCCCACUACCUCAUUGCUCCGUCAGCGAAAAUCGCUCGCCUACGGCGACCGUCAUCUAAACCACCCCAAAAUCGCACCAUACAAUCAUGUUAACCUCAUAUUUCCAAAUCUCCACCCAAAUUCCUCAAAACCCACUCAAUUGCACAAUGUUUAGAUUAGGAAACCCUAGCCGCCACUUUUUUUGUCCAAAUUCGUGAAGCUCCAGCCACUACCACCCUAUAACACAUACAUGAAUGGAUAGAGAUCAACGAUACCUACACUUUCCCUAAUUUCACCUAUAAAUAUUGUUGUCCACCACUGCUCCAACGACGCUCAAUGGCCCUAACUCCCAUAAAAUUUAUACCUUUCUCCUCCUCUUUUCUUUUUCUUUUCCUUUUCUUAUCUCCAACCCAAAACCACCACUGUGUAAUACCCCCAAUCCUUGCAUCUUUGUUUCAGUCCAUGAUGACAUCCAUAUCUACUGCUAAAAGGUAAAUGGACACAAUCACAUGCAAUAUAAUUUACUCAACUGUGAGUUGGGAUCGAAUCCCACGGAGAACAAUAUGUAGGCGAUUAGGAAUGUAAGAGAAUAUUACGUGUUAUGCAAUGCCAAACACUUAGAAUUGUUUUUAGAAAAUAUUUAUACCCAAAUGCAAAAAUAGAAACUAAUCUAGAAAGCAUGUAAAAUGAUCAAUGGCUAACAGAUUGAUGCAUUGGGAAUUACACUCAAGUAACGAUCCAAAAUAUUUUACUAUUUUACAAAUAUGCACGAGUUUAUGUUAAUUAGUCUGGGUAAUAAUUCUGUAUUAGCUUUUUCCGAAGACUAACAAGACUUUCUAAUUGAAUUUUCCUAACACAAUUAAGAUCUUACGAACACCCGAUUAUGGCUACAAGUAGUUCAAUAUAUCCCUAGGUAGAAUCUAUAAAAUGAGGGUUAUAGACUCAAGUUCUUGUUAAUUAAUCUUUCCCAACCCCAAAUAAUCUUUCCCAAAAUUAAUUCAAAGUUAAUGGGCGAGUCCUAAGGUUAGCUAAUUCCUUUGAAAAUAUUAAAGAACAAGAAUAAUUAAAGAAAUAAUAACUCCCUUGAUAAAAGAUAAAAUAAUUCAAUACAUAAGCACAACAAGACAUUUAAUUCACACUUUAAAUAUGAAUAUUUCCAAAUAUAAGAUUCAAGUGUUGGAUAAAAAAUUACGCACUUAAAUAUACAAUACGAAGCAAGGAAAUGAAGAAAUGAGCAUAGAUGAGUGAAAAAUUCUUAACCAAAAGCUUUAAAUCUUCAAGACUCAAGUGUGUGUGCAAGAAUCCUAGCUCUGUCACGACCCAGAUUUUUCACCAUCGGGAGUCGUGAUGGCACCUACUGUCGGAGAUAGGCAAGCCAAACAUCACAAUAAUUCUGCUGAUUUAUUUAAACAAUUAUAAUAAACUGAAACAAUAAUUUAAAAUUAAGCGAAAGACUUUUAACAAAAACGAAAUCAUAAUGCGGAAGUUUAAAACAUAUCUACCCAAAAUCCGGUGUCACUAGCUCCGGACUACUAAAGAGUGCUACAAGCAAGUCUGAAUGGAAAUACAAAAUAUUUGUCUCGCUACAAAGAAAACAAACUAAACCUAGAAAAGGACUCUGACCUGCGAACGUCAUCUAGGCUACCUCGAACUUCCUGGACUCAAGUCAACUCCCGAUAGAAUAGGCUAUUGCUGUGAUCCAGAAGAUGCUAUGGUACCGUAAUCUGUGCAAAAAACACAGAAGUGUAGCAUCAGCAAAACCAACCACAUGCACUGAUAAGAGUCUGGCCUAACCCCGGCAAGGUAGUGAUGAGGCUAGACAGGACCUAUCACAAAUAACAUGUACAGAUAUAUGUGCAAUAAAAGGAAAAUAUUCCUAGUUUAAACAAGUAAUAGGGAGGGGGCAUGUUGUAGGGUGUAACAAUUCAAAUAUAAGAUCAACAAACAAAGAGAUGGAACUGGUCAAAUAACAUCAAUAUAAGAGAACAUGUAAAUCAACAACUGCACGGCACCAACCUUCGUGCUUUUGCUCUCAUUCUCACCAAAACAGUCAAAUACAGUGCACGACAUCCCCCUUCGUUCUUUUCCUCACAUAACUCUCCUAUCAAGGCACAGAACAACUCUUCGUGCAUAAUUAUCAAAACAUGGCAUGGAAUGACCCUUCGUGCAUAAUUCUCAAAACAUGGUACGGAAUGACCCUUCGCGCAUGAAUAUCAAAACAUGACACGGAAUGACCCUUCGUGCAUAAUCAUCAAAACAUGGCAUGGAAUGAACCUUCGUGCAUAAUUGUUCUUCCUCAACCAAUCAACAGUCACAACCAAUCGGGGGAGGGGAUAAACAACAAUAUUAAACAUCCCGACAAGGUAGAACAAAUCAACAAAUAAGUCCCAACAAGGGAAUAAUACGACACUUCCUCCUUUAACUCAUUUCUUUCUCAACUACCACUUCAUAUGAAAUUAUCUAAUAAACAACACAAUUGUAUCCCAUCUUUCGUUAAAAGCAAUUACGACUCAGGGUCAUGCUAGACUCCGGUGCAUAAAUAACAUUCACCAUGCCUAUACACCGUACUUCACAAUUAACACGUAGAAAAUAAUAUCCUUAUCCUAAUCCUAAUCCUAAUCCCUCAAGCCAAUGUUGGAACAAACACUUACCUCGAAAGCUCCAAACUCAACUCACGCCUCUAGAAUAGCUUUACCCCUUUAAUUCGACACAAAACCGCUCGAAUCUAGUCACAAAUUACUCAAACGUAUCAAUAAAUGCUAGUUACAUCAAUUUGAAUGCAUAAGAAUGAAUUUUCCAAAGUUUUGCCCAAAAAUUUACAAAACGCCCCCAUGCCCACGUGGUCAAAACCCGAGAUUCGAAUCAAAUCGGGUUACCCAUUCCCCCACGAGUUCAUAUCUAUAUUUUAUUUUGAAAUCGGACCUCAAAUUGAGGUCCAACUCCACAAUUUAUAGAAAACCUAGGUUCUACACAAAAAUCCCAAUUUCACCCAUGAAAAUCCUUGAUUUCAAGUGGAAAACAUGUUUAAUGAUAUUAAAGUUUGAAAGAAUCGAGUAAAAAUCAACUUACAAGUGAUUUGGGAUGAAGUUUGCUCUUGAAAAAUCGUCUAUGGGGUUUGGGUUUUGUAAGAAUGUUGAAAAGUGAUAAAAUUUUGACUAAGUAUAAAAAUUGAUUGGCUCGGUUAUGGAAAUUGCGAACCUUGGUUCGUAAUUGUGAGAAACACAUGCUUGGAAAUUGCGGAGGAAAUCGCCUAUGGGGUUUGGGUAUUGAAAUAAUGGUGAAAAGCGAUGAAAUUUCAACUAAGUCUACAAAUUGCUGGGCUGCGGUUGUGGGAAUUGAAAAACCUAGGUUGGAAAUUGCGAGAAACACAGGCUUGGGAAUUGCGGGGUUGAGGUUCGCAUUUGCAACCCCUUAUCACAUGGCCAGUUUUCGCAUUUGCGAGAAAAAGAUCGCAUUUGCGCUGGUGCCCGAAAUUUCCGUGGUUCGCAUUUGCGAACAAAUGGAUCGCAUUUGCGAUCCUAUACAAAUAUCCCCAGCUUUGCAUUUGUGAAUAAAUAUUUGCAUUUGCGAAUAUCGCAUAAUCCAGCAUACCAGAUUUUGAAAAAUGAGAAAAAUGCAAUCGGAUGCCUAUCUAAAACUCACCCGAGCCAUCAGGGCUCCAACCCAAAUAUACACACAACCUAAAAGGUAUCCCACGGACCUACUCGUGCGAUCAAAUCACCAAAAUAACAUUAAGAUCUAUGAAUCAAGCCUCAAAAUCAUGAUUUUUCUUCUAAGUUUCAUAAAUUUUCAAAUUUGGAACUUAUAGUCCGAAAACGUCAUACGACGUCCGUUCUCAACCAAACUUCACAGAAAGCGCUUAAACAAUAUAUGGGACUUGUGCCAGGCAUCGCAACUAAAAUACAAGCCCGAUACCAUAGCUUUUUAAUCUAUUUUCGUUUCCAUUCUCCUUAAUAAAUUCAGAAAAACAAUUUCUUUAAAAAAUGUAAUAUUCGGACUAGGGACCUCAGAUUUCGGUUCCGCAAAUACGCCUGAGUCCCAUAUUUUUAUACGGACAUCUCGGGACUGUCACAUCACGGUUCCGGGUCUGUUUACCCAAAAUGUUGACCAAAGUACACUAUAAUAAUGUUAAUAUCAAAAGUCUUCUAAUUUUCUACAGAAUUCACAUAUUUCAACAUAGAAAUUUUCCGCUUCGUGCCCGGACCGUGCACACAAAUUGAGUCAACUAAAAGCAAGGUUUUCAAGGCCUCGAAAACACAUAAAAAGGGAGAAUUACGGUGAUGAUCUUUUGGGUCGUCACAAGCUCCAAAACUUGUUCUCUCUAGUCCAAAGACCGAAAAUUAAGGCAAAGAUGUUUUACAAAUGAGAUAAGUCGGGAAUUAAAUGAUUUGGGGUAAAACAUUAUGAUAUCACAGAAGUACUCAGAGCUGAAGCGCGAUCUUUGCAUUUGCGAAGGUUGACUGCCUUGUUUGACCUUCACAUUUGCGAAGGUUGACUGCCUUAUUUGACUUCGCAUUUCCGAACUUAGCUUGACUUUGCAUUUGCAAAGCCAUUUGUUCACAUUUGUGACCUCUAUCUGCUUCGCAUUUCCCACAGCUUUGUCGCAUUUGCGACAUCUGAGGCCAUUUUCCAAAUUUUCUUCUUUUCAGCUUGUUUUUGACUCGUAUUCACUUAGUUUCUUCAAGAUCACUUUUAAAUCAUGUAGAACCCGUAAUGUAGAAGUAAACGACAUUAAAUACAUGAUUUUAUCAUGCAAACAUAGCAAAACUCUAAGAUGAAAGACAUGAUAAGUUGGUAAAAUACCAACUCAUCAAACUCCACAAACUUAAACUAUUGUGUGUCCUCAAGCAGUGAAAGCGAUAAAAUCUCCUUCCAAGUAUUUAACUCAAUAGUGCAUCAAUAUCAUGCCAAGUCAAAAAGGUCUACCGCGAUAUUAAAAAGUCCACUCCCGAUCAAACUUCCCAAAAUCUUUCAACUUUCGCCAAUUCACACCGAAUUGACCUACGGAUCUCCAAAUAAAAAUCAUGACACGCUUAUAAGAUCAAAAUCACCAUAUGGAGCUACUCCAUCUAUCAAAACUCUAUUCUGGGGUCAUCUUCACACAAGUCAAACUACGGUCAACCCCUACGACUUAAACUUCCAACUUAAGGACUAUGUAUCUCAUUUCACUCUGAAGCUCCCUCGAACCCGACUCCAAGCACCCCGGUAAGUCACAUAGCCACAAUAUAACAUAUAGGAAGCAUAAAUUAGGGGAACGGGACUAAAAUACUCAAAACAACCGGCCAAAUCGUUACAUUUAGUCAAGUAUUUUAGUCAAUUGAAAAACACUUACUCAUAUUUGAAGAUGAUUCUCUUCAUUUUUUAUUUAUUUUUUCACAAUACUUUAUUGUACAUUUAAGACAAUCCAUUGUAGUGAUUCUUUUAUUUUAACAAUAAAUUAACUUUUUAAUAUUUAUUUAAACUCUUUUAGAGCAUCUCAAUUGUUAAUACACAUUCCUUAUUUGAUUUAAUCACUCUAUUAUCACAAGAAAGAUUCUUUAUGGAUAAUUUCUUUCUUAUUCUCCAAUAUCUAUACUCUUCUUACUUUAUUUGAUUAUUUCUUUUGACUUAAUUGUCGGUUACUUUAUUCAAAGAAUAAUUCUUUACCAUUCUAUUAUAUGUAUUCAAUUAAGAUUAAUCUUGUAUAGUUAAAUCACACGACUUAAAUUAUAAAUUGAAGUUUCCUUUCUAUCUUAUUUCGAAUCCAAUUCUUUCAGUUAAACACCAAAAAGAUUUUUCUUUAUUAAUUUACUUUGCAUAUCCUAUUGUAUAUAUUUCACCACAAAUAAAAUGGUCAUGCUUUGAAUAUUUACUCAAUACAUGACAAUUGCAUUGGCUACACUUUGGUAGGAAUUCUUUGUAAAAUAACUAAUUAUUCUUUUGAACCUUCCCUCUCUUAUUUGAUCGAGUCCACCGGAAUCACAUUUUAUGAAUCUUAGGGGAUGCCUAACUGAUAUUCGACAUUAUUCUAUAUAUUCUGAUAGUAGUUUGACCUCAUUCUCAAGUGUUCUUGAAUUUUUUAAUGGUUAAAACUUACCAAAAUUGUGCCUAAUUGAUACUCUUUGGUUGAUAGGGAGUUGAAAGAAGUAUUGAAGGAAUUUUUAAAAUUUUGGGACGAAAAUCUGCUCAAAUUAAAGAAAAGGAAACAGUGCAAAAAUAACGCAUUUCCCUAUAUGUUUGCUCAGUGUGCGCUCCUCUGGAAAAGGUCAAAUACAGAGUGCAUGGUGCGCGUGCAUUACGAACCUGGCUCCCGAGCAUAAAUUUCAAUGUGAAAAUUAUAAGGUUAUUUUGGCCUUUGGAGAAAAUCUGACACGAUAUAAAAGCUUCUUUUUUCCUCCCCCGUUGCUAUCUCGACCUGAAAAGCAGAGAACACUACUUUCGAAGCAAGUAAGGGCUUGGAAGAGUCCAAAAAUCAUCCUAAUUGAAGAUUUAAAGAGUUUCUCUUAACUUUUCUUAUUUUUUGUUUAUUAUGGAGAUUGUUUUGAGAAUAAUCAUUAAGGUUUUUAGUACAAAUAUGAGUAGCUAAAUUCUCUAUCUAGGGUAUUGAUAAACUCGUUGUUGGGCAUUUUUGAGUAAAUAUUCCUGAAUCGUUGAUACUUAUUCUAUUUGUUUGGUUGCGAUUUCAAUAAAUUCAAUUAUUUGAGAUCGCAACUGCUUAUGCCCUAUUUCUUUUUAUUCUUGGGAAAGAUUGACAAGGUUGGAUCAGUCAAAUGGGCUGAAUUAAUGAAUUACAUGACCCAGUUUAGAAUCGUUAUGGGGACAUCAAGAUUCGACUGUGACCUAGAAUUGGAUGACUUUAUUAUCUUGAUUAUUUUGAAAAAAAUUGUUCAAGAAUGGUGUCGUUGGUAGUUGGAAAACUCUAGCGAACAAAUUUAGGUCCAAGGUUGGUAGAAUAAUGUCAAAUAAAGUUUCAAGAUUCAACCUAGAGUUAGCUCGGCAAUUGGGAGAUUCUGUACCUUAGGCCUUUUUAUCAUCUACAAAUUUUUAAAGUUAUUCUCGACUGAUAGUUUAGUUUGUUGUUAGUUAGUCGAAUCUUAUUCAUUAGUUAAUGUCCACAAAAUUCAAGUACAUUGUUCCCUCUUGAUCAACUUAGAUUAUUUCGCAAUUGAGUCAAUUAGAACGCUUCAUAGCUUCCUCUGGGAUUCGACCAUGACUCAUCGUUGGGUAAAUUAUAUUCAAUACAACCAUAGAAUAUAUCUUAUCGAGGUGUGUUUUGGAUGCCAUCAAUUUUAAUGUCAUUGCUGGGGAGCUACCAGUUUAAGUUUUUGUUGAUAAAUAAAAUUUUAAGUGUUCAAAAUUGAAGUUUUUAUAUUAAAUUACCGAGUGUUUAGGUUGUUUGGGAAGUAAGCAUACGUACUUUGUUUCAAACUUAUGAAUAUUUGUGUCGUCGUUUUUCUUAUCUUUCUUUGUUUCUUUUUUAUUUUUUGUUUAUUUUCUUAGUUUUUUUAAAAUAGCAUCACACAAUAAAAAUUGGUCGGAUGAUAGUUGUUCAUACUUUGAUGACCCAUGUCCUUAUUAUUGAGGACCACACGCAUGGAAAAAUUAUUUAAGUUAUUCCGAGGGAGGAUUGUGCGCAAUGUAUCAAACCUACGAGUGAAAUAUAUGUGAUAGAUGUGGUAGUCAAAAUGGUCAUUUAGGAAAUUAUGUUUGUUUGUCCUUCCCUUCCCCGAAACCCCACUAUGACUAUUUUACAUUUUGUUUUGACAUAUAUAGGGCAUUGAAUAUGGAAGAAAAUGAGCAGGGGAAAAAUCGAUAGUUCAAACUCAUGAUGAAGUACAUGUGUGAAGAAGGAAACCAAGAGCAAAAUGCCUUGGAAGAGUUAUUGAAACAUAGUCUCCAAAAUAGUUUGGAGCUUGACUAACGAAUUGAACAUCUGCCAACCAACUUUAUUCUUGUUGGCGAUCCCGAAAAAAAAAAUUUGAAUUAAAGCUAACAUGCGUAAUUGAACAUAUGGUUGAAAUUGACUCUAAUUCGGAGGAAAAAGAGAAUAUCAAGAUUCAGGCAAAAUUGCAAUAGGGAGGCUUGAUGUCUUUUUCUAAGUAUUUUUCAAUAUUGGAGUUGUGUGGUGAUAUAGGAAUUGAAACACAUGAAUCAAUAAGGGGUUGCGAAGAGGAAAGUCAAGAUCUGCACAAUUUGAGUCCAAGUUAGGCUCCCAAUUCAUAUCCUCCAAGUGGAGAGAACAAUGCAAUGAAAGUUGCAGGAGCAUCAUAAUAAGAACGCUCGUUGACCUCGCGGUGCAGGAUUUUAUUGCCUACCGCUAUUUCUGACUCCUAAUCAUAAGUCCCUGGUUAUUCUAUGUUGAGAUUUGAUCACUGCUAUCGGUUUUUCUGCUACUGCUUCACUUGGCGAUGUUACUGCUGGCACGAGGCACGAGGCCCGCGGAUGGAGUCACCAAUGAUGUGACAUUUAGGGAAGUUCCUCUACAUCCAACUUGUUUUAUUUGUGUACAUUGGGAAUAAUGCAUGAUCAUAAGUGUGGGGUGGGAGUAUGUUAUAUUGAUGAAUAUUUUUUAAAUUUUUUAUUAUUUUAUUCUUCUUGGGUUUUCUUUGCCAUAUUUCUUUCCCAAUGAGCUAUUUUUUGAACCGAGCACUCUUAGAAUAUGAAAACAAAAUGUAAAGAAAAAAAUUUGUUUUUCUAAAGAAAGUUCGGAACCUUGAUAUGCAUCUUGAGAGUCACCAAGUAUGCUUGCAUUUUUUUUUCAUUUCAUGCUUGCAUAUUGAGGAUUGAAAUUGAGUGAACUCUCAAUUCCAUGUAUAUAGAGUCACCAAGUAUGCUUGAAUUUUUUUUUUUCAUUUCAUGCUUGCAUAUUGAUGAUUGAAAUUGAGUGAACUCUGAAUUCCAUGUGUAUAUAGUGGUGGGUUCUAUGAGCAUUUUCAUGUUCACAUGUCAAUCUAGAACGUGUCCGGCUUGUUUAUUUGAGGCGAAAUCCUAGGAUGUUCUCAAGUUAGGUAAUAAUUGUAAGCCAUCUUGAUUGUCACAACCUAAAAUUCACUAGUCGUAAUGUCACAUAACCCAACAUGCAAGGUAACCCAACUAUGCUAUCCAAUUCCCAUAAUAUUUAAUAAGACAGUUUAAACAAGAAAAUUAUCUGAAUCUUAUACACUUUCCUAAAGACUGGGAGUACAAAUCAUGAGCAUCUAAGAAUAAAAUUUAUAAAACUGAAAUGAAGUAAAUACUUCUUCUAUUUGAAAAGUACAUAAACAAAAUUUUAUAAAUCUACGGAUACCAUGAACAAGAGGCAGUUACAGCCGGAACGCAGGUACAUCUUCAAAUACAACAAGCAUCGAACACAGCAAUAAUGUGAAGAUAACAUCUGCACGUAAUGUGCACAAGUGUAGUAUCAUUACAACCCACCCCAUAUACUGGCAAGUAACAAACCUAAUAGGUUGAAAGUAGUAACGAGCUGGAACACAGUCGGGUCCAAUACCAAUAACCAACAACAGUUCAUAACAACGUAGAGCAUAUAUAUACAUCACUGACGAUCAGUCACUCAGUACCAAGGAAGGGCAAUCCGGCCCCAUGGAGAAGAUCCAUCUCACAAGCGCUAUCACAAGCCAAAUCUAAGCAUAAAUCAAUAUAACAUGUUUCGGCGUUCAUCCCUUCCCAUAACUGUCACUCAUAAUUAAGCUCCCGACCUUACUCGGUCAUCAAUCUAUCUAGUUUCACCCUUGGGCUCACAAUUCAUGAAGAUUAACCCGGAACAAUGAUAUGAUAUGCUAAUGAAUAAUAAUUUAGACUGAGAUAUGAUAUAGAUGCAUGAAUAUGACCGAGUACGAAAUAUCAAUGAAAAUCAGUGGGAUGACAGCAAGAAAUGACCACUAUAGGUCCCAUCAAUAUCUGCAUAAAGCCUACAUAUGAUAUGUAGCAUGAUUAACUGCUCAAUUACUUUAUCACAUGGUGAAAACAUAUAUAUUUUAUUCAGUGCCAUGGAAAAUAAUAGUGUCACAAUUCAUAGGGUGUACGCCUACAUGCCCAUCACCUAGCAUAUGUUUCACCUCAACACCAAUAAAUCCUGAAAAAUCCUGCGAAUCGCGAAUAAUUCUGAAUUAUAAUAAAUCCUGAAAAAUUAGUUUAUCUGUAACCCUUAGGUUGUUAGUCUUUGACAUUAAUGUGAAGAUACGCAUCAUAAUCCUUGAAGACGUUUUGCUUUUUGUUUCUUAAUAUUCCUCGAAGUUUUAUUCGGUCGAAAAAGAAAAUUAAUACUAAGUAAAGACAAUAAUUUAUGUUUUCAGACAAAAAGAAUAAAACAUAAAGUUGAAACUAAAUAAAAGAAAAAAUUACGUCGACAGCAGGAUUCGAACCUGCGCAGGCAAAGCCCAACAGAUUUCGAGUCUGUCUCCUUAACCACUCGGACAUAUCGACAUAUUGCUUCGUUGUUAUCACCAAUACAUUAAUAUACAAAUGUGGAGUUUUAAUUACACUUUGCUUUCAUGUCAAACUAAUGCGAUCCAUCUGCUAUGCUAAUUAAUUGAUAUUAUAGCGCUGAGUAAGUUUUCCAUCACUUACUAACUAUUCAAUCAACAUUGUGAAAAACUAAAAAUGAUAAAUAAUUCGAUCAUUCUUUUACUUUCAUGGAACAAAAGAUUCACUGGUGUAAUGUUUUUUUUACUCCUACACAUGGGAUUUUCUUUUUUUUUUGGNNNNNNNNNNNNNNNNNNNNNNNNNNNNNNNNNNNNNNNNNNNNNNNNNNNNNNNNNNNNNNNNNNNNNNNNNNNNNNNNNNNNNNNNNNNNNNNNNNNNNNNNNNNNNNNNNNNNNNNNNNNNNNNNNNNNNNNNNNUUCCGAUCUGACGGCGAACUUGGUUAGGGAGGCAGCGGGAACUUGUAUGGGGCGGAGUGCUGGCCUGUGAAGCACUCUCAUGUCCAGAGAAUGAAAGUUGCGGAGAUGAGGAUGCUCAUGUGGAUGUGCGGGCUCACCAGGCUUGAUAAGAUUAAGAAUGAAGUUAUUCGGGAGAAGGUGGGGGUGGUCCCAGUGGAUGAGAAAAUGGGAGAAGCGAGACUCAUGUGGUUUGGGCAUGUGAGGAGGAGAAUCCCUGAUGCCCCGGUGAGGAGUUGUGAGAGACUGGCGGUGGUUGGCGCGAGUCGAGGCAGAUGGAGGCCUAGGAGAUAUUGGGGUGAGGUGAUUAGGAAGGAUAUAGCUAGAAUGAGGAUUUCCGAGGAUGUGGCCUUGAUAGGAAAGUCUGGAGGUCUAGUAUUAUGGUUGUAGGAUAGGGGCUUCUAGAAUUUUUAGUACUUCUGUCCGGGGCUAGGUGGGGCUUGGUAAGGCUCUCUAUAGUUGAUUUAUGUCUUGUACUGUGCCUCUUAUGGUAGUGACCGAUUAAUAUUAUUGCAUAUCAUUUUAUUCUUGGUUUUAUGUUUAGAUAAUUAUUAACGUGAUUUAUGCUGGAUUUAUUAAUGUUGUUUUUUUUAUUUUCUCUCCCUUUCUCUGAGCCGAGGGUUGGUCGGAAACAGCCUCUCUAUCUUUUCGCGUAGAGAUAAGGCCUAUGUAUGUAUUACUCUUUCCAGACCCCACUUUGUGGGAAUAUACUGGAUAAUUGUUGUUGUUAUUAUGGUGUUCAUACCUUUUUUGUGAAAUAAUUAAGAGAAAGGAAAUAACGCUGAAAUCAUUGUCUCUAAAUCGAGAAUUAAUUCCCUGUAUUCAUAGCAAGCGAAACUCCAUGAGCAAUAUUAGCAACCAACUUAAUUUGAAUCUUUAGUGAAUAAUUUUGGGAGAAUUUCACGUAAGAACAACAGGGCACCCUAAUUUUUAAUUUUAUAGCCCAUAUUUUAAUUUACAAUCAAUUAGCCCAAAAAUAAUAGGCUAAGAUUCAAUAUUCAACUCCAAUAGGUUCUCAAAAAUACCAUUUCAUUUUUUAAAAAAAUGCUCAAACUUUUAAGUUAAUUUUCGAAUCAAUAACUGUGAUUCAAAUAUUUGUUUAACAAACCAAAUCCAUCCGGGUGGUGAAAAUUAGAUUUUUUAACAAGUUUAAAUAUGUGGGUUUAAAUUUUGAAUUUAAUUUUGUACGAAAGUUGGAGCGGGUGUUAUAUACAUUUGUUAGAAAUAGUAUAAGGAAGUUGUAUAUAAAAUUUGAAGUCAUUUAAUGGAGAUUUUGACUGGUUUUGAACAAGAAUUACAACUGAAAAUCGUCGAAGAAGUUCGUCUGCAUACGUUUGUAUAAAGGUGUAUAAAAGUGUAUAAUAGUGUAUAAGAUGUGUUUAUACACCCAUAUACACUAUUAUACAAGAUUAUACAAAAAAUUGACUUCGUCUUAUUCCUUGCGCUUUUUUAAAAAAAAAUUUAACUCAAAUCUUGCUCAAAUCUUGAUAUUUUCAAUCAAUUGAAACAAUACCCAAUCCAAACAAUUAAAAAUUACAAGAAAUUAUAUAGUUGAUUUAUGUCUUGUACUGGCCGGUCCGCGUUCAUAAGCCUGUGAGCCAGGGACCGUCAGCCGGGUCUGGGCCGGUCCUGGCGGGCCUAAACGGGCCCAACGGCUAUUUUUUUUUAAAAAAAUUAUUUUAAAAAUCAGCAACGGUCAUAUUUAAAAUAUAGCCGUUUGGGCUGAAAAUACGGCCGUUUGGAAGUUUACAAAAUGGCCAUUUGGCACCCAAACUUCAAUUUAACCCCAAACUUUAUAUAAUUACACUUUUUCCCAUUUUUCAACUAUAUAUAACCCCUCAUUCUUUCAUUUUUAUUCACCAAUUCAUCAAUAUCUCUCAAUCUCUCUCAAUCUUUNNNNNNNNNNNNNNNNNNNNNNNNNNNNNNNNNNNNNNNNNNNNNNNNNNNNNNNNNNNNNNNNNNNNNNNNNNNNNNNNNNNNNNNNNNNNNNNNNNNNNNNNNNNNNNNNNNNNNNNNNNNNNNNNNNNNNNNNNNNNNNNNNNNNNNNNNNNNNNNNNNNNNNNNNNNNNNNNNNNNNNNNNNNNNNNNNNNNNNNNNNNNNNNNNNNNNNNNNNNNNNNNNNNNNNNNNNNNNNNNNNNNNNNNNNNNNNNNNNNNNNNNNNNNNNNNNNNNNNNNNNNNNNNNNNNNNNNNNNNNNNNNNNNNNNNNNNNNNNNNNNNNNNNNNNNNNNNNNNNNNNNNNNNNNNNNNNNNNNNNNNNNNNNNNNNNNNNNNNNNNNNNNNNNNNNNNNNNNNNNNNNNNNNNNNNNNNNNNNNNNNNNNNNNNNNNNNNNNNNNNNNNNNNNNNNNNNAAAUGAUGAUGAUGAUGAUGAUGAUGAAACCCAAGCAGCAGAUUUAGAUGAUACACCUACUAGUCCUGUUAAUAACUCAAGUAAUGCACCGGCCAACCCACCUGUAGAAACUCCAACUUUUAAUAGACAACCUGCUAAAAGUCAAGAAACAUCAUUAGUUUGGAAUUUUUUUACUCAAGUAAGAGAACUAAAUAACACUGUCACCGGAGGUAUUUUAUAUUACGAUCCAAAUAGAGAUCGAAGAAUUAGCAAAGAUGAUUACUGUUAUGUGCUUACCUUAUACUUUUGCUUCUAAUCCUAUUNNNNNNNNNNNNNNNNNNNNNNNNNNNNNNNNNNNNNNNNNNNNNNNNNNNNNNNNNNNNNNNNNNNNNNNNNNNNNNNNNNNNNNNNNNNNNNNNNNNNNNNNNNNNNNNNNNNNNNNNNNNNNNNNNNNNNNNNNNNNNNNNNNNNNNNNNNNNNNNNNNNNNNNNNNNNNNNNNNNNNNNNNNNNNNNNNNNNNNNNNNNNNNNNNNNNNNNNNACUGCUGAUAUUGGUAGAAGUGGUAAUGAUUGUGAUUAUCUAAAUGUUACAAGUCAUUGGAUAGAUGAGUACUGGACAAUGCAAAAACCUAUAAUUGCGUAUAGUAUAAUUAAUUCACGUCACAGAGGUAAGUUUAUAACUAACACGGUUUCAGAUAUUUGUAGAUAUGUUUGCUUUAGCGAUAAAAUAAUGGCAAUUUCUAUGGAUAAUACUUAUAGUAACACUAGUGCUAUAGGCAUGCUUACAAAAACACUAAAGCCUGCAUUUACUAAUACUUUCCAUGUUAGAUGUAUUUGUCAUAUUUAUCAUUUAAUUGUCGGUGAUGGUAUGCAAAUUUUAAACAUAGAAAUUGAAAAGGUUCGAAUGGNNNNNNNNNNNNNNNNNNNNNNNNNNNNNNNNNNNNNNNNNNNNNNNNNNNNNNNNNNNNNNNNNNNNNNNNNNNNNNNNNNNNNNNNNNNNNNNNNNNNNNNNNNNNNNNNNNNNNNNNNNNNNNNNNNNNNNNNNNNNNNNNNNNNNNNNNNNNNNNNNNNNNNNNNNNNNNNNNNNNNNNNNNNNNNNNACGCAAGAUUGGACGAAUGUUAAAAUUCUUUUAGAUUUUUUAGAACAUUUUCAAGUUGCUACAAAUGCAUUUUCUAGGCAAUAUUAUCCUACUAUUUUAAACUGUUUAGUUUAUAUUGCCGCACUAGCUGAUUUGUUUAUGAAUUUGGCGAGGGUGGAGAUAUUUAUGAACUUGCUAUAAAUGAAAAAUAAAAAUUUAAAAAAUAUUUUUUCCUAUCCUUCCUAUUUUUGGUGUUGCUGCAAUGUUAAAUCCUACAAUAAAAUUGGGAGGUCCUCAUUUUUGGUAUUUAAAUAUUUAUAAGGCUUUAGAUCUUUCAAACAAGGAAGUUGCUACACUUGCAGAUGCGAAAGCAUCAAUUAAAAUUAAUGCUUAAUCAGUUUAUAAUUCUUAUUAACUUGCCUUAGAGCAUGCUAGGUCAAAUAUUCCAACCCCUACUUUAUCUAGCUCACAAUCGUCUAAAAGAGGUGCGGGCUUAAUAGCUCUUAAAUCUUGGACGGAGUUCCGGGGUUCUCAAGGUGAUAAUUAUGAUGAAACUUCACAUUUAAAUGAGCUUCAAGUUUACUUGUCUCAGGGACUUGAAAAGGAGAAUCCAGACGACUCUUUCGAUCUUUUGGAAUGGUGGAAGUUGAGGGAAAAACAUUUUCCGAUUCUUGCAAGGAUGGCUCGGGAUGGUUUGUCAAUUCAAGCUUCAAUUGUUGCAUCAGAGAGCGCUUUCAGUCAAGCAAGACUACAAAUAGGUGAUCAUAGUGCGGCGAUGCGGGACAACUUGGAAAAAUCAGUGCUAAUCCGAGAUUGGAUCCGCUAUGAAAGAAGGAACUUUGGGCUAGCUGAAUCUCAACCAGAAAUAGAUGAGUGCUAUGAAGAAAUGCUAGCAGAACUUGCUCAGGAAGCAACUUCACCCGGAUUUAUGGGAUUUGUUAGAGAUACAAUGUAGAUUAUGAUGUAACAUGUACUUUGGCACAUCUUUUAAUUUUUUUUAAAAUGGUGGUAUUAGUACUUUGUUGUGCUCAUUCCAUUGGGAGAAGGAAGACUAAGAAAGAUAUGUCAUUUUGGGUAAUAAAAUAAUAAGACAUACCCUUGAAUAUCUUUUUUCUCAAUAUUUCUUUGUCUUUACUUCUAAUAUAUAUAACAUAACAUACAACCUAAACUACAAGAAAAUAAAUAAGUAAUAACAUAUAUACAUAAGAUAUAAUAUAUAUAAGAGAAUAUAUAUACAUAAGAGAUAUAAUAUAUAUACUACAACAAAAUAUAUANNNNNNNNNNNNNNNNNNNNNNNNNNNNNNNNNNNNNNNNNNNNNNNNNNNNNNNNNNNNNNNNNNNNNNNNNNCAACAAAAUAUAUAACUAUAUAAGUUAUAAUAUAUAUACAUAAGAUACAAUAUAUAUAUACUACAAGAAAAUAUAUAAGGGAAUAUAUAUAUACAUAACACACUAAUUACUACAAUACAAUAUAUAAUGAAAUAUAUAUUAUAUAUACUAUACUGAUAACUAGUAUACUAUAUAAAUAUAUUCUAUGCUAGUAUAUUAUAUACUAUACUAAUAACUAUUAUACAAGAUAUUGUCAUAAACAAAAAAAUUACAAAAAAAGCCCGCCAGGCCCGGCUCGCUAAGCCCAGAACCACAUGGGCUUAGGCCGUCACGGGCUGGUCUCACCCAUUGAGCCCACGAAUCCCGGGACCGUCAUAGCCCAAGCCCGCGAAGCCUGGGACUGGGAAGCUUGGCCUGCGAAGCCCGUUUAGGCACAGGCCCGGGACAAAAUACAGCACUACCAUGACUUGCUAUGCAACUGUACAAAUUAAUAUCUACUGAUAUUGCAGUAGAAUAGGAAAAGGGAAGAGGACGGCGGGAGGAGGGAAGAACUGGUUUCCUUCAUCUCUCUAGAUGCUAUAACGUGUAGUUAAACAUUACAGGCUCGAAACUGAUAGUUGUUGGUCCGAUAAAUAUUUGCAGCAGAUGCUCAUAAUUGUUUACCAAAAUUUCCCUGCAUCAGAAAAGAUCGCAUCGUUGUCAAACAGCUAAUACCAAAACUAAUUGACAAAGGGAAUAACACCAUCAUAAAAAGUCAUUCUGUUCAGUUGGUAUUUACUAUUUAGAUGUCCAAGUUUCUAAUGAAUGUCUUAGAGAAUCAAGACAAGUAGUCUUUCUCCAUAGUUAAACAAGAAUGCAGCAAUGAAAUAAGAUGCUAUUGUUCUCCUGAUAGCUUAUAUAUUACGAUCUACGUCAUAUUCAAGAUGAGAUUACUCUCCCAAUACCUUCUGCCGUGAUGUUUACCGAAGAUCAUUGUAUCAAAUUUGAUGGUUGCACAAUCCAGAAGGCUUUCGACUUCUUGUGCAUAUGAACAGUUGAGAUGUUAGCAAAGCAUAUUUCUCUUUGUAUGAUAUUAUUUUUUCCCACAAAGAGUCCAUACAAUAUUCUUGAGGGAGGGAGAGGGUCCAAAAUUUUUAAUCACCCUACCCCAAUUAAUCUCGCUUCUUUUUCACUAUUAAUUUACUUAUUUUCUUGAUCUCUUAAGCUUUGUUCAAAUUAACUUUUUCUUUCCUCACCAUUGUUUCUAUAGCUGUUGUGGAAGUCUUUCUAUAGUUUCUUCACUUUCCAACACUCAACCUCUUAAAUUCACCGACUCAAUUUUGGUUACAUCAUUAAUUAAAUAAUUGCUCAUAAUAGUUGUAAAUGGCUAUAUCAUAGUUGUUGGCGUCAAUAGUUACCUCUUCACUAUAGUUGACAUAAAUGAUUACAUCAGUUGAUUCUAUGUUUAACAUUUGUUUCAAACUGAAGCACGAGUAAUUUGUACCACCAGUUUCCUCUAUAAAUAUUAGAAUCAAAUAGCUAUAGGAACUUUUUACAGACGAGAAAUUAUUCAGCAUUACAAAAGUAACGCUGGGGAUAAGGCCCCUGAACCUGACGGAUAUACCAUAGCUUUAUCAGAGAUGUUGGUCCUUCCAAAAAGGAGACAUCAUAAAAACAUUUAAAUAUUUCAACAGAGAAGACAAAUUAUAAAUACCCUACAUGCUACCUUCAUAACACUCGCAGCAAUUGAGUUAAAAGACAUUCAAUCUUUCAGUCAUCUGGUUAGCAUAUACAAAAACAUUUCACGUGGUGACUACGAAACUGAUCCGUGAAUCUCAGAAUGCAUUUGUAGAGGGAGGAAUAUUGUGGAUGCGCACAGUGGCCAACAAAUGUUUGGAUACAAGGAAUAGCAAAGGGUAAAAGGAGUCAUUUGCUAACUAAACCUGGAGAAAGCAUAUGACCGUGCUAACUGCGCCUUUUUGCUAGAUUUGAUGAGAACCAUGGGAUUUCGAAUGAACGGAAUCAAUAUUAGAAAGCAAGCAACUUGUCGUACAGUCAGGUACUUGAUCCUAAUGAAUGGCACCCCAAUAGACUGCUUCCAGCCACAAAUUGGGUUGAAGCAAGGGGCCCCUUGUCUCUUUCCUCUUUCUGUUACUUGUGCAAGUCUUCGGUAAAAUGAUUAGCAGGCAGUAAAAAGGAAAUUAAUCAAGGAAAUUUCAUUGGUAGUUAAACACAAAACAUGAUUGAUAUUCCGCAUCCUAUAUGCAGGCGAUAUCCUGGUACUCUGUGGUGCAGAGCAAGGCAAAGAGCAGUCUCUUUUCUGUUAGAAAUGGGACCAAUAUGGAGUCAUUAGCAGCUAUAUAAGGACGUAAACAGAAAAUUUCCCUUCUAUGUACUUGGGCUUCGUGUCGGAGCUAAACAUGGUCACAUAGAGUCAUAGACAUGCUGAUCUGUGACAGAAUGUGGUGGAAAACGUGAAGACAGGCUUGUUUCAUGGGAAAGGAAAUAUCUUUCUUUGGGGAGUAGAAUCACCCUAAUAAAUAGUUUAGUGAAUGGGAUUCCAUGUCAUUACAUUCAACACCUCAAAAGGAAGUGAAACAACUGGAAUACACUUGGUAAGGUGGAGGUAUGGGAAUUACACACCCUUAAAAGUGGGGAAUUAGAGACCUCAGGAUGCAAUGUGGAAGAAAGUUAUCAUCACAAAACUGUGGUUAGGAUGGGCCAUGGUGCACUAAACUAACAGCUCAGGCAUAUGGUGCAUCUCUCUCGAAGAGAAUUAACAGCCGCUGGGGUGAAUUUCAAAAAUUAACACAGAUUGUAGUAGGUGAUGGACAAAAACCAGAACAAGGAUUGACCCAUGGUUUGAUCAAAUGCUUUGAGAGAGGCUUUCCCUGAAGUUUUGGGCAUCGUUGUAACCAUGAGGCACUAUUACAGAAUGCUGGAAUAGUGAAAUAUUGCAUUUAGGGUUUAAGAGGAACUUUUUUACUGUAAAAUAGAAAACAUAGCACAAUUACUAUUCAUACCAGAAGGCGUACAAACUCAGCCAGAUAAACCAGAUUCUCUAGUCUGGAAAGGAGGUAAGAAUGGUAAUUCACUGUAAAACUAUGCUACCAAUUGCUGAAGUUUCCAGCUGAUGCACAAGAAAAUUGGCCCGGGAAAGCAAUCUGGAGAACAAAAGCUUCCCUAGAGCAGCUUGUUUCGGCUGGUUGGUUGUACAUGAUUCAUGCUUGAUGGAGAAAAAUUUAUCAGAAAAUGAGGCUUGUUUCGGCUGGUUGGUUGUACAUGAAGCAUGCUUGAGUGACGUCCCCGUCAAUCUCUCUGUCCCCUCUGCUAAACCCUGUUCCUAAAUGUUUCUGUGGAGCAAUGGGCAUAUCCGUCAAUGCUAAAGGAGGCAAGUAUGUAGCUGGAAUGGACAGAAAUUGAAGAAGCGACUCAAAAACUUUUGGAACACUUUCCCAUUGAACACUUCUUGGUCUUUGAGGAAGGGAAGUGAUAGCAUUCAUGAAUCUUAACUCCAUUGGAAACAAAGGAAUUUCAAGAUGUAAAGUACAGAGACAAUAGGGCAAUCUCUCUCAUAUAUUAUUCCGGAAGUAACAGUAUGUAUACGAGUACAUAGAGCCCUAACUGCGGAAAAAAUCAAAAAAAAUCCUAUAAAUUUGUUGUUAAUCCAUAUAAUUCUGCUAGCUAUGUACAUUACAUAAGCGUAUGUCUAAAUUCAUUAUGUAAGAUGUUUCUGUGGAGCAAUGGGCAUAUCCGUCAAUGCUAAAGGAGGCAAGUAUGUAGCUGGAAUGGACAGAAAUUGAAGAAGCGACUCAAAAACUUUUGGAACACUUUCCCAUUGAACACUUCUUGGUCUUUGAGGAAGGGAAGUGAUAGCAUUCAUGAAUCUUAACUCCAUUGGAAACAAAGGAAUUUCAAGAUGUAAAGUACAGAGACAAUAGGGCAAUCUCUCUCAUAUAUUAUUCCGGAAGUAACAGUAUGUAUACGAGUACAUAGAGCCCUAACUGCGGAAAAAAUCAAAAAAAAUCCUAUAAAUUUGUUGUUAAUCCAUAUAAUUCUGCUAGCUAUGUACAUUACAUAAGCGUAUGUCUAAAUUCAUUAUGUAAGAUGUUUCUGUGGAGCAAUGGGCAUAUCCGUCAAUGCUAAAGGAGGCAAGUAUGUAGCUAGAACGGACAGAAAUUGAAGAAGCGACUCAAAAACUUUUGGAACACUUUCCCAUUGAACACUUCUUGGUCUUUGAGGAAGGGAAGUGAUAGCAUUCAUGAAUCUUAACUCCAUUGGAAACAAAGGAAUUUCAAGAUGUAAAGUACAGAGACAACAGGGCAAUCUCUCUCAUAUAUUAUUCCGGAAGUAACAGUAUGUAUACGAGUACAUAGAGCCCUAACUGUGGAAAAAAUCAAAAAAAAUCCUAUAAAUUUGUUGUUAAUCCAUAUAAUUCUGCUAGCUAUGUACACUACAUAAGCGUAUGUCUAAAUUUAUUAUGUAAGAUAUUUCUGUGGAGCAAUGGGCAUAUCCGUCAAUGCUAAAGGAGGCAAGUAUGUAGCUGGAAUGGACAGAAAUUGAAGAAGCAACUCAAAAACUUUUGGAACACUUUCCCAUUGAACACUUCUUGGUCUUUGAGGAAGGGAAGUGAUAGCAUUCAUGAAUCUUAACUCCAUUGGAAACAAAGGAAUUUCAAGAUGUAAAGUACAGAGACAAUAGGGCAAUCUCUCUCAUAUAUUAUUCCGGAAGUAACAGUAUGUAUACGAGUACAUAGAGCCCUAACUGCGGAAAAAAUCAAAAAAAAUCCUAUAAAUUUGUUGUUAAUCCAUAUAAUUCUGCUAGCUAUGUACAUUACAUAAGCGUAUGUCUAAAUUCAUUAUGUAAGAUGUUUCUGUGGAGCAAUGGCCAUAUCCGUCAAUGCUAAAGGAGGCAAGUAUGUAGCUAGAACGGACAGAAAUUGAAGAAGCGACUCAAAAACUUUUGGAACACUUUGCCAUUGAACACUUCUUGGUCUUUGAGGAAGGGAAGUGAUAGCAUUCAUGAAUCUUAACUCCAUUGGAAACAAAGGAAUUUCAAGAUGUAAAGUACAGAGACAAUAGGGCAAUCUCUCUCAUAUAUUAUUCCGGAAGUAACAGUAUGUAUACGAGUACAUAAAAAAUCAAAAAAAAUCCUAUAAAUUUGUUGUGAAUCUAUAUAAUUCUGCCUAGCCAUGUACAUUACAUAAGCAUAUGUCUAAAUUCAUUAAGUAAGCCCCCCCUCCCCUCCCCUCGAGCUGGAGCAUAAAUGUUGAUCAUGUCCAACUUGUUACAAAGGUCAUCAAUUCGAAUUUCAUUCAAUGCCUUUGUUGACAAGUCAGCUAGUUGCUCUCAUGUCUUCAAGUAGCCGGUGGAAAUCAAAUUCUCCCGAAUCUUCUCCCGAAUAUAAAUGAUAGUCAACCUCAAUAUGCUUAGUUCUUUCAUGAUACACUGGAUUUGACACAAUACGGAGUAGCUUGAUUGUCACACCAAAGUUUUGUUGGUAUUCGAUGCUCCAACCAAAUUUUAGUUAAAAGAUGAUGUAUCCACUUAAUCUCACACGCAGACUGUGCCAUAGCUCUAUACUCGGAUUUUGUACUGUAUCGAGAUACAACACUUUACUUCUUACUCCUCCAUGAUACCAGGUUCCCUCGAACAAAGAUACUGUAGUAGAUCUUCUAUCAAUCUUGGAUCGUCUGCAAAACACUCAAUACGAGUAUGAUUGUGAUUGUUAUAUAAUAUGUCAAGUCCAGGAGCUCCUUUCAAAUAACACAAAAUUUGUUCCAAAGCUGCCCAAUGUUUGAUUAUUGGUGCAGACAUGAACUGGCUCACAAUACUUACGCAAAGCAAUAUCUAGACAAGUCAUAGUAAGGUAGUUUAAUUUCCUAACUAACCUCCAGUAUCUCUGGAUCAUCAAAAGGAUCACCAUCGUCUUACAUAAGAUGCACAUCAGGAACCAUUGGGGUACUGCAAGUUUUAGCUACCAACUUUCCAGUUUUUGCAAGCAAGUCAAGAAUGUACUUUCUCUGAAAUAAAUGAAUUUCCUUCUUGCUUCUAUUUACUUCUACUCCCAAAAAGUAUUUCAACUGCCCCAAGUUCUUUGUAAGAAACCAAGUAUGCACAAAAAACUUAAGGGAAGAAAUCCGUGUAUAGUCACUUCCUGUGAUAACAAAGUUAUCAACAUAUACAACAAGGAAAAUCGUGCCAACUGCGGAUUUCCGAUAGAACAAAGAGUGAUCGCACUUGAUCAUUUUUAGCCCUAAGUCCUGAACUACCUCAUUGAAUGUGUCAAACCAAGCUCGUGGACUCUACUUCAAGCCAUACAAGAACUUCUUCAAAUGACAGACUCUCCAUACUCCCCUUGAGCAACAAAACCAGGUGGUUACUCCAUAUACAAUUCCUUCUGAAGAGCAACAUGAAGGAAUGCAAUCUUGAUACCCAACUGACAUAAAGGCCAAUUCUCGGACGCAACUAAAGAAAUAAAUAAGAGGAUAGAAGUGAUUUUGGCAAUAGGAGAGGAAGUGUCGGAAUAAUCCACCCUAUAAGUUUUAUUAAAGGAUAACAAUUGAUAUCCUUCAGUUUAGGAGUUUGUUAUAGCUUCCUAUUUUCUAGGUUUAGGAUUUUGUUAGUUUCCUGUAUUCUAGUGUAUCCUACUGCAAAAAAUCUUAUCAUAUCAGUUUGUUCCACCUUUAAUGUAUUUCCAUUUGUAUAUGCUCUAUAUAAAAAGCCUGUUGUUCAUGAAUAAAAUUAUCCUUUCUCUGGAGCAUUUUAAAACUUCAUAUGGUAUCAAGAGCUUUCUUUCUCCUCACAGAGUUCUGACCUUUUUGAUACCCACUGUUUGUAUCUGCUCUAUACUGUUGUACGUGAACAAAAUUAUCUUUUCUCUGGUGCAUUUCAAAACUUUAUAUGGUAUCAAGAGCUUUC
rnacentral:lncRNA from 1 species